AUUAGAAAAGAUAUCUUCUAACUUCUGGUGAACCUUAAUCGAAACUGAAGUUGCUUUUGUUUCUGGUUUGAUAAUAUGCUGCUAAUGUAUUUAUGUACGAGUCUUCUUAUAGUACAGUGUUGUAUGCAAUACAGCCCAUUCAACAGUAAAAAGGAAACUUGAAAUUAAAAAUUAUUUUUAAUGUAGAAAAAAUAAAAUAAAACUGAAAAAAUUCAGGAAAUUUUGUAAAUAUUUAACACAAACAAUAUUCGAGUGAAAAAAAUAUUUUUAAUUUCAACAAAAGUUAAAAAAAAAUUAAAAUAAGCAUGCUCGACUCUUUUGGUUAAAUGUCUAUAUAUCAGGUGACAUUCCAAGUUAAUUUCACAUAUACCUAAUUUUGAUUAAACUUUCUCACUAAUUGGUUUGCUUAUCUCCACUUUCCGAUCCACUAGUUUUAUUUUUAAUAUUCCCACUAAACUCGUUAAUUACUAAUCUUUUUCAAAUUAUUUUUUCUCUAUUAUUGUAACUUCAAAUCCUUAUAAAUUACGUAUUGGAGACAUGGAUACAAUGUUUUGACAUAGUAGACUUUUGGCUUGUCUGGAGAAAUUUAGGGUAGAUUUUUAUGCACUAAGGCUCUAUUUACUAUUGAGAUUUUGGAACUUUUAAGCCACACUAGAAAUUUUGUAUUGUUUUGAAUGAGUUGUAGUCUUUGAUAUGUGAUUGGUAUUAAUCAGGUGUUGUGUUUACAAUAGUUAAAGGCAUAUUGAAUCAAAACCCACUUCUAAGGGCUUGAUUGAGUGAUUUUUAAGUAGGUUUCUAGUUUGCUAGCCACUCAAGUUCAAAUAUUGGAACCACAAAACUUUAUAGGCAAGUGAGAGAACUUAUGUCCUAAAAGUUGAGGGGUUCAUAUCGAGUUUUACUACCAAUAAAAGUUGGUGUUAAUACUUUAAAUUUCCUCCUAUUGAUGGAUAGGGGUACUUAGGGGUUUACAUUCCCUCCUAUUAAUAGACAGGGGUUAUUAGGAAUAUUAAAAAAAAAGUUCAAAUAUUGAAAAAAUAGGUAUGGGUUAUAAAAUGCAUAAUAUAAAGACACAAAAUCAAGAUAAAAAAUUAAAAAUUUAGAACCAUGAGAGCGUGACUUGUAAGUUUCAAAGAAGCAUGUGCAAAUAUAUGCAUUAUCGAUGCCCAUUAGGAGUGAACAUUAACAUCAGAUUAACUCGAACUGAACCUAAAAUUUAUUUUGAGUUCAAUUUGAUUAUGGUUGAAGCUUCCAACUGAGUUCAAAACUUAAAAAUGAUUGGGUUGUAUUUCUGUUCGAAUUUAACCCCAAAAGACUAAUCAAUCCAAUAGAGUUAAGUAAGCAAAUUAAGAAAAAAAAAUCCCAAAAAAUUAAAACUAACCCUAACUAAAAUAUUCGACCGCGGCCUCCUCGUUUUCUUUGCUAUUACUAUAAUUUUUUUUAACCAAUUUUCACAUUCAUCAACAUAGGCUGACACAUUUUGUAGAAAAUAAAAUUAAAUAAAAAUACAAGCUCACGAAAUUCCUUUUCCGAUGUGGGAAUCUAUCUACACCUUUCACGUGCCUUUUUUUUUUUUUUUUGGUGGUGGGGGAUUCACUUGCUUUUGUUUGCAUUGCCUUAUUGGAUAAAAGUUUGUAGAACAUCGUCUGUUUGGUUAAAGCCGAGCAUGAGUGAAGAAAAAUUAAAAAUAAAUAAUUUCCCAUUAAUUUACAACAAGUAUUAAUAAAGUGCAUGAGAAAAGACACCAAGAUAUGCCUUUUUUUAAAUGAAAAUAAAUGUGUUAAUUAGUCAAUUUAAAUGGUAUGACAUUUUGAAAUGAUAGAAGCGAUCUAAAGUUUAAAUCUUACUCACACUUAAUUUAGGGUUGGGGAUCAAUUGACGUAAUAUAUAAUAACAAAUUCGAAAGACAAUUAAAAAUUAAAAGAAAAUAAAAAAGUGCUUUCUUUUUUAUGAUGGUAAUUUGUUUAGAUGGUGAAAACUCUUAAGAGUGGUAUUAUCAAUACAUAGUUUCGAGCAUUGCCAACGUGCAUAAUAUUUAAUUUCCUUUAUAUAGUUAUAUCUCAACUAACAUUUAAACAGAAGUAAGUUGUAAAAAAAAUGAACCAUUGAGAUUUGAGAGAACGAAAAACUAAAAAAAAAGUUAAAAAAUUACAUCUCAAUAAAUUUACUUGAGAACUACUUUACUGAUUAGUGAAGAGAAAACACAAAGAAUAAUGAUGUAUCUCAAUUAAUAGGAAAGUUUUUGUAUUUUUCGUUUAUUCAAGAAUCACGAAACUUUAUUUAAACUUGUUAUUUCAUUGAUAAUAUAUUAAUAUUGAACAAUUAAUGUAGGCGACAAUCCUUUCCAAUUAUGCCCAUAUAUUAAUUAACGACCACCAAAAAGUUCAAGGAUACUAUAGUAAUUUAAGUCAACAAUUUCUGUGCUUGAAAUCAGCCAAUCAAACUCACUUUAGAAUAAAAUGAGAAAUCAAAAUCACAUUCUCCAAUUCUACGAUUUCAAUUCAUUUUGUUUUUUCAACUGAAGAAUUGGUUGUAUCUCGUUUUAUUUUUUUAUAAAGAUAAAUAUAAAAUAUAAAUGACGAGGAGACUGUAAAAGUAAAAUUAAAAGAAGAGCACGAGUUUUAUUGAAAAUGACUCUUUUCAUCAUUUUGCUGGAGUCCAUGUAUCUACAUAUAAACUAAAGAAGCACAUUUGUUUGUAUUAGCUUUUUUAUUAUAAUAAGUCAUUUGUCAAUGAACUUAUAUCAAUUUUUACGAAAAUAAUAGGUGUGUGUUAGUUUAUUCAAAUGGCAAAACCUCUUGGGAUAGAGCUUGUAAUUUAGUGGCUCAUGAAUUAUCUAAAUUGACACUACCGAAGCCAAAUUAUUGUAUUUGGUUAAAAAAGCUCCUACUAUGCUUCAACUUUAUUAUCCUCUGAUGUUUAUUAAUAAAUAACAAUUUUAUUGAAAAAAAAAGAACUUUUGAAAUGAUACAAAAGAUUUAGGAUAUGAAUCUCACUCGAAUUUAACUUGAGGUUGGCAUUGUUAACAUAAUAUUUGAAGAUAGAUUUUUUAAAAAAAAUAAAAAAUUUUUGGUUCAAACUAGUUAGUUUUAACUCAUAGUGAGAUUUAAACAAAAGCAGAAUAAUAAAUCUUGAUAUCCUGACUCAUGAAUAACGUAUAGAUAAGAUAAUAAAAUCUAUUGUAUUGAAAAUAAGAAGUCUGAAGUUUGAAUUUCGCUCACAUAAGUAGUACGAGAAUCAAAUUAUUGUUAGAUUAAAUUAAUUAAAAAAAUCUGAUAUCCAAAAAAAAUAUCAACAAAAAUGAAAUAAAAGAAAAUUGAAGAGAAAAACCAUUGAGAGAACGAAAAAUUAACACUAGAAAAUUUCUAUAACUAAUUGUAUUAGUGUGCGCAAACUGCACUUAUUAAAACAUGGUUAUUUCAUUUUCGUGGAUAAUCAUUUUGACACCGGUCAAAUUUAAAAGUUUUAAAAAAUAUGGGCGAUUUUUCUUUCCAGCUAUGCCCAUUAACUAAUAAAAGAACCGCCGAAACGGUUCGGGGAUAAUAUAGUAAUUUAAACUAACAGUUUCUGUGCUUCAAAUCAUCAUAUCAAACUCACACCUCACAAAAGCAGAGAAAUCAAACGGUUUCCGACUCUACGCUUUAAUUUCAGCUUCAUUUCUUCAACUGAAGAAUCGGUCGUCUCUCAUUUUUUAUUUAUUAUAUAAAGAUAAAUAUCUAAAUUUAAAUGCGAGAAGAGCGGACGAGGAAUACGAUUACUUGUUCAAAGUGGUAUUAAUCGGCGAUUCGGGAGUCGGCAAAUCGAACUUACUCUCCCGAUUUACUCGUAACGAGUUCUGUUUGGAGUCCAAAUCAACUAUUGGCGUCGAAUUCGCCACCCGCACUCUUUCAAGUAACUAACUUUUCCUUUUUCACUUCUCUUCAUUUUUAUUAGUUAAUUAAGAUCCAGUUAAUUUAAUUAAUUUUAUUUAAUCUUUUAAAUAAAGUUCUAUAUUGGGCUAACUUAGAUUCAUGUGAAGUUGAAGUGAUUUACUUUCGAUCUCUUUUUCGUCCUAUGUUUAUUUGUACUUACUAUUACUUUUUUUUUGGGUUUAAAUUUUCGUUUUUGAAGUGUUUACUGAAUAAAUUUCUGAGCUUUAUUUGUGUAUGCUGAUUGAUUUGUGAUUUUAAUUUUGUGACUUUUUUUUUGGAAUUUAAAUUUGAAUGCUUUUUAAGUUGAAUCUGAAUGUGUUGGGCUGCGAUUUAAUUAAGUCAUCUGUGAGCGCCAAAUUGUGAUAGCUAUAUAUUGGGGUGAAAAUUUGGGAUUUAAAGUUAUGUAUUUAAGAUGCAGUUAAUUCGCAAGUGAAAAUUAUGGGCCGGCAGAUUUUGUCAUUGGAAGACUGUUCUCCACAUGUUGAAGUUAGUGAUGCAAGUUGAAACCAAUCUGUUUACGCUUGGGGUUUCAUGUCUUGAAUCAAGGCUGUGACUUGGGGUGGGUUGAAAGUAUUAUAGCUUUAGCUAUUCCUGAAGUGAUCUGUUUAGACUCACCGUGAUGAGACCGAGUGCUGUACAGUAAAAUGAAAGGAAGUUGGAAAAUAUUUACUUAGCAUUUCGCGUUACUAAUGUUGAACUAAUAAAACCUAGCCCCUAUCCUAGUGAAUUUAUGUUAAAAAGCUAUGCACGCAUUAAGUUAGUGCGAGAGUCUGCUGAAGCAUAUGUCAGCUGUGUGUUUGGAGCUGAGUAUUCUUCAUUCCACAUUUUGGGUUUUGGUUGACCUCCAGCAUGACUCAACCCACUUGACUUAAAAGCCCUAGAGUUACAUUCUACCCAUGAUAUUUGAGUUUAUCAAGUCACCAUAUUUUAAUACUUCUCUGGAAAACAAAUAUAUAUGUUAAAUCAGGUAGGAAAAAUAAAAAGUUAAUUAUUGAGUUGUAAUGGUGCAACUAAGGUUUUGAAACAUUAAGAUCUUUAGCCAUUAUGUUACUAUCCCGUAGUUAUUUAAGUUACAAGAGAUAGUAAAAAAUAACAUCAUAUUUUAAUUACUUACACUAAUCCUACAAGUGCUGAUGGUCUAAAGUUGCUGCUGCUUGCACUGAAUCAGUGGUCAUGGGCCAGCCAAGGUUAGGUGAGGCCAACUCAUUAGCUCGUGAAACUUAAAGAAGUCUUAGGUUUGGAAAAGAUGGGGCACAGGUUACAAAAUUUUUUUGAGUUUUGGAUUGAAGGAACAAAAUUAUUGAUGUCUAGCUCACAAUACUUGAAGUCACUCUGUGCUUCAUCAUGUAAAAUGGAUUGAAUUGCUGUAAGAUCAGGUCAAAUUAAAAUGUUUAAACUCAUUUAUAAGAAACGAAUUCUCAAUUGGACCAGCCUUUCACAGAAGCUGAUAUCACAGAAGCUUUGAGUCAGAUGCAUCCAACGAAAGCCCCUGGCCAGCAGUAUUUUUCUAAAAGCUUUGGAAUUCAGUAAGCGAAGGAGUUAUAGCCACUUGUCUGCACAUCCUCAAUGAUGGAGGUAAUAUUGCUCCUUUGAAUUAUACAUACAUUGCUUUAAUCCCCAAGAUAGCAAAGCCUAGGACUAUGAUGGAGUAUAGACCAAUCAGCUUACGUAAUGUAAUUUAUAGGAUCAUUGCAAAGACUAUAGCGAAUGGGCUGAAGCUAAUCUUAGAUCAUGUUAUUUCACCAACUCAGAGUGAUGUUGUGCCAAAUAGGCUCAUAACUGAUAAUAUAAUUAUUGGGCAUGAGUGUUUUCAUAAGAUUAGGCAUUGCAAAAAUAAAAAGCAUGGUCUAGUGGUUUUGAAAUUAGACAUUAGCAAAGCAUAUGACAUGGUGGAGUGGAGUUUUUAAGAUGCACUAUGGAAAGGUUGGUUUUUCUCACAAAUGGGUGGAACUGGUCAUGAGAUGCAUAUCUACACCAUCUUUUUCUGUGCUGAUCAAUGAGGUAGCAAAAGGCCUUAUCCAGCCUCAAAGAGGCUUAAGACAAGGCUGCCCACUCUUUCCAUAUUUGUUCAUUAUUUGUGCUGAGGUUUUCACAAAUCUUUUGAAGCAAGCUGAAUCGAACCAGCUGAUUCAUUGAUUAAAAUUCAGUAGGGACCUGUCUAUUACUCAUCUUCUGUUUGCAGAUGAUAGUUUGAUUUUCACAAGAGCCAUUAAAGAAGAUUGUAUGAACCUGAAGCAACUCUUUGAUUGUUAUGCUGCUGCCUCAGGCCAGAUUUUUAAUUUCAAAAAGUCCUCCAUGUUCUUCAGCGAUAAUGCCAAGCAAGAGCAGAUAGCUACAAUUAAGGAUAUAUUUCAACUUCAAGUGGUUUCAAGACAUGAAAUGUAUCUUGGACUACCUUCAAUGGUGGGAAGAAAUAAGACCAGCUUCUUCAACGAUAUCAAGCUCAGAAUUAUAAACAAAAUCUCCAAUUGGCAAGUAAAAUUUUUCUUGUGUGGAUGGAAGGAGAUGCCUAUAAACGCAGUAGCUCAAGCAGUGCCUGCUUACGCCAUGAGUAUUUUUAAACUUCCUUUAGGGCUAUGUGAGGAUAUGCAGAAGGCCAUUGCUGGGUUUUGGUGGGGAAGUUCAAGGAAUCAUAGGUCUAUUCACCGGUUCAAGUGGGAAAGAAUGUGUCUAGCUAAGAAGAGGGGUGGCUUAGGUUUCCGAGACUUGUCUAGUUUCAACCAAGCGCUUGUGGCAAAACAGAGUUGGAGGAUCAUUCAAGCGCCAGAAUCGCUCAUAGCUAGGGUGAUGAAGGCAAGAUAUUUCAGACAUUCGGAUAUUAUGGAGGCACAAAUUAGCUCAAACCCCUCUUAUAUAUGGAGGAGCAUCCUGUGGGGGCGAAAUGUUAUUCAUAAGGGUCCUAGAUGGAGAAUCGGAGAUGGAAAGCAGGUGAAAGAGUAUCAAAGUUGCUGGUUACCAAGACCUGUAACGUCCAAACCAAUAUGUCCUACAAGUCUCCCUUUGGAGACUAUGGUUUCAGAGUUGAUUGAUGAGGACCACUGCUGGAAAGAUCUUGUAAUAAUAAGACAACAUUUUCAUCAAGAAGAUGCUGCCCAGAUACUUCAGAUCCCUCUGCCAAGACAACCAAGAUCAAACCAAGUUUUGUGGCUUUACAACAAAAAAGGUUACUACUCAGUCAAGAGUGGGUAUCAACUAGCUCUACAAAUGAAGUUCCCAACCAAGCCUAGCAGUUCAGAGGAAGGCAAAAGUGCAUGGAACUCAAUUUGGUAUUUACAAAUUCCAGAGAAAGUGAAGAUAUUUAUGUAGAGGGCUGCAAAUGACAUGCUGCCCAUAGCAGAGAAUUUAUGGAAGAAAAGAGUAUAACAAGCCCCCUGGUGUCAGAGAUGCAGGGGUUAUGGAGAGUCUAUCUUCCACACAUUGUUUGAAUGUAAAGCCUCGCGGAAAAUUUGGAAGCUCACAUCUUUUGAAGAUGAAGUGAAAGCCCCAAAAUGUAAAGAUGUCCUAAGCUUGCUGUUGGCUUUGGCUGAAGGACGAAGCAAGACUGAAAUGGAGCUGAUAGUUGCUUUGUGCUGGAGGGAGCAUAUGGCACUCAAGGAAUCUUUUUAUUUUCAAAAGCAAAAAGGAAGAUUCUCAAUUAUCAGUAGCUGGAGUUGAGGCAAUUGUUCAGUCUUAUAAAAGAAUUCAAAUGCCGCAUAUGCAAGCAAUAUCAUAUCAAAGUUCUGAAUCCCAGAAGCAUUGGAAGUGUCCCCCUGCAGGUUGGUUCAAGGUGAAUGUUGAUGCAGCUAUAAAGUUAGACCAACAAAGAGUAGGUCUGGGCAUUGUAAUCAGAAAUUCAGAAGGCAAACUUAUAGCAGCAGCCUUAAAGCCAACAAAAUGGCUUGAUAAAGUGGAUUAUGCAGAAGCUGAAGCAACUAAGUUCGGGCUGGAAGUAGCUGAAAACGCCGGAUGUUCACCUUUGAUUGUUGAGACUGAUUCACAGGUAGUAGCAGAUUUAGUCUUAGCUAGAAAAAUAACAAAAGCUGAGAUUUUUUGGAUUGUAUCCGAGGUCCAAGAGAUGUGAAGAGAUUAAAACAUGUCAAGUUACAGCACACACUAAGAACUUGUAAUGGUUUUGCUCACGCACUUACUAAGUUAGCUUUAGACUAUUCUGAUUUUGUAAUAUGGGUGGAUAGCAUACCAGCCCAUCUUUUGUAUCUAUUCACAGAGUUGAAUGAUUGAAAGUAAUACUUUCAUUUAAAAAAAAAACAUACAAGGAUCUAAUUAUAAAUAUAUAAUCCAAGAAAACAGUAAUAAUAAUGAAUCUCGUAAACAAUAAUUAAAUAAUAGCAAUAAUAAGUGGACAGAGCUAAGCCACUCGGCCUUUGGCCGAGUUGGAGAGCAGCAGUUCGAACCCCCACAAUGUAUUGUGGGGGUAUUUUCUUCCUCAAUUAAAUUUGAGUGAAGGCAGUCUGUUUCAUUGUCCCAGUGUGAGGAGUAGAUAUCCCUCGAAUAUUUGAGAGGGUUAAAAUUUGGGCAGUGCUCUAUUAGCAUUGAUGUAUGUUGGUCUCAGUUAUAGUCUGAUUUGUAAAUAUCAGUUAUAUUCUCAUGUAAUAUGAGUUGUAAUAUGAGCAAUAGUCUCAUGUAAUUAAAAAAAAAAAGUGGAUAAAGCUAUGAGUUGUAAUAUGAGCAAUAGUCUCAUGUAAUAAAAAAAAAAAAGUGGACAAAGCUAAGUUCCAGAGGAGUUAUAGUCUUAUUUAUAAAUAUCAAUUAUAUUUUCAUGUAAUAUGAGCAAUAGUGUAAUAAAAAAAAAAAAAAAAAAGUGGACAAAGCUAAGUUCCAGAGGUGAAAUAGGAAAUUCUCCCGCACGACACAGCACAAACUUACUUUACCUUUCAUUUUCUUUUCUCUUUCUCGCCCUCCAAACAGAGCAAAAGGACUGUCGCAAGAUUCUUCACUUCCAUCCAAAAUCAUGAGCAACGAAUAGUGAGCCUCCCUGUUUCCUUCCUUUUUUUGAUAUUAACAUUGUUAACAUCUACUCAUUUUAAUUUGACAAUACUUCAAUUUUUUUUAUUUUUUUGCCUUUUCAUUUUUUUUUUGUUGAAGCAAUUAUCUGUUCAAGCUGUUGCUUAUCGGAGACUCGUCCGUCGGAAAGUCCUGCCUGCUGCUCCGAUUUGCUGUCUGUUGACUUUUCCUUUCCCUUCUUAUUUUCUUUUUUUUAUAUUAAUUACUUCCUAUUUUAGCUUUUUGUUCUCUGAAUUUGUGUUAUUAAAAUGAUAAUUUAGAUGAUUAAUAAUUGUUAUUCUUGUAAAUUUCAGUUUUCAUUACGCUAAUUGUUAGUUUUUAGGUUUAUUAAUGUAAUUUUUUUUUAAUUUUUCAGGAUGAUUCUUAUGUCACAGCUACAUCAGUACCAUUGGAGUUGAUUUUGUGAGUCUCUCUUCUAUAUAUAUGUAUAUAUGUAUGUAUAAGUUAUAAUAUGAGUCUAUGUUCGUGUAUGUAUGUAUGUGUAUGCAUAUGUGGAAAGAAAUGUUGGCAGACUUCAGCAUUUUACUUUUUUUUUUAUUUUGGCAGAAAAUAAGAACUGUGGAGCUGGAUGGGAAGACGAUCAAACUGCAGAUUGUGAGUCAAAAUUUCCCUUUAUCUUGUAUUGAGAGAAAUUCGAUUUGUCUUAUUUAGUGAAGGUUAUGUUCAAGAACCUUGUCUUAUUUUCUUUGUUUGAAGAGUGAUAUGUUGAAAUGAGUGUAUUUGUCUUAUAAACAUCAUUUAGGUAAUGUCUGAUGUUUGAUUGUUUUUCAUCUGUUUAGUGGGACACUGCUGGACAGGAGCGAUUCAGGACUAUAACUAGCAGUUAUUACCGAGGAGCCCAUGGAAUCAUAGUAAGGAGCCUUCCCGCUUCUUGGUUUAAAUCAGAAAGUUUGUGAUUUACAUGUGACAUCUUAACAACAUUGUACUUUUCAAAAAAAAAAAUAAACAACAUUGUAUGUGUUUAUUAACUUAUUUUUCAUCUUUCGUUAAGCAGUACAUUUUCCAAUAAAUCUGUAUACAAGAUGAUGUAGUCCAAGAAUGGGAGCGAUAAUAUGAUGCAAAUUGUCUAAUAAAUUCUUAUGACAUAUGAUGUUGUCGGAAGUAAAAGUCUUGCAAUGCUCUCUUUUAAGAAAGAAUAAGUGGUAAUUUUGUUUUUCCAAUUUUUUAAUUGAGCAACUGUGUGAGAUUAAUUAAAUGUGUUGGGAUUUCAACAGAUUGUCUAUGAUGUAACUGAGAUGGAGAGCUUCAAUAAUGUCAAGCAGUGGUUGAAUGAGAUUGACAGAUACGCAAAUGACAGUGUAUGCAAACUUCUAGUUGGGAACAAAUGCGAUUUAGUUGAGAACAAGGUUGUGGACACACAGACAGCCAAGGUAUAUUCGUGACUUCUGUCGCCUGAACUUUGAAUAUAAUUUUAAACUCUUCUCAAGUGCAUUUGCUUGAUAAGUUUCUGCAUACCCAGGACACUCAAACUUUGGACAGUUUGUAUCUCGAGCUGGAAUCUUUUUUGUCAAUACGACUUGUUAAAAUAAGGAUUAUUAUCGUUUGAAUCCUUCAAGAAUUGCAAUAAAUCUAAAGUCCGUAAAAAAUAUGAUUUCAUCAUUUUACUAUUAUAUCCAGACAAAAUCCAUUAUUUUACUACAUUUUAUGUAGCACGGAUAGUUGACCUGUUGGCUGACUGAUAAAAUAUCAAUUUUGCACUUUAUAUUAAUUCUUUUUUGGUUAAAAAAUAACACACAAAGUAUUACAAUAUUAUAAAUUCAAAAUAGAAAGUAGCUACAAAUAAUUCCUAUUAGCCUAUUAAUAUAAUAUUUGAUACCUCUAUUUGUGUUAUUUUUUUCCAAGGGUGAAAUUGGUAUUUUUUUUGUACUAACGGAAAUGUAGUAAAAUGAUAAGUUUUGUAAAGAUAUAGUAGUAAAAUGAUAGACUAAAAUACUUCUGUAGUUGUUUGAUAUAUUGUAAUUCUUAAAGUAGUCAAUUGAUAAUAUUCCCUAAAAUAAAUGUUCGUAAUAUGUUCUCAUUUUAAUGCAACUGAUUGUUUAAUAAAAUUGUAUUUCUUUGUUAAUCUUUUAUCAUGUGCAUGCUCAGUGAGAAUUUGACUUACUAGCACACAAGUUUGACUCUUCAUGUAAAUGUCCCUUGUAUCAUAUCCUUCAAUGUUGAGUGUGUUUCCAAUAAAAUUGAGUAGGGGAAUCCUUAAAUACCUUUUCCUUUUUUCCAAGGGCUGUGCCAAAUUGCUCUAAGUGAUUAUCAAUGGAUAAUGAAAAUAAAUUUUUUAUUAAAGCAAUUUUUUCCUUAAAGGGUGACUAAUAGUACCCCCUUUUUGGAAAAGAAAGUCAGAACAUGCCCAAAGAGAAUCAUUUAUAUUCCUCUAAUGUAUUUUCUAAUUUGUUUCGAGCCUUGAAUGUCCGUUUUGGUGCGUAUUCUCAUUCCAUGUCGAAUCUUAUCCAUAUGGACAACCCCAAUUACAAAAUGGAUCUAUUGAAGUUCAUAUGAGGUUUGUGCUUUAGAUUUAGACCUCCCCCCCCAACUUACCUGUCUUUCACUUACCUGUUUGCAUGCAUGCCCAUGUGCACACUUGCAAGAUAAUACACGGUCACGCGUACUUGUGCUUUGGUUGAGCUAUUGGCUGCUAACCCUCUGUAAUUCAGUUUGAAACUUGCCACCCUUAGUGCUUUGCUCAAAUGGUUGGUUAGGGUGGAUCGUUUUCCUGGUCUCUUUCCAAGGUUAUCUAAAGGGAUUUGGCAGUCUGAUUCUUUAGGGAAUAUCAUUGCAUAAGAUAUCUACUGUUUGUCAAUGAAUAAUUUCUAUUAAUUAGUUAUCUAUAUAAAUUGGUAAAUUUUAACUGCAUAAUUUGCAUUCAAUAAGAUUUUAUAAGAAUCUUAUUUUCAACUCAUGACUUAGACUCAUGUGAUAUGUUGAGCAUUAAGCUACAAGAUCUGCACAUCAAAGUGCUUCACUAUGUUAAGGAGAAAGCAUCUUUUUCUGUUCUUCAUGUGAUUUAAAGUUUCCAAGGUACUUAUCCUAUAAAAUAUCUUUCAAGACUUUGGAAAUGCUUUUAUGUAUGACUGAGAGAAACUUGUUGGGUUUUUUUUAGCAACAGACGGAGUUAUGGACUUUGUGUUGACUUGUUAUUGAUUAAGACAGUACAUCGGCUGAUCUAUUGGCAUCAAGCAGCAGAUGCAGAAAUUAUGGGUGGCAUAUCAUUGUAUCCAAAUAACGUACUACAUUGAUUUUUCUGACUUUCUGUUGGUCUCCGAGUGAAAUGCAGGCAUUUGCAGAUGAACUGGGGAUUCCUUUCCUGGAGAUGAGUGCCAAAGAUGCAAUCAAUGUGGAGCAGGCUUUCUUGACCAUGGCUGGCGAGAUUAAGAAAAAGUAAAAUCACUUAACUCUUUCCUUCUUGCCUUGUGAUUGAUUCUGUGAUCCAUUGCCUAUUUGCAAAUGCUGACUGUUCUUAUUCAAUAAUCACCAUUAUUGCUGGUUAUAUGCACUGUGAUGAAAAUUCUGCAAUGAGUAACUUUUUACCUAAUGUUUUCUGUUGGAACAAAUUACUCUGGUAGAAAAGCCCUACAGGGUUUGAGAAAACCCAUGAUGUGACGAUUGUGAGCAUUUUAGAGACCGUGUAGGGGUUUAUUUAUGACUAUAAAAUGGUAAGAUUGUUUCUAGUUUUGGUUUGUAGUUCAUAAAAGGAUUCAAAAUUUGACAUCUGUCUAAAUCAGAUUAAUAACAUGAUAAUGUACAUAUGCAAGAUGUGAGGAAUUGUUUUAUCUCACCCCUGAACUUUAAGAAAUUGAAACAUUAUCAUUCAAAAUAUUUAACAUUUCCAGAAUUGAUAGUUGUCUAUUUGAGCAGUGACCGGUGGUUAUCAUGAACUGAUGUGUGGUUGUGGUGUCAAAUCUUGGUGAAACCUGUUGUCAUCUGCCGGUUAACAUAGCUAGUCUCUGAAAUAAUUUCUUGAUUCACUAAUUAUGAGUUCAAAUUUGAUGCAGAAUGGGCAACCAGCCUACUGCAAACAAAUCUUCUGGAACAGUUCAGAUGAAGGGACAGCCAAUCCAGCAAAACAGCAACUGCUGUGGUUCGCAGAGCAUGUUAUUUUACUACUACAUGUUAGCUGACUGAUUGUAGACAGUUUUAACUAUGUUGACUGCAUUAUCUUAGGAAUCUUUUAAUAUGUCAAAUAUUUAUUUCCUGCUUUAAGUUCUUUCCGUUUAUAACAAAUUUAAUUUCUUGCUUCAUUGCAUUCCAAAUUCCUGUCAAUUUACGAGGGAAAAAGAAAAGAGAGACGAAAUCAGAGAAAAUGGUCAAAUUUGUUAGGGGGAGAGAGCUGUUCAAGUAGUUUCUGUUCUUGUUUAUCGUCGUGACCCUCUUGUAGCUUGUCUAUGACCUGGAAGUCCGGUCAUAUCGGAUGGGUAAAGUUACCAAAACGGCAUCAUUUUGGGUGAAAUAUCAUAUUUAUGUAACACUUUUGAUAAUGUUUUUGUGCAACAAAAAAAUGUUCGCGGUACCCUUUUCACAUUGUGUAGCGCAUGAUCGGAUGAGAGCAGUCUGGAUUCUGGCAUCACAAGCUAAUGCUUUGAUUUGCUUAGUUUUUUUUUUUUUUUUGUUUCUGAUAUUUUCUUGGCAUUGGGUGGCAUAUUGUUUCUCUUUUGAGUUUCCCUUUUUUUUUUUUUUUGUUAUGGAAUUUAGAGAUAAUGUACAUGUAUGAAGAUGACGUAAUAAAGUUAUUUGAUGCUGCUUGUAUGAAGAUAGUGUACAUGUAUGAAGAUGACAUAAUUAAUUUGACUUCCAUUAUAUUAAUUAUGUCCAAUCAUGCUUCUUUAAUAAAGAACGCCGGAGCAUUUAAAUGUAUACAACAUACCAAAUUAAUUACAAAAUGAUCUUUGACAAAGUCUGACCGGUCAACUAUCCAUCAGAUUCUGUAAUGUGUUACCGUUGAACUCUCAUAUCAAGUUUGGAUAGACAGCGCUUUGGCUAACAAUGAGAUAUAUGCGAGCAUCAAAGCUCCUUUCUCUGUUUUAAUGGUGUUUCUCUUUGUGGUUGUUGAGCUCUUAUCUCUGUUUUAAUGGUGUUUCUUUUUGUGGUUGUUGGACAAACUGUAAUGUGAAUUUCUAUUUAAUGGGUAUCCUAAUACUUUUAGUUAGUUUGGAAUUGUUGAUUUAUAUAUGACGUUCAGUAUCCAAAAUUCAGAUAAUGAUAACCUUUAGUACUCUUGUCAUAUUACCUUUCGUGUUGGUGUUAGUAUCUUAAUUAUGUACCCAAUGAUAAGGACAAUAUAUACCUAAUUUGAAACUUCUAUAAUUUUACAUAUAUAGAUGCAAAUUCAUUUUUAAGAGUGCAUUUAAUCAAGCAGUCCAUGUGUUUAUACUGAGUAAUUGGUUCAAUAUCAAUACAAUACUAUUUUAAGUAACAUGUGGCAUAUUCUAAUUCCAGUGAGCUUCCAACUCAUAUUCCCAAUUCAAAAGAAAAGUUUUCAAUUUUCUCCAGAACGUUCUACAAAACGUUUCUUCUAGUCUCUACACUGUGCUAGAAUUUUCUCUAAGUUUCUUUUGCAAAGACUUUUAAAGAACUAUCCAGAUACUGAGCUAUAAUCCAGUCUAAGCGUAUAUAUCUCUCUAUAUUUCACCUCCCUCCAUUUCACUAGAAGAUCAACAAACACUUAGCUUUGAAACAAACACUCUAAAAAAGCUAGCUUAGCUACCCAGAUGGCGAAAUCAAGAAUUCUUGCAAUGACAAUGUCGUUUCUUGUUAUGGCUGCAACAUUGAUUAUCAUGGCAUCACAAGCAAACACUCUGAUGUCGUACACACGAUCACCUUUCUUUGACGUGAUAUUUGCAAUGACAGAAGAUCCUUUCCGGGUUCUUGAACAAACCCCUCUAACAAUCCCAAAAAGAGUUGAUCAUCAUCAAACUCUAGCCCUGGCGAGAGCAGACUGGAUGGAGCACCAACAGCACACGUGAUCACGCUCGACAUUCCAGGGAUGAAGAAAGAUGAAGUGAAGAUUGAAGUUGAAGAGAACAAGGUACUCAGAGUGAGUGGGGAGAGGAAGAGUGAUGAUUAUUAUAAGGAGGGAGUUGAAGGAGAGAAAAGGCACAGAGCUGAGAGCACUUUUGGCAAGUUUUGGAGGCAGUUCAGGAUGCCUAUGAGUGCUGCCUUGGAACAUGUUAAGGCUCAUUCGGAAAAUGGUGUUCUAAGGAUCACAGUGCCAAAGCUUGCUGAGGAGAAGAGGAGGCAGCCUAAGGUUAUUAGCAUUAAUGAAGAGCUUGCAGGUAAUUCUUUCGGUGAAGAUAUUAAGGCCACCAAGGCCCAAAUGUGAUUGAUUAAAGAAAGAAGUGCUUGCUUCACUUGAUAUGCUAUUUGUUUAUGAUCUUUUCUUAGUUUUGUUGUGGGAUGUUUCUCUCUGAACGUUUUGUUUAUUGUAUUUUGAUGGGUUUUUUAAGAUGGUUUGCAUGUACUAACAACAAUAAAAGUGUUUUUUUAUAAAUCCGUGUCCUAAGUUUGUAAAAGAAAUUAAUAUGCUUGGUUGUUAAUAAAAAAAUAAAAAUAAAAAGCCUUUUUCUUUGGCGUAUAUUAUGCAUUUUAAGAAAUUUUUUUUUUCACACUCCAAUUCAUAAAGAUAUUCUUCUUCUGUCAUAUUAAUGUGUCAGUUUUGAUGAAUCCAAAUAUUCAAUAACUGAUCAAUUAUAUUUAUAAAUAUUAAUAGCGAUGGCACAUAAAUAAUUAAUUCAAGAACUCGCCCAAAGUGCAUUAAUUUGAAGAGUAUAAAUAACAUUGCAAUACAGUUCAGCCCUUACGUGUUUAAUUAGCAAUUAAAAACUACUUUAUAUUGUAAAACACCAUUAAAAGAAGAUUUGCCAAAGUCUGAUUGAAGAGAAUAUACACGCACACAUGUAUAUAACCGUACAGCAGAAGGAUCAAUAAAAGAAAAUGAAGUUUCAACAGCUGAAUAAUGCAAAAUCAUUUUUUAAAAAAGUAUUUUAUUGUUUAAUUAAAAAAUUCGAAAACCCAUUCGCCUUAUAUAUAUGAUAAAGACUCACCGACACCGAACCAUAUUAAUUUAAAUUAGUUUUCAACUGAGAUUUGAAUUUUAAAAUUAUAUACACAAACACGCCCAUUUUUUUUAAAAUACUAAUAGUAAAAUAUUUCAUUUUUCAUCUAUUACAACAAGAGGUAUAAUCGCAAAAGUGAAAAAUAUUUCAUUUAACAAGUCCCAAUAUUGUCCUCCAUCCUUUCUGCACUUCUCUGCUAUCAACGGACAACUCCAGAUCCAUAAUCGCAAAAGUGAGGAAGGCAGUCAUCAUCUGUUCAAUUAUCAAAAAAUCCUUUUACCAUCCAUUUUUUUUUUUGAGAAAAGAAGUGGUUUUCAUUCAUUCAAAGAGUUAAAUAACUCCAUAACUUCUGAAGGGUACAAGUCUACCCAUACAAAAGUUUUACCUUUCUCUAAAGCUAGCUGCUAUAGAGUGAGUAAUAACAUUACAUGAUCUUGGUGUUUGCUGGAUUUUCCAUGCAUUGAAGCCUUUCAAGCUACUUUGCAUUUCUGCAACUAACCAUUGAAUCUUUGUUCUGCUGCUCUUCCUGUUGUUGACAAAAUCUACUGCCUCCUGGGAAUCCGAUUCUACAAUGACUCUUGCCAAACCUUUCUCUAUAGCUACACUCAGGCCCCAAUUCAUUGCCUCAGCUUCUGCAAAUGUUACAUCACUGUGAAGCUUUGUACUCUUGACAGCAGCUGCGAUAACAUCUUUGUUUGCAUCCCUUAUGAUUAUCCCCAAGCUUACUCGGUGCUCCUCUCGGUUUAUGGCAGCAUCUACGUUAAUUUUAACCCAACCUGAGGGUGGAGGGCUCCAACAUGUUUGAGUUGUCAUCUGGUCCCCAGCCUUGAGAAUUCUUCUUGGAGCUUGAAUCCUUUUGAAAGAAUCAACAACUGCCUCUGCUUUGGCUGCUGUUAUGCAAGGCUCAUCUCUUUUUCCCCGAACAAAACAUGAUUUCUUGCACUCCAAAUUACCCAACACAGAGCUAUUACCAGAUCAGCAUUGUUUUUACCCAUUCUUCUCACUGCUUCAUGGACAAAACUGAGGAUGUCUUGGUGAGCUAUAUUUCCAAUAUCAACUGCAAAUUUGGUGGUUUUCCAUACUGUACGGGCUAAUUUGCACUCCAUCAGGGCAUGGGCAGUUGUUUCCAUCUUAGUUCCACAUAGUUGGCAGGUUGGCUGUGGUAAUAGUUUCCUCUUCCACAAGAUCUCAGUGGUUGGGAGCAAAUUUUUUGUUGCCCUCCAUACAAAAAUCUUAAUUUUUUCUGGUAAAGACAAGGUCCAAAUGACUGACCAUUGGUUUGUCUUUUGAUUUGAGCAGCUCGGGAUGUCCGGGAAUUUCUCUCUCAAUGCCACCUGAUAUCCACUCUUCACAGAGUAGAUCCCUUUUUUAUCGUAGUGCCAAACUAUUUGAUCCUCCAUGGGUCGGUUGGGGAGGGGAAUUCUUAAAAUCAUCUCGGCAUCUUCUUUUUCAAAGUGUUGAUUAAUCAAGCCUUCAUUCCACUGGUUAGCAGCAUUAAUCAAAUCUGAGACUUUUGAAUCGAUGGGUAGAGAUGGAGAGGAAACUGGUUUGAAGGUUGUGGGCCUUGGCAUCCAGUUUCCUUUAUAAACCUUGACUUGCUCUCCAUUCCCGAUCCUCCAUCUGAUCCCUUUGUGAAUCACUUGUCUCCCCCACAAAAUACUCCUCCAUAUGAAUGAAGGCUUACUUCCCAGCCUUGCAUUUAAGAACUGACCGUUCUUGAAAUACCUAGCUUGCAGGACUCUAGCCACCAGAGAGUUAGGAAAUUGAAUAAUUCUCCAACUUUGCUUAGCUACUAGCACCUGGUUAAAGCUUGCAAAGUCUCAUAAUCCCAGCCCUCCUCUUUGCUUGGCUUGGCUUAAUUUCUCCCAUUUUGCCCAGUGAAUCCCUUUUUUUUCCUUAUUGCUGCUCCACCAAAAUUUGGCUAUUACUUGUUAGAUAUCAUUACAAGUACUUAAGGGGAGUUUGAAGACACUCAUUGCGUAUGCCGGAACCGCCUGAGCCACUGCCUUGAUAAGAACUUCUUUGCCCCCGCAUGAGAAGAAUUUAUGCUGCCAAUUGGUGAUUUUGCUGGACACUCUCAGCUCGUGUUUCCGCUAAAAAACAUGGAGGAUUUGUCGUAAUUGAAGAGCUGGCCUGAUGCAGCUACAUAGGCCUCAAAUAUCCUUUUCAGAUGCAAAAAAUUUGCUUCUGAGGCAUUUGUGAAGAUGAGACUAUCAUCGGCAAACAAUAAGUGGGAUAUGAUGAUAUCUUUGCUGAAUUUCAGACCAUGGAUUAGGCUUUUUUCUUUAGCUCUUUUACCAUCCAUUUGAACAUACACAAACACGCCCAAUUUGAAAAAAAAAAUAGUAAUUAUAAAAUAUUUCAAUCGUCCACUGUUCAGUCACCAAAAACCAAUUUACCAUCCAUUUCAACGCCUAAUUUGAAAAAAGAAAAUACUAAUAAUAAAAUAUUACAGUCGUCCAUCCUUUCACAAAUCAAAAAUAUCACCAAAAACCAAUUAACCAGCUAUUUCAACAUAAGGUAUAUGGGUUGACAAGUCCCAAUAUUGUGCUCCAUCCUUUCUGCACUUCUCUGCUAUCAACGGACAUCUCCAGAUCCAUAAUUGCAAAAGUGAGGAAGGCAGGCCCUUCUCCGGAAAGUAUUUGAGCUUGGGACAAUCCUCGAGAUACAAUUCAGUGAGGUUUUGAAGAUCAACAAUUGAAGAAGAUAAGCGUUCCAGAUUUGAAAAUUUAUAAAUGCUCAGAGAUGUUAGAGAGGCAGGAAGAGGAAGCGCGGUCCCUAAUCUUUUGUCCUCUAGUGGAAAUGACACCAUGUCGUCAUCACAUCCUUCGAUUGUAAGAUGUCGCAGAGAGGAGAAUCUGUGAAAUCCCCGGCCCCGCUCAAUCAUUGACUUCCAAAUCUCCAUAUUACCCCAAAUACGAAGUGACUGAAGGUUGGUGGGAAGGCCAUCUUCUUCAAGGCUUGGAAGCUCACCUCCUUUUCCUAUUGUUAGUUUUUGAAGAGAGGUCAGAUUGUGCAAUCCCUUGGGUAAGGCCUCUAGUCUCUUGCAAUCAAGUAUCGUCAGCCUCGUGAGUUUCGCACAAGGCAACCCCCCUUCGGGAAAGGACACCAGAUUUCCACAAAUCUGUAUACUAAUCUCUCGAAGCCGGUGGAGUUUAUGUAAACCACUCGGUAAAAUUUUGAGAUUUUCACAAUAAGCAAUGUAGAUAUCUUCAAGAGAUGUGUUGUUGUCCAACCUUUCUGCUAUUGACUCCAGCUUUGAACAUCCACAAACACGAAGGGACUUAAGAGACAGAGGUAGAUUGCCAACUUCAAGGGACUCAAGCGUGGCAGGUAACUCGUUUUUUGAAAAUAUACAUGUCAGUGAUGGACAAUAGCGAAUAUUCAAGUCCUCGAGAAGAGAUGAGGUGUACCUUCCACUGCUGCUGCUACACUGGAUGCCCUCUUCCACUGUCAAAGUCCUUAUAUUAUCACAAUUCUGGAUGUCCAACAUCUUAAGGCUCGGUGCUAGCUGGACUCUAGCAAUAUAUGUCAACGAAUAGCAAUAUGAAAUCCUCAAGAUCUCGAGAGAUGAAUUGGUGUCGCAUAUCCAUGCCUCUGGUAACGAUUUCAGUGCAUCACAUUCUCUAAUCUGAAUUAUCUUCAACUUGGAAGGCAGACCAACCUCAGGAAAGGAAACAAGGGAACUGCAGUUGUAGAUUUCUAUAUCUCUCAAGGAACUGAGGCUGAACGAUGAUUGUGGCAGCUUCACAAGGCCUUCGCAAUAACUCAAUCUUAGAUAUUCAAGUCUGCAUGACAACUCGCAGAGCUGCUGUUGUUGGUCUUUCUCUUCCUCCGCGACCAAGGAUUGAAGUUUGGGACAACUUGUAAUCGUCAGUCUUUUGAGAGAGCAAAUGUCCUGCAGUAAUUCGUUAUGGCUCUUCCAUAUACAUGUUUCAUUUUGAAUAUUAUUUAUCUUCAAUUCUUCCAGUUUUGGUAUUCGCGACUUCAAUGGCCCUGCGAGAAACACUUGAUUUGAUGUAUCUCUACAAACCACUGAAUUCUGUGAGCCGAGAAGAUCAGUUGCACUUCUCCAAACAACCUUUUUACAUCCACCAAUAUGCAAGUUGCAAAGAGCUGGAAGACUCGUAACUGAAACUGACAAUUCUUCACAUCCUUCAAUUACAAGCAUCUCCAAUGCAGCAAGGUGCUCUGGAAAUGUUCCUUGCAGUUUAGAACACCUUAUAAUGCGAAGCUCUCUCAAUUUAGGAAACCCUUCAACUCCCUGACCAGAUCUAAGAGGAAUCCAGUCUUCCCAUUCUCGCAUGUUUUCAAAAUGAAGAGUCUCCAAGCAUGGAAAAUGAAUCGGAGAAUCAUUCCCAUAGAACUCUGAACCCAAACUCUUUACUCUACUCAUUCCACGUACUUCAAGAUGCUUUAGAGAGGGUAGUUGCCCGACUGACGGCAGGGUAGUACACACGCCGCAAUCUUCAAAUUUUAAGGUCGCUAAAUUUGAGAAUGAGGAAUCUCCCAACCAAGUUGGAAAUUCUUUACCUCCAUAGCCACUGACACAAAAUUGUUCCAGAUUUUCAUGAGGUUUUAGCAUGUCGAGCACAUCCUUUUCAGUUUCUGCCUCCCUCGAAGACAAACCAUUGGUACUCAGUGUCCAUCGAAACAUUAACACUUUAAGAUUCUUCUUUCCAUCCAAUUGAGCCUCCUUCGCAUCACCAAUGUCUUUAACGUUCUCCAAUUUUGAAAUGUUAAGUGUCCCACGAAGAUGCGUCAACAAUUUUAGCUCUCGUAUCCCGGAACCACUGUCUUUUCCCACAACAAAAUUACACAGAGUCUGAAGGCAAGUCAACUUACCAAUUCCUAGUGGCAUCUCCUCCAACGAAUCUGUAUUUGAAUUAUUGAGAUGAUGCAAUUUGAUGAGAUUUCCCAUGUCUGCACACAACUUCUUCAGUCGCCGACAGCCCUCCAACAGAAGCGUGUGCAAAUUGUAAAGCGUGUUGACUGAUUCGGGCAGAGUUAUAAUGCCAGUUCCCGAUAAGUUAAGGUACCUUAAAUACCUCAAAUCACCGAUUGUAUCUGGCAGCUCGGAGACGUAAUAUCGAUGCAAAGAGAAGACCCUCAACCGUUGGAGUUUGAACAACUUAGGAAGAAUGCUACGAGCCAAGUAUCCAGACAGAAAGCCAUUUGACAGCCUUACUGGUAAAAAGGUUCGCAAAUGUUGGAUAUCGUACAAGUCCUCAAACCUUUUAACGCCAUCAUAUUCUCCAAAAAUGUACGAUAGAUGACGAAGAUUUUUGGAAAAACUUUGUUGCUUGUUAACUUCCGAGGUAUACUCCAUUGUGAAGUAUAUUUCCCCCGCAGCCCAUUGAGCAAGGUCGCUGAUAAGAUCGUGCAUCACAAAUCGUGAUGCAUCGUUGCUUGAUUGCUGGAAAAAAGAUCUUGAGUGCAGCUCCUUAAAGAUCUUACGACCGAAAUCGUCACAGGAAUUCCCACUCCCUUUGUGAUCCAAGAAACCCGAAGCACACCAUAAUAAAAUUAUCUCCUCCUCUUCAAAUUCAUAAUCCUUUGGAAACAAUGAGCAGUAUGCAAAGCAUUGUUUCAAAGGUGCCGAAAGAUAAUAGUAGCUCACUGCAAGGGCUGGUAUAAUGCCACAUCUCUCUUCUGGUAAUUCCCAUAUCUUGCUAUUGAGCACAUCUUCCCACUCACUUCUGUCAUGAUUCCCACGCAAAAGUCCUCCAAGUGUUUGGGCUGCCAAGGGCAAGCCAUCGCAUUUGGUCACUAUCUUCUUGCCGAUUUCCUCCAGUGACUUAUGUGAACUGAAAUCUCUCGUCCCCAAUGAAUGUUGAACGAAUACAGCUAGACAAUCAUUAUCUGACAACUUCUUUAAUUGAUAAGCCGGAACAGUACCCAUAAUUUUAGCAACCUCUUGAUUGCGAGUAGUGACAAUAAUUUUACUUCCCGGUGCGCCAACUUCAAAGGGACGUCUGAGUUUAUCCCAAUCAUCGUAAUUCCGGUUCCACACGUCAUCUAAAACAAGCAAAAAUUUCUUUCCAGAUAGUUGCUUAUUCAGUUUCUCUUGAAGUGAAUUCAAUUUGAGAUUAUCUACGUUCUGGUCAGCAACAAUGGAUGUUAAGAUUGUUUUUGUGAGCCUGAUAACGUCGAAAUCAUCAGAGACACAAGUCCAUGCCUUGAGAUCAAAAUGAUCCAGCACUUGCUUAUCAUUGUAGACAAGCUGAGCAAGAGUGGUUUUGCCCAGCCCGCCCAUACCUAUGAUAGGAAUUACAGAGAAUUCACCAUCGUUGCUUAAAUCAUCCCUCAACAGCAGUUCUACAACAUCCUUCUUUUCUGUUUCUCUGCCAUAUACUUUGGCUUCCUUCACCAAAGAAGUUGUCUCUCGCCUUUGCCUGUCUUUUAUGGUCCUCCCACCUGAACUUACGUUCAAACCCAGCGAAUCCUUCUGAGUUACAAUUUCUUGAAAUCUGCCGUCGAUCUCUUUGAUUUUGGACAUUAUGGCGUAAUCGAACUGAAUCGAUUGUGGAGCAAAAGUGGUGCAGCAAGUGGGAAUGAGCUUCCGAAACUUACUUGUUCUUGUACGACUGCUACUGGGUUGAUCAAGAGCAGCAGCAGGUUCUCCAUUUCCAAGCAGCAACUUCCUCCGGAAAACCUCAGUUUGAAACUCAUCCAACAGGUCCUCAACAUCAUAAGCCAAGUUCUGAAGCUUGCCAAGCCACUUCUUCACAAACCGAUUAGUCGUCUUCUUCUCCUCAGCAUCAUCAAGCACCGCCUUGAUCAUCUCCAACAUAUUCUCCCACUUUAUUAGAUCGGCCUGGAUUUGCUCUUGGCGUGCAAACAACCGAAUCCCCUCUGAAGCUAACUUAUUGACCAGCAAAUCAACGGACGCCGUAAGGAUUGCCUCUCCGAUGAAUGACAUUUUUUUUUUUUUGUUUUGCAAAGAAAGAAACAGAAUUUUGAGUUUUGAAAAGCAAAAUGAGAAAAUUGAACGGGUCAAGCAAAAUGCGCGUAACAAGUCUUCCGCUUGUUGUUUAUUCCAAUAAAGUGAAAAUAAAAACAGAGCCCACCACCCAUUGAUAAUUUAGCAAUUCACCANNNNNNNNNNNNNNNNNNNNNNNNNNNNNNNNNNNNNNNNNNNNNNNNNNNNNNNNNNNNNNNNNNNNNNNNNNNNNNNNNNNNNNNNNNNNNNNNNNNNNNNNNNNNNNNNNNNNNNNNNNNNNNNNNNNNNNNNNNNNNNNNNNNNNNNNNNNNNNNNNNNNNNNNNNNNNNNNNNNNNNNNNNNNNNNNNNNNNNNNNNNNNNNNNNNNNNNNNNNNNNNNNNNNNNNNNNNNNNNNNNNNNNNNNNNNNNNNNNNNNNNNNNNNNNNNNNNNNNNNNNNNNNNNNNNNNNNNNNNNNNNNNNNNNNNNNNNNNNNNNNNNNNNNNNNNNNNNNNNNNNNNNNNNNNNNNNNNNNNNNNNNNNNNNNNNNNNNNNNNNNNNNNNNNNNNNNNNNNNNNNNNNNNNNNNNNNNNNNNNNNNNNNNNNNNNNNNNNNNNNNNNNNNNNNNNNNNNNNNNNNNNNNNNNNNNNNNNNNNNNNNNNNNNNNNNNNNNNNNNNNNNNNNNNNNNNNNNNNNNNNNNNNNNNNNNNNNNNNNNNNNNNNNNNNNNNNNNNNNNNNNNNNNNNNNNNNNNNNNNNNNNNNNNNNNNNNNNNNNNNNNNNNNNNNNNNNNNNNNNNNNNNNNNNNNNNNNNNNNNNNNNNNNNNNNNNNNNNNNNNNNNNNNNNNNNNNNNNNNNNNNNNNNNNNNNNNNNNNNNNNNNNNNNNNNNNNNNNNNNNNNNNNNNNNNNNNNNNNNNNNNNNNNNNNNNNNNNNNNNNNNNNNNNNNNNNNNNNNNNNNNNNNNNNNNNNNNNNNNNNNNNNNNNNNNNNNNNNNNNNNNNNNNNNNNNNNNNNNNNNNNNNNNNNNNNNNNNNNNNNNNNNNNNNNNNNNNNNNNNNNNNNNNNNNNNNNNNNNNNNNNNNNNNNNNNNNNNNNNNNNNNNNNNNNNNNNNNNNNNNNNNNNNNNNNNNNNNNNNNNNNNNNNNNNNNNNNNNNNNNNNNNNNNNNNNNNNNNNNNNNNNNNNNNNNNNNNNNNNNNNNNNNNNNNNNNNNNNNNNNNNNNNNNNNNNNNNNNNNNNNNNNNNNNNNNNNNNNNNNNNNNNNNNNNNNNNNNNNNNNNNNNNNNNNNNNNNNNNNNNNNNNNNNNNNNNNNNNNNNNNNNNNNNNNNNNNNNNNNNNNNNNNNNNNNNNNNNNNNNNNNNNNNNNNNNNNNNNNNNNNNNNNNNNNNNNNNNNNNNNNNNNNNNNNNNNNNNNNNNNNNNNNNNNNNNNNNNNNNNNNNNNNNNNNNNNNNNNNNNNNNNNNNNNNNNNNNNNNNNNNNNNNNNNNNNNNNNNNNNNNNNNNNNNNNNNNNNNNNNNNNNNNNNNNNNNNNNNNNNNNNNNNNNNNNNNNNNNNNNNNNNNNNNNNNNNNNNNNNNNNNNNNNNNNNNNNNNNNNNNNNNNNNNNNNNNNNNNNNNNNNNNNNNNNNNNNNNNNNNNNNNNNNNNNNNNNNNNNNNNNNNNNNNNNNNNNNNNNNNNNNNNNNNNNNNNNNNNNNNNNNNNNNNNNNNNNNNNNNNNNNNNNNNNNNNNNNNNNNNNNNNNNNNNNNNNNNNNNNNNNNNNNNNNNNNNNNNNNNNNNNNNNNNNNNNNNNNNNNNNNNNNNNNNNNNNNNNNNNNNNNNNNNNNNNNNNNNNNNNNNNNNNNNNNNNNNNNNNNNNNNNNNNNNNNNNNNNNNNNNNNNNNNNNNNNNNNNNNNNNNNNNNNNNNNNNNNNNNNNNNNNNNNNNNNNNNNNNNNNNNNNNNNNNNNNNNNNNNNNNNNNNNNNNNNNNNNNNNNNNNNNNNNNNNNNNNNNNNNNNNNNNNNNNNNNNNNNNNNNNNNNNNNNNNNNNNNNNNNNNNNNNNNNNNNNNNNNNNNNNNNNNNNNNNNNNNNNNNNNNNNNNNNNNNNNNNNNNNNNNNNNNNNNNNNNNNNNNNNNNNNNNNNNNNNNNNNNNNNNNNNNNNNNNNNNNNNNNNNNNNNNNNNNNNNNNNNNNNNNNNNNNNNNNNNNNNNNNNNNNNNNNNNNNNNNNNNNNNNNNNNNNNNNNNNNNNNNNNNNNNNNNNNNNNNNAUUUGGGUGGUCAUUUUUUUAUAAUAUUCCUUCAUUCAUGGUCAUUAGAUCAAACAAUUCAAUCCCUACUAUAGCUAAUUAACUUAUUGACCAGCAACUUAAAGGAUGCCAUAAGGAUUGCCUCUCCGAUGAUUGACAUUUUUUUUCUCCGUUUUUUGUUUUUUUUUUUUUGGGUGGGGGUGGGGAAAAAGAAACCGAAUUAUGAAUUUAUGGAAAUUAAAGCAAAUAAGAAAGUGAAUUACAGCCGAAUGAGUUUGUGAUUGUGAUAGGUCGGGCAAGUCUAGAAAUCAAUUAGGCAAAACCCACCACGAAAGUUAAAAAGGAAAAAUAGCGCCCACCACAAAUAUAGAAUUGGAGGAGCUCACGACCAUGCCUUUGCUUUACAUAUUAAAUUAAAUAAAAGCCAAACCAAGAACCUUGCCUUUGCUUAACAUGAUUAAUUAGGCACUACUUCAGAAAGAAUCACGAAAGAAAUGAACCCUUUUAUUAAUCUUUAGUGUCAGGAAUAAAGCUACAUUUUCUCCUCUUACCAUCUGUUCACGUUCAUUUCAAAAGUUUGAAGAGAGUUUAUCCAUUCUUCUAAACUAAAAAAAUCAACAUUCUUGCUUUCUUCAAAUGUUGAAUAAAGAAAAAUAAGGAAAAAAUUAGAAUGUAUCUACCUUCACUAACCUAAAAUAAAAAAAAUUUAAUCUCUCUUUUAUUACUCAAGUACACUAUUUUUUUAAUAAUUGUAUUGACAAUGACAAUAUAUAUCAUCGAUUAUAUUCUUGUUGUGUUGAAAUAAGAUAUAAAAAAUUUUGGAUCAAGAGGAAUCGAUCGACUCAUUAGUUAAAGGUAUAUAUUUAAUAUACUAAAAACAAAAAUUAACAUAACACGAUUAUUACACUAAAGUGAAAUGAAAGCCAGUACCCACCAGUUCACCAACAGUAAUUUAGCAAACUUUGCAUUCUCGAGUUUGAGGAAAUGGACAUUGGUAAAUUAACCAAAGGACCAAUGAAAGAAUUUUAAAUAACAAAAUGGAGACUACACAUGUUUUUUCUUUUUUUCCAUAUAAUUGUUCAGGAAAUGGAACUAAUUUUGAGACAUUUUCAAAUAAACUUAUUUUCAAAAGCAAUACAAAAGGAUUUCGUUUUAUUUUGAAACAUUUCAUGGAAUCAAUUCACAGUAAAAUAAAUAGAAAAGUGGUAAUUCUCUCAUUUUAUUAUUUUCUUUUUUAAAAGGAGAUGAUGGGGUUGGGUUGUUCACCAAAUUAUUGGUGCGGGGUCUAUUUGUUUUUGUUUUAACUUUAUUAAUUAAUUGGCGAAGCAAACAUGUAAUGAUUUGUAAAAAGAUCACUAGCAUCAGAUUACUGGGAGGUAUUAUGGAGAAGUCACGCUUAGUAUUUACAAUUCAUGUAAGAUGAAUUUGUAAGACUUAUUAAUUUCGAUGAAAAUGUAGAUUUAUUAAGUUACUAACUCAUUAAGUUAACUUGAGAUAUUAAUAUUUAUUAAUUGUGGAGAUUAAUUUAUUUAACUUGUCAUGAUUUUCAAUUAAAAAUGAAGUUCAGUCAAUUUAUGGAAAGAACGAUAAUUUUUUUUUUUCAGAUUUUUAAUUCCUAGGAUUUGAUUUUACUUUGUUUCGAUUGUCGAUGUUGCUGAAGAGGCAGUGAAAGUUUGUUGAAUGCCAUCAAAUGCUUGGAUCUUAUCUCACAAAAUGUCAAUAUCGGUUUGUUUCCCCAUAGGCGCAACCAUCACAAAUUGAAAGUAACAACAUGAUGAACAUAUAACAUAUACAUAUUUUACCAUUAAUUAUAUAAUUGCUAGUUAUUUUUAUUUGUUAUUUUUAAUUAAUUAAAAUAUUUUACUGAAUAGGAAAUUAAUUGGAGAUUAUGGAUAAAAAGGGCCUGAAGAAGUUUAAUUUGGGAAACAAUAAAAAUUAAAUUGAAAGACAAAAAUAUAGAUAAGGAUUAAUGGAAUCCGAGCCGAAAAAAUCAAAGCACAAGGAUUUUCUUAAUGUCAUUAUUUAGGCAAGUGUUUUGAUGCAGUAGAAGUUUAUAGUUUCAAUAUUCCAUUGAUUUUUAGAAAAUACCUGAAUAAAUGGACAAACUAAAUUCACGUUGAUUCAAAAGAAUGGUGCGAAUUUAGGGGUUAAGACUCGUUGAUUCCGUAAAAUACCGAGAAUUAUCUAACUCAAAUACUCACCUAGAGUUUUGAAAAUUAAAAUAUUAUUGAACUCAAAAUCUUUGCUUGUAAAAUCUUUAAUAAUUUACAUAAUUAUAUAAAGUGUGUAUAAACUAAUGUGACAUAAAGAGAUUGGUUGUAUUAAACUAUCAUGAACCCACAUAAUUGAAAAAAAUAAUUGUUAUUACUUUUUAGUUAAUUUUUUCAUGUCACAUUAGUUUGUGCAUAUUAGUUUGUACAAAACUGUUUGUAUCUCUAUUAUUAUUGUUAUAUUAAUUCUUCAAUUUUCUCAAAAAUAUGAAUAUGGGCAAGGUAUUCAUUCCUAUUUCAUCAUAAAUAAAUAAAUAAAUUUCAUUGUUUAUCUUAUCAACCAUUUGAGAGUACGGAGGUUGGUUAAUUCCAUUCGUAUGAAUUAUCUACAGGUAAAUCUUGCGUUUACUUUUUGGAUUGGAGUGGGAAUCCUGAGGAGUGGGAAUCCUUGGAUUAGGAGUGUGGAGUGAGAGUGAGAGUAGGGUGUUUACUUAGACUAAAUGAAAGUAUGGAUUGUCAAUCAGAAUCUCAAUUAUUUGUUUAUUUUGUCUUGGAUUGGGAGUAAAUUAUUUUAAAUUACAAUUUUAUCCUUAUGUAAAGAAUUAUAAUUUGUAAUUAAAAAAUUAAUAAAAAAUAUAUUUGGAAAAUAAAAUAAAUUUUUAUUAUAUUUAUAAAUUAAUAAUAUUCUUAAUUAUGUAAAUCAUAAUUUUUUAUUAAUUUUAAUUUAAAUUAUGUUAAUAAAAAUUAUUAAUAAUAGCAACACAAAUGAAAUAUUAUUAUUGAUAAUAUAGUAUAAAAUUAAUAUUUUUUAGAAUAAAAUAUUUUAUUAUUAUUAAUUAAUUAAAUAAUAUUUAUUAAAAUUAAUGUUUAAUAUUAUUAAUUUAAAUAUAAUAUUUAUUUAUUUUUAUUUUAUUAAAUUUAAUAAAAUAAAUAUGUUAUAAUUAUUAUUUUUAAUAAAUAUGAUAUUAUUUAUUUUAUUAAAUAUAAUAUUAUUUAUUUUAUUAAAUAUAAUAUUAUUUAUUUUAUUAAAUAUAAUAUUAUUUAUUUUAUUAAAUAUAAUAUUAUUUAUUUUAUUAAAUAUAAUAUUAUUUAUUUUAUUAAAUAUUAUUUAUUUAUUUUAUUAAAUUUUAUUUAUUUAUUUUUAUUAGGAAGGUAAAAAGGGAAGAGGGGGGAGUGGAUUCCCACUCCCACCUCCCCCCAUGGGAGUGGGAAUCCCACUCCCCACUCUAAAAUUAAGUGGGAUCCAUGGAGUGGGAAUCUCACUCCCCCUAUUUUAAGGUAAGUAAACACUGGAGUGGGAGGAAUCCACACUCCACACUCCCAAUUUAGAAAGUAAACACUACCUAAAGGUAUUUACAGUCAGGAUUUUUUUUUCCAUGUAACCUCAAAUGCACUAUGCAAUAAAAUAUAAAUAUAAAUAAAGCAAGCAGUUACUAAGUCUUUAGGUUGUUAGGCAGAUGCUAAGGCCUUGUCCUGAAUAAGCCCAGCAAUUCAAACUUAAGAUUACACUAUAAAAAGGGGGCGCAAAGGCAAAGAAAGUGGCACGGCAAGUGCAGCGAAGGAAGCAAAGGAGAGCAUGUCACACUGAGAUUACAUGUCUGAUAUUUGGCUCCGCUUCUUCCCUUUAAACACCUCGAAAUAAGCAUCAAGGAAGUGGUCUUGUCAUCAUCUUCUUCCAGUACAUCAAUGGAGAAACAACAUUCGAACACAUGGAAAUAAGAAAAAUCAUUAAAAUUGACUACUACUGUUGCAUAUUCAUAAUAUGACUGCUGGCUUUUCUUCUAUCUCAGUUUUUUUCAGAGCUCAACUAAGGGCAGUUUGAUGCUGUCAUUGGAUAGCAGUAGCUUGAAAAACUACAGUACUUUAGUGGUUAGUAAACACUUAUUGCUAUAAUUUGGAAUUUAGGUUCAUUUUAUCCGAUACUCGAAAUACGCUAAUGGGAAAAAUAGUCAAAACUCAGGUAAUUUUUUCAUUUCUCUUUUUAUGUUUCUAAACACAUCAAAACUCUCUCUUGAUGUUUAAAAAAAUUUAUUAACUUUUAACUUUUAUUUGUGUCCUUUCUUAUUUCAUCCAUGAUGUCGUAAAACCCACUGUUAAUCAAUAAAAAUUUCUGAAGAUAGAAUAAUGAAGGAUACAAAAAAAUUUACAAGCCUUUUGUAUAUGAUAGUUGACUAUGUGUAUCGGGACAAUGUUGUGAGCAUUAGAUUGGACAAGUUAUGAAUUUUUAUCAGUCUAGCUCAUACGCAAAAACUUUGAAAAACUUUGAAAAGAAUAAGUUAUCCAUAUAACACAAAAUCACCAUUUAUACUUAGCUCAUUUAUAUUUUUUAUGGAUAUGAAUGUAAAUUUCUGCCUUUGGAGAGUAAUAAUAAUCCAAUAUCGUCGACGUGGCCGUUGCAGUUGCCGAGUCGAUGCAAAAAGAGCAACGGCGAUUUGUUGAAGAGAAGCAACAGCAACUGAAUAAUAAUAUAACAGCAACAACAACGUUGAUUCUUCGAAAGAGAAAAGAGUCAAAUCCGGCAAAAAGGCCAAGGCAAAAGCAGCCACCGUGUCGGCGCACGAGGCUUUUUAUUCUAAAUUGAAAAAGAAAAAUUGGGUAAUUAACUUAACUUAUCAAGGAUAACAUUGUCAUAUCACAAAAAAUAUUUUAUUUUGAUGAAUAGUUACAGUUUGUAAAAUAAUUAAAUCAAUUAAGAAAAAUAAGGGCAUUUUCAUUGUAAAAUAACGUAAUUUUUUAGUGUUAGGAGUAAGUGUAGCGUUUUUAAAUUUAAAGAGGCAAGCUAGAGGAAGAUGGAGCUGUCAACUUUCAAGUAAUGUAUGCAUCAAGGUAAGUGACAGAGCUAAGGAGAAAUGGACAAGUACUAAUCAUCGUUAUAAAAAAUUAAACAGAGCAGCAUUUUGUCAGUUCUGGCCAUAUAUAUUUUUCAAGGAUUGGGACUGUUAGCACCGCUGUAAUUUUAUUUUCAAGCUCUUCUCUGUCAAAACCUAUUUUACUUUCCAAAAUAUCUUAUUCCAUUUUUUUAGUUUCUUUCUGAUUCAAGAUUUUUUUUUUAAAAAAAAAAAAUCUGUUUCUUCCAAACAACUCCAAUUACAAUUUUUUUUUAUAAAUUUUUGAAUUAUUAAAUCAUAUAUAGUUAACUAAAGAGAAUCAUAUAUACAAACUAAAUAGAAUUAAAAGUGGACUCAAAUGGCUAUUAUGUUAUUUUUUUCUAAAUUAAAAAAAAAAGUUUAGAAUCAGAGCCUCCUUGUAAGCCAUAAAAAAAAAGAAAAGAAAAGUUUAUAAUGCAAAAGUAUUUGUGAGAAAAAAAAAAAACACUUUGAUGUAGUUGCAUGAAUGUAAAGAGUUAGAUAGAGAAAUAGAGUGUAUAAUUAGAUUUAUUUUUUUCUUUAAAGUAAUCGCAAUAUAAGAGGGGUUAAGAAUUUCACAGGAGUGCCACUGAUUCAACUCUUUUUCAAGAGAAUUGAUGUUCUGGAAGAAAAUUAUGACUCUAUCAUUGCUAUUAGUUUGUCUUGUAAUUCAAUUAUUGCCGACAAGUAUUAACUGUGAUUAUUUUUAUUUUAAAAAUUAUUAUUAUUAAUGUAUUGCAAUUUUGAGCCUUAUAAUUGCAAUUAGUUUGUCUUGUAACUAAAUUAUUGCCGACAAACACUAUCAUGCUGACAAACAAUGCAUGCACGUCCUCAGUCACCCACGUCCUCUACUUGUGUGAAUGUGUAUAUAAAUAUAUCUGGAGCAUAUUAUAAAACCAGAAGCAAAAGCAACUGAAGUUUUGAAUACGGUUCACCAGAAGUUAGAAGAUAUCUUUUCUAAUUUGAAGAAUAUGGAAACUCCUUAUCCAGGUUCUUAGGCCAUGUUCAGCUGAAUGUCACUUAUAAUUUUUAUUUUAAUAUAUGUAUUUAUGAAUACAAUUGUUGUUAUGAUUUUUUCAGGUAAGAACGAAUGGUCAGAGGGUAACCCAAUAACUAUGUACAGCAUUAUUAAUGAUGAGAGCGUGAAUGACAAUCUGGAUCUUAUUGUCGUCCCUCAAUACGGAAGAAAUCUCGAUCACACUGGUUAAGUGCUAUCCUACUCUUUCGUAUUAUGUUCAAUUAAAUAAAAUGAUGGGUUAUUAAUACCUGUCAAUUAUGUGAGUGUCUCUGUUUGGUUUAGUUCAACUUAUAAAAUCUCUUGAAAUAUACAAGAGAUUUUCUUUAUUUACGUUUGUGUACCGUGUCUUCUUGAAAAAAGAAAUUAAUAAAAAAUAUCAUUGUGUGAUCCUUUUCUUUCCCCUACUGCUGUAGCAUCAAAUCCUUAGAAUUAGAUAUCAAGUGGUAUUCGAGCCGUCAAAUGAUCCGUGGCAACACGCAACAAAUCAAAUGCUGAAUUUCGCGAAGAGAUUAACAAAAUCCUUGCUAGACACGAGUCUAGCUUUGACCAAGUUGACGCCACCCUUCAAACAAUCCUUACUGAACUUCAAUCCUUGCAUCUCCACUCUCCAAUGUACUUCCCCAGAGGGGAGACCAACCCAUUUGCUACAGCUCACAUCUCUUCACGAUACUGGUUAAAAGCAUGGGGGCAUUAGUCGAAGACGCUUCUUGGGAAAACCUUUAGCGAUUCUCAAAGACUUUGACAUUGUGGACAAAGUGGUUGCAAGGGGUGGGGAUUAAUAUGUCUCCAAACGACAAGCAGCCAUGCUCACUGAUUAUGUGUGCAAUAUUCCCGUAUUUCCCAUUAUUUCCUGUACUUUAUGCAUUAUUGUUUUGUAUGUCUUUUGGUGUUUGUGGUGUAGUUAGGGAUGGUAGCGGGUAGGGUCUGGUACGGGUUUGACAUCACCAAACCCGCAUCAACAAAAAACUUUAAUUACUAGAUUCGCUGUGGGUUAUAUUUAAUUUUAUUUUUUAAACAAAGCCCAUUCACUGUGGGUUUGAUUGGUGCCUAGUAGAUAUUUUGCGAGUUCCCACAUAUAAAAUCACACUAGCAACAAAAUCUAAAAAUUUAAAUUACGUAAUUCAAAUUAUAAAUUUAUAACUGUUGCCUAAAAAUACCACAUAAAAUACUUAAUUGUAGAUUUUAUCAAUGUAAAUGAGAAAUGAAAAUAUCAACAUUAAAAAAUACACAAAAUAUAUCAAUUUAACACGAAUUUUCAAAUUCAAUUACCAAAUAAAUAAGUUUAUCACAACUCGAAGUGCUUUCAAUUGAAAAAGAAAAAAGAGAAAGAGAAAAAAAUAAAGAACUACAAAUCAAAGUAGCACCCAUGACCUAUUUCAUAGGCUCAUUCAACACCAAGAUCUUAGAAUUAAGAUCUUCAAUUCAUCCGUUACCACUAGCACCCAUUCAACGUGGUUUUUCUAAACAAAAAAUAAAGUACAAAAUUACAAUAAGCAUAUGAUACUCCAUGCUUUAAGUUAAAGAUCCUUCUAUAAUUUUAUGAAUAAUUUUUUAGUGAAAUUUUAUGAUUAAAGUUAAAAAUACAAAUAUUAAAAUAAGAAUGUUGGACGCCUUCGCAACUAUUUGCCAAUUUUUUUUUCUAUAUAAAAAUUCACCUGCAACUUAUAGCAGGUUUAAAUUUAUAAUAUCAAACUUGAUUGUGGCUCGCAAAAUUUUUGGAUUUGCGAUAAUUUUGCCACCCUAAGUGUGGUUAGUGUGUUUCCAUUGGCUCUUUAUAAAAGCCUAGAAGUUGUUUGAAUAAUGAGGGAGACAAAUAUUUCCCAAAGAUAUUCUCUUUUUCAAAUUGUUUUCAAAUAUUUCCCAAAGAUAUUCUCUUUUUCAAAUUCUUUUCUUUUCUCUAUUAUUGUAACUUCAAAUCCUUGAAAUUACAUAUUUCAAAUCCUUGACAUGAGCACAAUGUUUUGACAUAGUGGCUUUUGGCUUGUCUAGAGAAAUUUAGGAUAGAUUUUGAUGUAUUAAGGCUCGUUUUACUAUUGAGAUUUUGGAACUUUUGAGCCACACUUGAAAUUUGUAUUGUUCUAAUAGAGUUGUACCCUUCGAUAUGUGAUUGGUAUUAAUCAGGUGAUAUGUUUACAGCAGUUAAAGGCAUAUUGAAUCAAAGUCCACUUUUGAUUGAGAUUUUAAAGUAUGUUUUUAAUUUGAUAGCCACUCAAGUUCAAAUAUUGGAACCACAGUGCUUUAUAACCAAGUGAGAGAAUUUGUGUCCUGAAGGUUGAGGGCUGCAAAUCGAGUUUUACUACCAACAAAAGUUGGUGUUAAGACUUUAGUUGCCCUCCUACUUAUGGAUAAGGAUAAUUAGGACUUUACAUCCCCUCCUACUAAUAGAUAGGGGUUAUUAGGAAUAUUAAAAAAAGGUUCAAAUAUUGAAAAAAUAGGUAUGGGUUAUAAAAUUCAUAAUACAAGAACAAGAAAUCAAGAUAAAAAUUUAAAAAUUAGAACCAUGAGAGCGUAACUUGUAAGUUUCAAAGAAUCAUGUGCAAACAUAUGCAUAUCGAUACCCAUUAGGGGUGGGCAUUAAGAUCGGGUUAACCCGAACCGAACCUCAAAUUUAUUUUGGGUUCAAUUUGAUUUUGGUUGAACCUUUCAACUGAGUUGAAAACUUAUAAACGACUGUGUUGUAUUUCUGUUCGAAUUUAACAACAAACUAAGCAACCUAAUCAACUUAAGUAAGCAAAUUUUAAAAAAAUCCCAAAAAAUUAAAUCUAACCCUAAUUAAAAAAAUUCAACCGCGGCCUCCUUCUCGUCUUCUUUUCUUCUUCUUCCUCUUGCUCACCCCUAAUGCCCCAUUAAUGGAAUUCCAACAGCUAGAAACGCGUUUCACCCGCUUGCGCGUGUGAGAAAUUUUCCCUCCCAUAGGAUUGUUCGUUUCCUUGGCUUGCAUCCCGGCAGGAUACUCAAGCCGGGCAUUUUUCGGGGCCUAGCCCACCUAUAAGUUUUACCAAAGCCCAAUCACAAGUUCAUAAUGUUUAGUGGUUACUAUUGCUAUAUAUAUAUAUUUUUUAAACCAAUUUUCACAUUUAUUAAUAUAGCCCAACAGAUUUUUCCAAAAAAUAAAAUUAAAUAAAAAUACAAGCCCACGAAAUUCCUUUUCCGAUUUUGGAAUCCACCUGCACCUUUCACUUGCUAGGCUUUAACCAAACAGACGAUGUUAUACAAACUUCUAUCCAAUAAGGCAAUGCAAACAAAAGCAAGUGAAUUAAAAAUAAAUAAUUUCUCAUUAAUUUGCAACAAGUAUUAAUAAAGUGCAUCAGAAAAUAUGCAUUUUUUAAAAUGAAAAUAAAUGUGUUAAUUAGUCAAUUUAAAUGGUACGAUGUUUUGAAAUGAUAGAAGCGAUCUGGAGUUUAAGGUGGCGUUUAUUUUUUUGUUUGAAAUCUGAAUAGAGCUGAAUUAGUCUGAAUUCUGAAUAGAUCUGAAUAUCUGAAUCUGAAUAAUAUGUUUAUUUUUUCGUCUGAAUCUCGAAAAAUAAGUAUUAAGUUAUUUUUUUUUCAACUUAAAAACAUGAAAAUAUGUACUUUUACAUUUGUAUCCUUAUUAAAUUUGAAUGUCAAAUAAAUAAUAUAUUAAAUACCACAAUAUUUUAAGAUUUAUAAGUAAAAUUGUAUUCAAGUGAAUACAUAAUUAUUUUAAAAUUUUAAUAUAUAAAAUACCAUAAAUUUCAAAUUUUAUUGUAUAUAAAUAAGAAAGAAAAAACAGAGAUAUUUUUAUGUGGGGUAAAUAUCUAUGGGUGAGUUUUGGGAUAGACACGAAAAAUAAAUUAUAAAGCAGGGAUAUUUUUGACAUUAGUAAAUAAUUGACUUAAUUCAGAUUUCUCCAUUAAGUAAAAAGCCAAAAAAAUUGGCUUAUUUUAUUAAGUCAAAAUUAUCUAAAAAGUCUCAUUAAGUUAUAAAAACAAACAUCUCUAAUUAACUUAAUCAAUUAAGUUAAAUUACUUUAAGUUAUUAAGUUAAAAAACAAAAGCUACCUAAAUCUUACUCUUGACGUAAUAUUUAAUAACGAAUUUGAAGAACAAUUAAAAAUUAAAAGAAAAGAAAAAGUGCUUUCUUUUUUAACGAUGAUAAUUUGUUCGGAUGAUGAAAAUUCUUAGAGUGGUAUAAUAAGUAUUUUCGAGUGUUGCCAUCGCGAAUAAUAUUUAAUUUCCUUUAUAUAGUUAUAUCUCAAGUAACAUUUAAAUAGAAGCAAGUUGGAAAUUAAAAAAAAAAAAAGAACCAUUGAGAGAAUGAAAAACUAACCAAAAAAAAAAGUUAAAAAUUUGUAUCUCAAUAAAUUUACUUGAGAGCUACUCUACUAAUCCGUGAAGAGAAAACACAAAGAAUAAUGAUGUAUCUCAAUUAAUAGGACAAUUUUUGUAUUUUUCUUUUAUUCAAGAAUCAUGAAACUUCAUUUAAACUUAUUAUUUCAUUGAUAAUAUAUUAAUAUUGAACAAUUUAGGAGACAUUCCUUUCCAAUUAUGCCCAUGUAUUAAUUAAAAACCACAAAUACGUUCAGGGAUACUAUAGUAAUUUAAAUCAACAAUUUCUGUGCUUGAAAUCAUCCGAUUAGACUCACGUCAGAAUAAACUGAGAUAUCAAAAUCACAUUCUCCAAUUCUACGAUUUCAAUUCAUCUUCAUAACUUCAACUGAAGAAUUGAUUGUAUAUCGUUUUAAUUUUUUUUAUAUAAAGAUAAAUAUAAAAUAUAAAUGACGAGGAGACUGGAAAAGUAAAAUAAAAAAAAGAGCACGAGUUUUAUUGAAAAUUACUCUUUUUCAUCAUUUUGCCGAAGUGAAUGUAUCUACAUUUAAACGAAAGAAGCACAUUUGUUUGUAUUAGCUUUUUUAUUGUAUUUUUAAUAAUAAGUCAUUUUUCAAUGAACUUAUAUCAUUUUUUACGAAAAUAAUAGGUGUUAGUUAGUUGAUUCAAAUGGCAAGACCUCUUGGGAUAGAGUUUGUAAUUUAGUGGCUUAUCAAUUGUUUAAAUAGGUAUUAUUAGAGCCAAAUUAUUGUAUUUGGUUAAAAAAGCUCCUACUUAGCUUACAACUUUAUUAUCCUAUUAUGUUUAUUAAUAAAUAACAAUUUUAUUGAAAAAAAACAGGAUCUGUUGAAAUGGUACAAAAAAUUUGGGAUCUAAAUCUCACUCGAAUUUAGCUUGAGGUUGGCAUUGUUAGCAUAAUAUUUGAAGAUAGAUUUUUUAAAAUUAAAAAAAAAAAAUUGGGUUCACACUAGUUAGUUUUAACUCAUAGUGAGAUUUAAAAAAAAGCGGAAUAAUAAAUCUUGAUAUCCUAAUUCAUGGAUAACAUCUACAUAAAAUAGUAAAAUUUAUUGUGUCGAAAAUAAGGGGUUUGAAGUUUAAUUUCGCUCACAUAGGUAGCAAGAGAAUCAAAUUAUUAUUAGAUUAAAUUAAUUAAAAAAAUUAUCUGAUAUCCAAAACACAGCAUAUCAAAAAAAUUGAAAUAAAAGAAAAUUGAAAAGCAAAACGAUUGAGAGAACGAAAAACUAACACAAGAAAAUGCCGAUAAUUAAUUGCCUCAGCGGGCACCAACUUAAUUAUGCUUAUUAAAGCAUGGGUUAUUUCAUUUUCAUUGAUAAUCAUUUUGACACCGGUCAAAUUUAAAAGUUUAAAUAAUGGGGGCCAUUUUUCUUUCCAGCUAUGCCCAUUAGCUAAUAAAAGAACCGCCGAAAGGGUUCGGGGAUAAUAUAGUAAUAUGAUUGAUAAUCAUUUUGGAGCUGAGAGUUCCACAUUUUGGGUUUUGGUUGACCAUAUUUUAAUACUUUUUCUGGAAAACAAAUAUAUAUUUAUUGACUUGUAAUGGGUGCAACUCAUGUUUUUGAAACAUUAAGAUCUUUACUUACUUACACUAAUGCGGCAACUGCUGCUUUGCUUUUUUUUUUUGUCCUUUUGCUUUUGACUUUUAUUUUUACUUUUUGACUUUUGCUUUUGGUUAAUAAUAAUAAUAAUAAUAAUAAUAAUAAUAAUAAUAAUAAUAAUAAUAAUAACUUUUUAAUUUAAUAUAAUAUUAAAUAAUUUAUUUUUAUUUUUAUUUGAAUAAUAUUAAUUUAAAAUUAAUAAUAAUAUAAAUAAUAAUAUAAAAUAUUAAUACAAUUUAAAUAUAUUAAUAUAAUAUAAUAUUUAAUUUAAAUUAAUCACAAAAAAUUAAUACAAUACAUUGUAGCAUCAAAUAUUAUACAAUAUUAUUAAAAUACAGUAGUGAUACAAUUUGAGGGAGAGUGUCAGCUUUUUCGAAUUAAAAAUAAUAUAUACCGCUUACUCUUUAUUAUUUUUAUAAUGUUCAACAAUCCCCUUGAGAUAAAAAAAAAAUUAAAUGAAAAGAAGGAGUAAAUAGAUGAUUUGCUUGAUGUUGUAUCUUAGAAAUAUAAAAUAUAUAUUUAUUAUUAAAAAUAUUUAAAAAUAAUAAAGAGUACAUAAAAAAAUAUCUUAUCCUCAACAACAAGAUCAGACGACGUCAAUCCAGCAAAAUGACUUGAACAAUUUGAAAGUCCAGCAACGGUCACCUCUUGGCACAUAUAUGGCAACGAGGUCUCCCAAAAGGACGAUUAAGGAAAGAUUGCAAGACAGAAUCAUGAGUGUUAGAAAUCACAUCCCUGUACUAAUUUCCAGAAAUAUGUUUGUUCCAUAUUUGCCGUACAUGUAUGUAUUCUAUAUAAUGGGAAUAGAAAGAGCGUGUAAAAAAUUCUUCAUUCAUCAAUUAAAACUUAACUUAUGUACGAGGGUUAAGUGUAGAGUUUUUAAAUUUGAAAGGGAUAAGUAUUAUAGUCCAUUUCAAUUUAGAUACAAGUACUUCGAACUUAUAUUUGAGGCAAAAAUCUGUAUACCAUAGUACAUAUUAUAUAUCCAGUCAUGGGAUCCAUGCAUGGUUCCAUGUAAUUCGCAGAGUUGAACUGGAGACACUGAUUAGUUGGUUGUCUACUUACCAACUUAUGUACUACUAAGUAAUUUUUUGUAUUAUGGUUCAAAAGCAUAUUAUCAAACCAGAAUCAGAAGCAACUUAAGUUUUGAUUACGGUUCACCAGAAGUCACAGCUAGCAAGUGAUCCUUGCAUCAUUUUACUAAACAUACAAUGAAUUUAACCCUUGUAAUUUCGGCCUUUGCCAUAGUCGUUUUGUUUAUUAGGUUUAUGUUUAUCAACAUGAUAUAUUGUCAACCAUAAUCACAAUCAAGUUGUUAAUUAUUUUUUAAAUAAUGUGAAGGUACAAGAUUUUGGUCUUUGAGUGUGGGGUUAAAAAUAUCUCACCUCAAUAUACGGUGUUGUGCUCUCAUCAUCUUAACAUUAUUUGUUAAAAAUUAUGUCAAAGAGGAAAGCAGAUUCAAACAUUACUUCAAUUUUCUUUAAGAGCAUAAAAAAAUCGUUAAUAGGCUACUGUUAUUUGUUAGUACGAUUUCACAAAAGGAAGCUGGAGGAAGCUUUCAAGUCAUGUGUUCAUCAAAGUAAGAAACAGAGCUAAUGGGAAAUUUUCAUAAGAGUGCCAAUAUUUCAACUCUUUUUCAAAUGAAGUGAUGUCCUGGAAUAAAGGACUUGACUAGCUUACAGAUUCUGUAAGCUACAGACUGCAGCAUCAGCCGUUGGAUGUGGUUGGACGUGGAGUGAGAAACUAAACAAUAGAAAAUCGGAUGGUGGGAUGACGGGAGAUGUUUGUUACAGAAUCUGUACCAUAGACAGGUCCUGGAAUAAAAUCACUACUCUAUCAUUGCUAUUAGUUUGUCUUGUAAUUCAAUCAUUGCCGACAAGUAUUAAUUGUGAAUAUUAUUAUUUUAAAAAUAUUAUUAUUAUUAUCGUCGUUAUUCUUAACAGCAAUGACUAGAAUUAUAAUAAUAACAAUAACAUUAAUACAAUAAUAUUACAACAUAAUAAUAUUUUAAUUGAGAGGAUAAGAAUGAAAUUAUGAAAUUUAGGUUGGGUAAAAAUGGUGAGUAUGAGGAAAUUAAUUUACCAUUUUUUAAGCUAAACAAUUUAUAAAUUCCACAUAUUUCAUUUUUAUUUCUCUUAUAUUUUAACAAAUAAACAUUAUCAAUUGUUUUAAUAUUUUAAUUAAUAAACACGGCAUUAACUACGGAACUAAAAGAUCCCCCCCCAAAAAAAAAAACAGAGACGCGUGUAUGUAUUGCUUGUGACAAAUCUCACCCAUGGAAAACUUUGUGAAAGGCAUUUGAAUGUGUGGCCACAUUUAAUGAACGAAACGUUAACUUUAAAAGAAAGUAUGUACUGUGUUCAUUAUUAGGCUUUAGCCUGAUGAUUGCAAUUAGUUUGUCUUUUAAUUAAAUUAUUGCCGACAAACACUAUCACGACCCACGUCCGCUACUUGUGUGAAUGUGUGUAUAAAUAUCCGCAGCAUAUUAUCAAACCUGAAGCGCGAUCAUCUUUAAAUUUUGGUUAGGGUUCAUCAGACGUUGGAAGAUAUCUUUUCUAAUUUGAAGAAGAUGGAAACUCCUUAUGCAGGUUCUUAGGCCAUGUUCAGUUGAAUGUCAUUUAUAAUUUUUAUUUUAAUAUUAUGUAUUUAUGAAUAUAAUUAUUGUUAUGAUUUUUUCAAGUAAGAACGGAUGGUCUGAGGGUAAUUCAAUAACUAUGUACAGUAUUAUUAAUGAUGAGAGCGUGAAUGACAAUUUGGAUUUUAUUCUCGUCUCUAAAUACGGAAAAAAUCUCGACUAUAGUGGUUAAGUGCUAUGUAACUCUUUCGUAUUAUAUUUAAUUAAAUAAAAUGAUUUGUUAUUAUUACUUGUCAAUUAUGUGAGUGUCUCUGCUUGAUUUAAUUCAACUUAUAAAAUCUCUUGAGAUAUAUAAGAGAUUUUCUUUAUUCACUUUCAUGUACAUCAUCUUCUUGUAAAAAGAAAUUAAUAAAAAAAAUAUCAUUGUGUGCAAAGUAUUGACUAAGUUAGUGUAUUCAUGUUAGCUUAAUUGUGCUCUCUCUUCUUAAUUUUUUUGUUUUUUUUGGUUAAAACAAACUCCACAUAUUGUUGGUUAGCUAAUUCUUGCAGCUAGCAAGUGAUCAUUUUCUUUCCCCUACUGCAGUAGCAUCAAAUCCUUACAAUUACAUAUCAAGUGGUAUUCGAGCCGUCAAAUGAUCCAUGGAAACACACAACAAAUCAAAUGCUGAAUUUUGCGAAGAUAUUCACGAAAUCCUUGCUAUACAUGAGUCUAGUUUAUUUCAAACUACGCGUGCAAUGUUCCCGUUAUUGUUUAGUAUGUCUUUUGUUGUUUGCAAUGUAGUUAGGGAUGCUAGCGGGUAGGAUUUGGUACGGGUUUGACAUUACCAAAAGCCGCAUCUGUAAAAAAAUUUUAAUUAUCAAAUUCAUUGUGGGUUUUAUUUAUUCGUUUUUUUUCUUUUAACAAAGCCCAUCAGCUGUGGGUUUAAAUGGUACCUGAUGGAUAUUUUGUGAGUUCCUACAUAUAAAAUCACACUUGCAACAAAACCUAAAAACUUAAAUUACGCAAUUCAAAAUAUAAAUUUAUAAUCAUAGUCUAAAAAACCACAUAAAAUACUUAAUUCUAGAUUUUAUUAAUGUAAAUGAGAAAUGAAAAUUUUAAUAUUAAAAUAAAUACACAAAAUAUAUCAAUUUAACACAAAUUUUCAAAGUUAAUUAUCAAAUACAGAAGUCUAUCGCAACUCAAAGUGCUUUCAAUUGAAAACGAAAAAAGAGAAAGAGAAAAAAAACAAAGAACUACAAAUCAAAGUAGCACCCAUGACCCAUUUUGCAGUCUCAUUCAAUACCACUAGCACCCAUCCAACACGAUUUUUCUAAAGAAAGUAUAAAGUACAAAAUUACAAUAAGCAUAUCAUACUCCAUGCUUUAAGUUAAAGAUCCUUAUAUAUUUUUAUGAAUAAUUUUUUAAUGACAUUUUAUGAUUAAAAUUAAAAAUACAAACAUUCAAAUAAGAAUGUCGGACACUUGCGCAACUAUUUACCAAAUUUUUUCUCUAUAAAAAUCGACCUGCAACUUUCAAUAGGUAUAAAUUUAUAAUAUCAAACUUGAUUGCAGAUCGCAAAAAUUAUCCGUUGCGGCCAAGACUUUGGAUUUGCGAUGAUUUUACCACCCUAAGUGUAGUUAGUAUUGUAUAUCAUGUGGCUCUUAUAAAAAGCCUAGAAGAUGUUUGAAUAACGGGGGAGACACAUAUCUCCCAAAGAUUUUCUCUUUUUCAAAUUAUUAUUUUUUCUCUAUUAUUGUAACUUCGAAUCCUUAUAAAUUACAGAUUGGAGACAUGAACACAAUGUUUUGACAUAGUGGACUUUUGGCUUGUCCAGAGAAAUUUAGGAUAGAUUUUUACGCACUAAGGCUUUAUUUACUAUUGAGGUUUUAGAACUUUUAAGCCACACUAGAAAUUUGUAUUGUUUUGAUAGAGUUGUAGUCUUUGAUAUGUGAUUGGUAGUAAUCAAGUGUUAUGUUUACAAUAGUUAAAGGCAUAUUGAAUCAAAAUCCACUUCUAAGGGCUUGAUUGAGUGAUUGUAAAGCAGGUUUUUAGUUUGCUAGCCACUCAAGUUCAAAUAUUGGAACCACAUAGCUUUAUAGCCAAGUGAGAGAACUUGUGCCCUAAAAAUUGAGGGGUGCAUAUCGAGUUUUACCACCAAUAAAAAUUGGUGUUAAAACUUUAAUUUCCGUCCUAUCAAUGGAUAGGGGUAAUUAGGAGUUUACAUCCCCUCCUAUUUAUAGACAGGGGCUAUUAGGAAUAUUAAAAAAAAGUUCAAAUAUUGAAAAUAUAGGUAUGUUUUAUAAAAUUCAUAAUAUAAAGACACAAAAUCAAGAUAAAUAUUUAAAAAUUUAGAACCAUGAGAGCAUGACUUGUAAGUUUCAAAGAAGUAUGUGCAAAUAUAUGCAUUAUCGAUGCCCAAUUAAGGAUAAGCAUUGAGAUCGGGUUAACCCGAACCGAACCGAACUUAAAAUUGAUUUUGGAUUCAAUUUCGUUAUGGUUGAAGCUUUCAACUGAGUUCAAAACUUAAAAAUGAUUGGGUUGUAUUUCUGUUUGAAUUUAACCCCAAAAGACUAAUCAAUCCAAUCGAGUUAAGUAAGCAAAUUAAGACAAAAUAUCCCAAAAAAUUAAAACUAACCCUAACUAAAAUAUUCGACCGCGGCCUCCUCGUUUUCUUUUCUUCUUCCUCCCCUCGCUCACCCCUAAUGCCCUUCAUGGAAAUCCAACAGCGCCAAACGCGUUUCGGCCGCUCGCACGUGUGAGAAAUUUUCCUUCUCGUAGGAUUAUUCGUUUCCUUCGCUUGCAUGCCAGCAGAAUAUUCAGGCCGAGGAUUUUUCCGGGCCUAGCCCAACUAUAAGCUCGCCCGAAACCCAAUCAUAAGUUCAUAACGUUUAGCGUUUGCUAUUACUAUAAUUUUUUUUAACCAAUUUUCACAUUCAUCAACAUAGGCUGACAUAUUUUGUAGAAAAAAAAUUAAAUAAAAAUACAAGCUCACGAAAUUCCUUUUCCGAUGUGGGAAUCUAUCUACACCUUUCACGUGCUUUUUUUUUUGGUGGUGGGGGAUUCACUUGCUUUUGUUUGCAUUGCCUUAUUGGAUAAAAGUUUGUAGAACAUCGUCUGUUUGGUUAAAGCCGAGCAUGAGUGAAGAAGCGAUCUAAAGUUUAAAUCUUACUCACACUUAAUUUAGGGUUGGGGAUUAAUUGACGUAAUAUGUAUUAACGAAUUCGAAAGACAAUUAAAAAUUAAAAGAAAAUAAAAAAGUGCUUUAUUUUUUAUGAUGGUAAUUUGUUUAGAUGAUGAAAACUCUUAGAGUGGUAUUAUCAAUACAUAGUUUUGAGCGUUGCCAACGUGAAUAAUAUUUAAUUUCCUUUAUAUAGUUAUAUCUCAACUAACAUUUAAACAGAAGUAAGUUGUAAAAAAAAUGAACCAUUGAGAUUUGAGAGAACGAAAAACUAAAAAAAAAAAGUUAAAAAAUUAGAUCUCAAUAAAUUUACUUGAGAGCUACUUUACUGAUUAGUGAAGAGAAAACACAAAGAAUAAUGAUGUAUCUCAAUUAAUAGGACAGUUUUUGUAUUUUUCGUUUAUUCAAGAAUCACGAAACUUCAUUUAAACUUGUUAUGUCAUUGAUAAUAUAUUAAUAUUGAACAAUUAAUGUAGGAGACAUUCCUUUCCAAUUAUGCCCAUAUAUUAAUUAAAGACCACCAAAAAGUUCAGGAAUACUAUAGUAAUUUAAGUCAACAAUUUAUGUGCUUGAAAUCAGCAGAUCAAACUCACUUUAGAAUAAACUGAGAAAUCAAUAUCAUAUUCUCUGAUUCUACGAUUUCAAUUCAUCUUAUUCUUCAACUGAAAACUUGGUUGUAUUUCGUUUUAUUUUAUUUUUAUUUUUAUAUAAAGAUAAAUAUAAAAUAUAAAUGACGAGGAGACUAUAAAAGUAAAAUUAAAAGAAGAGCACGAGUUUUAUUAAACAUGACUCUUUUCAUCAUUUUGCCAAAGUGAAUGUAUCUACAUAUAAACUAAAGAAACACAUUUGUUUGUAUUGGCUUUUUUAUUAUAUUUUUAAUAAUAAGUCAUUUGUCAAUGAACUUAUAUCAAUUUUUACGAAAAUAAUAGGUGUUAGUUAGAUUAUUCAAAUGGCAAAACCUCUUGGGAUAGAGCUUGUAAUUUAGUGGCUCAUGAAUUGUCUAAAUUGACACUACCGAAUUAUUGUAUUUGGUUAAAAAAGCUCCUACUCUGCUUCAACUUUAUUAUCCUAUGAUGUUUAUUAAUAAAUAACAAUUUUAUUGAAAAAAAAGACCUCUUGAAAUGAUACAAAAGAUUUGGGAUAUGAAUCUCACUCGAAUUUAGCUUGAGGUUGGCAUUGUUACCAAAAUAUUUGAAGAUAGAAUUUUUUUUAAUUAAAAAUCAAAAGAUUUUUUUUUUGGGGUUCAUACUAGUUAGUUUUAACUCAUAGUGAGAUUUAAACAAAAACGGAAUAAUAAAUCUUGAUAUCCUGACUCAUGGAUAACGUAUAGAUAAGAUAGUAAAAUUUAUUGUGUCGAAAAUAAGAGGUUUGAAGUUUGAAUUUCGCUCACAUAGGUAGUAAGAGAAUCAAAUUAUUGAUAGAUUAAAUUAAUUAAAAAAAUUUCUGAUACCCAAAACAACAUAUCAACAAAAUUGAAAUAAAAGAAAAUUGAAGAGAAAAACCAUUGAGAGAACGAAAAAUUAACACAAAAAAAUUUCUAUAACUAAUUGUAUCAGUGUGCGCCAACUUCACUUAUUAAAACAUGGUUAUUUCAUUUUAAUGGAUAAUCAUUUUGACACCGGUCAAAUUUAAAAGUGUUAAAAAAUAUGGGCGAUUUUUCUUUCCACCUAUGCCCAUUAACUAAUAAAAGAACCGCCGGAAGGGUUCGGGGAUAAUAUAGUAAUUUAAACUAACAGUUUCUGUGCUUCAAAUCAUCAAAUCAAACUCACACCUCACAAAAGCAGAGAAAUCAAAUGGUUUCCGACUCUACGCUUUAAAUUCAGCUUCAUUUCUUCAACUGAAGAAUCGGUCGUCUCUCAUUUUUUAUUUAUUAUAUAAAGAUAAAUAUCUAAAUUUAAAUGGCGAGAAGAGCGGACGAGGAAUACGAUUACUUGUUCAAAGUGGUAUUAAUCGGCGAUUCGGGAGUCGGCAAAUCGAACUUACUCUCCCGAUUUACUCGUAACGAGUUCUGUUUGGAGUCCAAAUCCACUAUUGGCGUCGAAUUCGCCACCCGCACUCUUCAAGUAACUAACUUUUCCUCUUUCACUUCUCUUCAUUUUUAUUAGUUAAUUAAGAUCCAGUUAAUGUAAUUAAUUUUAUUUAAUCUUUCAAAUAAAGUUCUAGAUUAGGUUAACUUAGAUUCAUGUGAAGUUGAAGUGAUUUACUUUCGAUCUCUUUUUCGUCCUAUGUUUAUUUGUACUUACUAUUACUUUUUUUUGGGUUAAAAUUUUCGUUUUUGAAGUGUUUACUGAAUAAAUUUCUGAGCUUUAUUUGUGUAUGCUGAUUGAUUUGUGAUUUUAAUUUGUGAUUUUUUUUUUUGGAAUUUAAAUUUGAAUGCUUUUUAAGUUGAAUCUGAAUGUGUUGGGCUGCGAUUUAAUUAAGUCAUCUGUGAGCGCCAAAUUGUGAUAGACUGAUAGCUAUAUAUUGGGGUGAAAAUUUGGGAUUUAAAGUUAUGUAUUUAAGAUGCAGUUAAUUCGCAAGUGACAAUUAUGGGCCGGCAGAUUUUGUCAUUGGAAGACUGUUCUCCACAUGUUGAAGUUAGUGAUGCAAGUUGAAACCAAUCUGUUUAAGCUUGGGGUUUCAUGUCUUGAAUCAAGGCUGUGACUUGGGGUGGGUUGAAAGUAUUAUAGCUUUAGCUAUUCCUGAAGUGAUCUGUUUAGACUCACCGUGAUGAGACCGAGUGCUGUACAGUAAAAUUAAAGGAAGUUGGAAAAUAUUUACUUAGCAUUUCGCGUUACUAAUGUUGAACUAAUAAAACCUAGCCCCUAUCCUAGUGAAUUUAUGUUAAAAAGCUAUGCACGCAUUAAGUUAGUGCGAGAGUCUGCUGAAGCAUACGUCAGCUGUGUGUUUGGAGCUGAGUAUUCUUCAUUCCACAUUUUGGGUUUUGGUUGACCUCCAGCAUGACUCAACCCACUUGAGUUAAAAGCCCUAGAGUUACAUUCUACCCAUGAUGUCUUAGGUUUGGAAAAGAUGGGGCACAGGUUACAAAAUUUUUUUGAGUUUUGGAUUGAAGGAACAAAAUUGUUGAUGUCUAGCUCACAAUAUUUGAAGUCACUCUGUGCUUCAUCAUGUAAAAUGGAUUGAAUUGCUGUAAGAUCAGGUCAAAUUAAAAUGUUUAAACUCAUUUUUAAGAAACGAAUUCUCAAUUGGACCAGCCUUUCACAGAAGCUGAUAUCACAGAAGCUUUGAGUCAGAUGCAUCCAACCAAAGCCCCUAGCCCAGAUGGUCUCCCAGUAGUAUUUUUCCAAAAGCUUUAGAAUUCAGUAAGCGAAGGAGUUAUAGCCACUUGUCUGCAUAUCCUCAAUGAUGGAGGUAAUAUUGCUCCUUUGAAUCAUACAUACAUUGCUUUAAUCCCCAAGAUAGCAAAACCUAGGACUCUGAUGGAGUAUAGACCAAUCAGCAUAUGUAAUGUAAUUUAUAGGAUCAUUGCAAAGACUGUAGCGAAUAGGCUGAAGCUAAUCUUAGAUCAUGUUAUUUCGCCAACUCAGAGUGCUUUUAUGCCAAAUAGGCUCAUAACUCAUAAUAUAAUUAUUGGGCAUGAGUGUCUUCAUAAGUGGACAAAGCUAUGUUCCAGAGGUGAGAUAGGAAAUUCUCCCGCACGACACAGCAGAAACAAACUUUCCCUUUCAUUUUCUUUUCUCUUUCUCGCUCUCCAAACAGAGCAAAAGGACCGUCGCAAGAUUCUUCACUUCCAUCCAAAAUCAUGAGCAACGAAUAGUGAGCCUCCCUGUUUCCUUCCUUUUUUUGAUAUUAACAUUGUUAACAUAUACUCAUUUUAAUUUGACAAUACUUCAACUUUUUUUAUUUUUUUGCCUUUUCAUUUUUUUUGUGGAAGCAAUUAUCUGUUCAAGCUGUUGCUUAUCGGAGACUCGUCUGUCGGAAAUUCCUGCCUGCUGCUCUGAUUUGCUGUCUGUUGACUUUUCCUUUCCCUUCUUAUUUUCUUUUUUUAUAUUAAUUACUUUCUAUUUUAGCUUUUUGUUCUCUGAAUUUGUGUUAUUAAAAUGAUAAUUUAGAUGAUAAAUAAUUGUUAUUCUUGUAAAUUUAGGUUUUCAUUACGUUAAUUGUUAGUUUUUAGGUUUAUUAAUGUAAUUUUUUUUGUUUUUUUUUUUCAAUUUUUCAGGAUGAUUCUUAUGUCACCGCUACAUCAGUACCAUUGGAGUUGAUUUUGUGAGUCUCUCUUCUAUAUAUAUGUAUAUAUGUGUAUCAGUUAUAAUAUGAGUCUAUGUACGUGUAUGUAUGUAUGUGUAUGUAUAUAUGGAAAGAAAUGUUGGCAGACUUCAGCAUUUUACUCUUUUUUUUUUUUUUUUGGGCAGAAAAUAAGAACUGUGGAGCUGGAUGGGAAGACGAUCAAACUGCAGAUUGUGAGUCAAAAUUUCCUUUUAUCUUGUAUUGAGAGAAAUUCGAUUUGUCUUAUUUAGUGAAGGUUAUGUUCAAGAACCUUGUCUUAUUUUCUUUGUUUGAAGAGUGAUAUGUUGAAAUGAGUGUAUUUGUCUUAUAAACAUCAUUUAGGUAAUGUCUGAUGUUUGAUUGUUUUUCAUCUGUUUAGUGGGACACUGCUGGACAGGAGCGAUUCAGGACUAUAACUAGCAGUUAUUACCGAGGAGCCCAUGGAAUCAUAGUAAGGAGCCUUCCCGCUUCUUGGUUUAAAUCAGAAAGUUUGUGAUUUACAUGUGACAUCUUAACAACAUUGUACUUUUCAAAAAAAAAAAUAAACAACAUUGUAUGUGUUUAUUAACUUAUUUUUCAUCUUUCGUUAAGCAGUACAUUUUCCAAUAAAUCUGUAUACAAGAUGAUGUAGUCCAAGAAUGGGAGCGAUAAUAUGAUGCAAAUUGUCUAAUAAAUUCUUAUGACAUAUGAUGUUGUCGGAAGUAAAAGUCUUGCAAUGCUCUCUUUUAAGAAAGAAUAAGUGGUAAUUUUGUUUUUCCAAUUUUUUAAUUGAGCAACUGUGUGAGAUUAAUUAAAUGUGUUGGGAUUUCAACAGAUUGUCUAUGAUGUAACUGAGAUGGAGAGCUUCAAUAAUGUCAAGCAGUGGUUGAAUGAGAUUGACAGAUACGCAAAUGACAGUGUAUGCAAACUUCUAGUUGGGAACAAAUGCGAUUUAGUUGUGAACAAGGUUGUGGACACACAGACAGCCAAGGUAUAUUCAUGACUUUUGUCGCCUGAACUUUGAAUAUAAUUUUAAACUCUUCUCAAGUGCAUUUGCUUGGUAAGUUUCUGCAUACCCAGGACACUCAAACUUUGGACAGUCUGUAUCUUGAGUUGGAAUCUUUUCUGUCAAUACGACAUGUUAAAAUAAGGGUUAUUAUCGUUUGAAUCAUUCAAGAAUUGCAAUAAAUCUAAAGUCCAUAAAAAAAUAUGAUUCCAUCAUUUUACUAUUAUAUCUAGACAAAACCCAUUAUUUUACUACAUUUCAUUGGCACCGAUAGUUGACCUGUUGGCUGACUGAUAAAAUAUCAAUUUUGCACUUUAUAUUAAUUCUUUUUUGGUUAAAAAAUAACACACAAAGUAUUACAAUAUUAUAAAUUCAAAAUAUAAAGUAGUUACAAAUAAUUCCUAUUAGCCUAUGAAUAUAAUAUUUGAUACCUCUAUUUGUGUAAUUUUUUUCCAAUGGUGAAAUUGUUAUUUUUUUUGUACUAAUGGAAAUGUAGUAAAAUCAUAAGUUUUGUAAAGAUAUAGUAGUAAAAUGAUAGACUAAAAUACUUCUUGUAGUUGUUUGAUAUAUUGUAAUUCUUAAAGUAGUCAAUUGAUAAUAUCCCCUAAAAUAAAUGUUCGUAAUAUGUUCUCAUUUUAAUGCAACUGAUUGUUUAAUAAAAUUGUAUUUCUUUGUUAAUCUUUUAUCAUGUGCAUGCUCAGUGAGAAUUUGACUUACUAGAACACAAGUUUGACUCUUCAUUUAAAUGUCUCUUGUAUCAUAUCCUUCAAUGUUGAGUGUGAUUCCAAUAAAAUUGAGUAGGGAGAUCCUUAAAUACCUUUUCCUUUUUUCCAAGGGCCUGCCAAAUUGCUCUAAGUGGUUCUACCCUUUAUCAAUGAAUAAUGAAAAUAAAAUUUUUAUUAAAGCAUUUUGUUCCUUAAAUGGUGACUAAUAGUACCCCUUUUUUUUGGGGAGGAAAGCCAAACAUGCCCAAAGAGAAUCAUUUACUUUCCUCUAAUGUAUUUUCUAAUUCGUUUUGAGCCUUGAAUGUCUGUUUUGGUGCGUAUUCUCAUUCCAUGUUGAAUCUUAUCCACAUGGACAACCCCACUUACAAAAAAGUCUAAUGAAUCUAUUGAAGUUCAUAUGAGGUUUGUGCUUUAGAUUUAGACCUCUCUCUCUCUCUCUCUCUCUCCACUUACAUGUCUUUCACUUACCUGUUUGCAUGCAUGCCCAUGCACACACUUUCAAGAUAAUACACAGUCACUCGUACUUGUGUUUUGGUUGAAUUACUGGCUGCUAACCUCUGUAAUUCAGUUUGAAACUUGCCACCCUUAGUGCUUCACUCAAAUGGUUGGUUAGGGUGAGAUCUGUAUCGUUUUCCUGGUCUCUUUCCAGGGUUAUCUAAAGGGUUUUGGCAGUCUGAUUCUUUAGGGAAUAUCAUUGCAUAAGAUAUCUAUUGUUUGUUAAUGAAUAAUUUCUAUUUAACUAGUUAUCUAUAUAAAUUGGUAAAUUUUAACUGCAUAAUUUGCAUGCAAUAAGAUUUUAUAAGAAUCUUGUUUUCAACUCAUGACUUAGACUAAUGUGAUAUGUUGAGCAUUAAGCUACAAGAUCUGCACAUCAAAGUGCUUCACAAUGUUAAGGAGAAAGCAUCUUUUUCUGCUUCUUCAUGUGAUUUAAAGUUUCCAAGGUACUUAUUCUAUAAAAUAUCUUUCAAGACUUUGGAAAUGCUUUUAUGUAUGACUGAGAGAAACUUGUUGGGUUGGUUUUUAGCAACAGACGGAGUUAUGGACUUUGUGUUGACUUGUUAUUGAUUAAGACAGUACAUCGGCUGAUCUAUUGGCAUCAAGCAGCAGAUGCAGAAAUUAUGGGUGGCAUACCAUUGUAUCCAAAUAACAUACUACAUUGAUUUUUCUGACUUUCUGUUGGUCUCCGAGUGAAAUGCAGGCAUUUGCAGAUGAACUGGGGAUUCCUUUCCUGGAGACGAGUGCCAAAGAUGCAAUCAAUGUGGAGCAGGCUUUCUUGACCAUGGCUGGCGAGAUUAAGAAAAAGUAAAAUCACUUAACUCUUUCCUUCUUGCCGACUGUUCUUAUUUAACAAUCACUAUUAUUGCUGGUUAUAUGCAUUGUGAUGAAAAUUCUGCAAUGAGUAACUUUUUACCUAAUGUUUUCUGUUGGAACAAAUUACUCUGGUAGAAAAGCCCUACAGGGUUUGAGAAAUCCCAUGAUGUGAUGAUUGUGAGCAUUUUAGACACCGUCUAUGGGUUUAUUUUGUGACUAUAAAAUGUUAAGAUUGUUUCUAGUUUUGGUUUGUAGUGCAUAAAAGGAUUCAAAAUUUGACAUCUGUCUAAAUCAGAUUAAUAACAUGAUAAUGUACAUAUGCAAGAUGUGAGGAAUUGUUUUAUCUCACCCCUAAACUUUAAGAAAUUGAAACAUUAUUAUUCAAAAUAUUUAACAUUUCCAGAAUUGAUAGUUGUCUAUUUGAGCAGUGACUGGUGGUUAUCAUGAACUGAUGUGCGGUUGUGGCUUCAAAUCUUGGUGAAACCUGUUGUCAUAUGCUGAUUAACAUAGCUAGUCUCUGAAACAAUUUGUUGAUUCACUAAUUAUGAGUUCAAAUUUGAUGCAGAAUGGGCAACCAGCCUACUGCAAACAAAUCUUCUGGAACAGUUCAGAUGAAGGGACAGCCAAUCCAGCAAAACAGCGACUGCUGUGGUUAGCCGAGCUUCUUAUUUUACUUCUACAUGUUAGCUGACUGAUUGUAGACAGUUUUAACUAUGUUGACUGCAUUAUCUUAUGAAUCUUUUAAUCUGUCAAAUAUUUAUUUCCUGCUUUAAGUUCUUUCCCGUUUAUAACAAAUUUAAUUUCUUGCUCUAUUGCAUUCCAAAUUCCUGUUAAUUUACGAGGGAAAAAGAAAAGAGACGAAAUGGGAGAAAAUGGUCAAAUUUGUUAGGGGGAGAGAGCUGUUGAAGUAGUUUUUGUUCUCGUUUAUCGUCGUGACCCUCUUGUCGCUUAUCUACGACCUGGAAGUCUGGUCAUAUCGGAUGGGUAAAGUUACCGAAACGGCAUCAUUUUGGGUGAAAUAUCAUAUUUAUGUAACACUUUUGAUAAUAUUUUUAUGCAACAAAAAAAUGUUUGCAGUACCCUUUUCACAUUGUGAAGCGCAUGAUCGGAUGAGAGCAGUCUGGAUUCUGGCAUCACAAGCUAAUGCUUUUUUUUUUUUUUGAUUACAUGAGACUAUUGCUCAUAUUACAGCUCAUAUUACAUGAGAAUAUAACUGAUAUGUACAAAUCAGCUAUAACUGGGACCAACAUACAUCAAAGCUAAUGGAGCGCUGUCCAGAUUUUAACCCUCUCAAAUAUUCGAGGGAUGUCUACUCCUCGCACUGGGACAAGGAAGCAGACUGUCUUCACUCAAUUUUAUUUGAGGAAGGAAACACCCCCACAUGCAUUGUGGGGGUUCGAACUGCUGCUCUCCAACUGCUCUCCAACUUGGAGAGCAGCAGCUCUCACCACUCGGCCAAAGGCCGAGUGGCUCACAAGCUAAUGCUUUGAUUUGCUUAGUUUGUUUUUUGUUUCUGAUAUUUUCUCGGCAUCGGGUGGGAAAUUGUUUCUCUUUUGAGUUUCUCUUUUUUUUUUUUUUUUUUUGGUUAUGGAAUUUGGAGAUAGUGUAAAUGUACGCAGAUGAAAUUGUUGGGUUGGUUUUGUUAUGGAAUUUGGUUUACUUCACUAACCAUUAAUGCGCAAAACCUCCUAAUGACCCUCAAAAAUCCCGUACAUAAUUAAAGAAUUUCAAUUUUAUAUGUACAUAAAUAAAUAACUCUCAAAUAUAUUAUUUGAUAAUCCCAAAAACAACAAUUCACUCUAAUAAAUCUCGUAGUCAAUACAUGGUCUAUAUUGCAAGUGUUUUCGAGACUAAUUGAAAAAGAAAAUACGUUGAGUGAUGUAAUUGACCUUUACUAGUUAUAAAGAACUCUAAAUAAAUUCAUAUAGGCAUAGCAGCUAAUUACAGCCUUGAUACUUCAUUUGGUUUUUGUUAAUUUUCUAUAGAGUUGUGCUGUGCAUAAAAGUUUUGUUAAAUGAAAUCGGUAGGUGAGAAUUAAUUAAUCAAUUAAUUAAGAUCCAGUUAAUGUAAUUAAUUUUAUUUGAUUUUUUUAAUUCGAGUUCUAAAUUAAUCAAUGAAUUUAGAUUCAUGUGAAAUUGAAGUGAAUUAGUUUUGAUCUGUUUUUCGUCCUAUGUUUGUCUGUGUUUACUCUUACUUUGUUUUUUUGUUUAAAUUUUUGUUUUCUUAUUGUUUACUGAAUAAAUUUCUGAGCUUUAUUUGAGUAUGAUGAUUGAUUUGUGAUUUUAAUCUAAAUGUGUUGGGCUGCGAUUUAAUUGAGUGAUGUGUGAGCGCCAAAUAUUCAAUAACUGAUAAAUUAUAUUUAUAAAUAUUAAUAGCGAUGGCACAUAAACAAUUAAUUCAAGAACUUGCCCAUAGUGAUUAAUUUAAAGAGUAUAAGUAACAUUGCAAUGCAGUUAGCCCUUGCGUGUUUAAUUAGCAAUUGAAAACUAAUGUUGCUGAUGAGGUAGAACAUUAUAACACUGUUGCUGAUGAGGCAGCUGGUAAUUCUUCUGGUGAAGAUAUUAAGACUAUUAAAGCUGAAAUGUAAUUAGAGAAAUAUAAUGCAUUCCCUUAGUUUGCUUUUUGUUUUUUAUAUUUGUUUGGCUAAUGCUUUGCUUAGAUUACUUUUUGUUUUUGAGAUUUUAUUGGCUUAGUCAUGGGGUAUUGUUUUCUCUUCUAAUUUCUAUUUUUGUUGUUAUGGGAUUUGAUUGUAGUGUACAUAUACGAAAAUUAUGUAAUCAAAUGCUUUCAAUAAAUCAUGAUUGAUUUACUAUUAAUUAAUUAAAUUAAAUUUACUCAAAUUACUCAUGUACACAAUCAAAAUAAUUUUAAUUCCAUGAUAUAUAUACACGCGAGCACACAAACAAAAUGUAAUUAACUUUGAAAUAUAAAAUAUUUAAAAUAAUCACCGUACUAACAAUUCACAAAUCGGAUUUUAUAUAAAUAGACGAAAUAAUGUUAAUCUAGCGAAUCCAGUCAUAAUAAUUUGAUUUUCAUUUAUAUUAAUUAUGUCAAACCAUGCUAUUUUAAUAAAUAGCACUUGAGAAUAUAUAUAUCCAACAAGUAAAAUUUCAAAACAAUAUUUGCCAAAAUCUAAUGAAGAGAAUAUACACGCACGCACAUAUAUAACCGUACAGCAGAACGAUAAAUAAAAGAAAAUGAAGUUUCAACGGCUGAAUAAUGCAAAUUCAUUUUUUUUAACAAGCAUUUUAUUGUUUAAUUAAAAAAAUUUGAAAACCCAUUAAAUACAUGUAAGGACUCACUGAUGCCGAACCAUAUUAAUUUAAAUUAGUUUUCAAUUGAGAUUUGAAUUUUAAAAUUACACACACAAACACACCCGAUUUAAAAAUAAUAAUAAUAAUGCUAACAAUAAAAUAUUUCAGCCGUCCUAUGUGUUAAUCGCCAAAAACGGAUUUCCAAUCUAUUACAACAUGAGGUAUAUGAGUUAACAAGUCCCAAUAUUGUCCUCCAUCCUUUCUGCACUUCUCUGCUAUCAACGGACAUCCUGCGAUCUGUAAUUGCAAAAGUGAGGAAGGCAGGCCCUUCUCCGGAAAGUAUUUGAGCUUGGGACAAUUAUGGAGUCGCAAUGCAGUGAGGUUUUGAAGAUCAACAAUUGAAGAAGAUAGGCGUUCCAGAUUUGGAAAAUUGAAAAUCUCCAGAGACGUUAGAGAGGCAGGAAUAGGAAGCGCGGUCCCUAAUCUUUUGUCCUCUAGUGGAAAUGACACCAUGUCCUCAUCACAUCCACUGAUUAAAAGAUAUCGCAGAGAGGAGAAUCUGUGAAAUCCCCGUCCCCGCUCAAUCAUUGACUUCCAAAUCUCCAUAUUACCCCAAAUAUUAAGUGACUGAAGGUUGGUGGGAAGGCCAUCUUCUUCUUCAAGGCUUGGAAGCACACCUCCUUUUCCUGCUGUUAAUUCUUGAAGAGAGCUCAGAUUGUGCAUUCCCUUGGGUAAGGCCUCUAGUCUCUUACAAUUAGAUAUCGCCAGCCUCCUGAGUUUCGCACAAGGCAAUCCCCCUUCGGGAAAGGACACCAGAUUUCCACAACUAUCUAUACUGAUUGUUUCAAGAGAUGUGUUGUUGUCCAACCUUUCUGCUAUUGACUCCAGCUUUGAACAUCCCCAAACAACGAGGGACUUAAGAGACGAAGGUAGAUUGCCAACUUCAAGGGACUCAAGCGUGGCAGGUAACUCGUUUUUUGAAAAUAUACAUGUCAGAGAUGGACAACUAAUAAUUUCUACGUGCUCGAGAAGAGAUGAGGUGUACCUUCUGCUGCUGCUGCUGCUACACAGGAUACCCUCUUCCACUGUCAAAGUCCUUAUAUUAUCGCAAUCGCUGAUGCUCAGCUGCUUGAGGCUCGGUGGCAGCUGGACAGCAGCAAUAUAUGUCAACGAACGGCAACCAUGAAUACUCAAGAUCUCGAGAGACGAAUUGGUGUCGCACAUCCAUGCCUCUGGUAACGAUUUCAGUGCAUCACAAUGCCUAAUCUGAAUUUUCUUCAACUUGGAAGGCAGAGCAACCUCAGGAAAGGAAACAAGGGAACUGCACUUGCAGAUUUCUAUCUCUCUCAAGGAACUGAGGCUGAACGAUGAUUGUGGCAGCUUCACAAGGCCUUCGCAAUUACUCAAUCUUAGAUAUUCAAGUCUGCAUGACAACUCGCAGAGCUGCUGUUGUUGGUCUUUCUUUUCCUCCGCCACCAAGGAUUGAAGUUUGGGACAGCUGUCAAUCGUCAGUCUUUUGAGAGAGUAAAUGUCUUGCAGUAAUUCGUUAUGACUCUUCCAUAUAUGUGUUUCAUUUUUAAUAUUUUUUAUCUCCAAUUCUUCCAGUUUUGGUAUUCGCGGCUUCAAUGGCCCUGCGAGAAACACUUGAUUUGAUGUAUCUCUACAAACCACUGAAUUCUGUGAGCCGAGAUGAUCAGUUGCACUACUCCACACAAUCUUUUUACAUCCACCAAUUUCAAAUUUGCAAAGAGCUGGAAGACUUGCAACUGAAACUAGCAAUUCUUCACAUCCUUCAAUUACAAGCAUCUCCAAUGCAGGAAGGUGUUCUGGAAAUGUUCCUUGCAGCUUAGAACAGCUUAUAAUAUGAAGCUCUCUCAAUUUAGGAAACCCUUCAACUCCCUGACCAGAUCUAAGAGGAAUCCAGUCUUCCCAUUCUUGCAUGUCUUGAAAACGAAGAGUCUCCAAGCAUGGAAAAGGAAUCGGGGAAUCAUUCCCAUAGAACUCUGAACCCAAACUCUUUACUCUACUCAUUCCACGCACUUCAAGAUGCUUUAAAGAGGGUAGUUGCCCGACUGACGGCAGGGCAGUACACAUGCCGCAAUCUUCAAAUUUAAGUGUUACUAAAUUUGAGAAUGAGGAAUCUCCUAACCAUGUUGGAAAUUUUGUACCUCCAUAACCACAGAUACCAAAUUGUUCCAGAUUUUUAUGGGGUUUGAGCAUGUCAAGCACACCCAUUUCAGUUUCUGCCUCCCUUGAAGAUGAACCAUCGGUACUGCGUGUCCAUCGAAGCAAUAAUUCUCUAAGAUUCUCCUUUACAUCCAAUUGAGCCUCCUUCGCAUUACCAACGUCUUUUACGUUCUCCAAUUUUGAAAUUUCAAGUGCCCCACGAAGAUGCAUCAACAACUUUAGCUCUGAUAACCCCGAACCACUGUCUUUUCCCACAACAAAAUUACACAACGUCUGAAGACUAGUCAAUCUACCAAUUCCUACUGGCAUUUCCUCCAACGACUUCGUAUUUGAAUUCUUAAGAUGAUGCAAUUUGGUGAGGUUUCCCAUGUCUGCACACAACUUCUUCAGCCGAUCACAAUCUUCCAAGAAAAGACUAUGCAAAUUGUAAAGCUUGUUGACUGAUUCAGGCAGAGUUCUAAUCAUAGUUCCAGAUAGGUUGAGGUACCUUAAAUACCUCAAAUCACCAAUUGAAUCCGUUAGCUCAUACAGGCAAUAUCCACGCAAAGAGAAGACCCUCAACCGUUGGAGUUUGAACAACUUGGGGAGAAUGCUACGAGCCAAGUAUCCAUGCCACCUAUUUGACAAUGCUACUGGUAAAAAAGUUCGCAAAUGGUGGAUAUCAUGCAAGUCCUCAAACCUUUGAACGCCAUCACAAUAUCCACGAAUGUAUGACAGGUGACGAAAAUUUUUGGAAAAACUUUGUUGCUUGUUAACCUCUGAGUUAUACUCCAUUGUGAAGUAUAUCUCCCCCGCAGCCCAUUGAGCAAGGUCGUUGACAAGGUCGUGCAUCACAAAUCGUGAUUUAUUGUUGCUUGAUUGCUGGAAAAAAGAUCUUGAACGUAGCUCUUGAAAGAACUUUCGACCUAGAUCUUCAUUAGGAUUCCCACUCUCUUUGUGAUCCAAGAAACCCGAGGCACACCAUAAUAAAAUCAUCUCCUCCUCUUCAAAUUCAUAAUCCUUUGGAAACAAUGAGCAGUAUGCAAAGCAUUGUUUCAAAGGUGCCGAAAGAUAAUAGUAGCUCACUGCAAGGGCUGGUAUAAUACCACAUCUCUCUUCUGGUAAUUCCCAUAUCUUGCUACUGAGCACAUCUUCCCACUCACUUCUGUCAUGAUUCCCACGUAAAAGUCCUCCAAGCGUUUGUGCUGCCAAGGGCAAGCCAUCGCAUUUGGUCACUAUCUUCUUGCCGAUUUCCUCCAGUGACUUAUGUGAACUGAAAUCUCUCGUCCCCAAUGAAUGUUGAACGAACACAGCUAGACAAUCAUUAUCUGACAACUUCUUUAAUUGAUAAGCCGGAACAGUACCCAUAAUUUUAGCAACCUCUUGAUUGCGAGUAGUGACAAUAAUUUUACUUCCCGGUGCGCCAAGUUCAAAGGGACGUCUGAGUUGAUCCCAAUCAUGGUAAUUCCGGUUCCACACGUCAUCUAAAAGAAGUAAAAACUUCUUUCCAGAUAGUUGCUUAUUCAGUUUCUCUUGAAGUGAAUUCAAGUUGAGAUUAUCUACGUUCUGGUCAGCAACAAUGGAUGUUAAGAUUGUUUUUGUUAGCCUGAUAACGUCGAAAUCAUCAGAGACACAAGUCCAUGCCUUGAGAUCAAAAUGAUCCACCACUUGCUUAUCAUUGUAGACAAGCUGAGCAAGAGUGGUUUUGCCCAGCCCACCCAUACCUACAAUAGGUAUAACGGAGAAUCCACCAUCGUUGCUUAAAUCAUCCCUCAACAGCAGUUCAACAACAUCCUUCUUUUCGAUUUCCCUGCCAUAUACUUUGGCUUCCUUCACCAAAGAGGUUGUCUCUCGCCUUUUCCUGUCUUUUGUGGUCCUCCCACCCGAACUUACAUUCAAACCCAGCGAGUCCUUCUGUGUUACAAUAUCUUGAAAUCUGCCAUUGAUCUCUUUGAUUUUGGACAUCAUGGCGUAAUCGAACUGAAUCGAUUGUGGAGUAAAAGUGGUGCAGCAAGUAGGAAUGAGCUUCCGAAACUUACUUGUUCUUGUACGACUGCAACUGGGUUGAUCAUGAGCCGCAGCUGGAUCUCCAUUUCCAAGCAGCAACUUCCUCCGGAAAGCCUCAGUUUGAAACUCAUCCAGCAAGUCUUCAACAUCAAAAGCCAAGUUCUGAAGCUCGCCAAGCCACAACUUUACAGACUGAUCAGUCUUCUUCUCCUCAGCAUCAGCAAGCACCGCCUUGAUUAUCAUCAACAUAUUCUUCCACUUCUUUAGGUCGGCUUGGAUUUGCUCUUGGCGUGCAAACAGCCGAAUCCCCUCCGAAGCUAACUUAUUGACCAGCAAAUCAACGGACGCCGUAAGAAUUGCCUCUCCGAUGAAUGACAUUUUUUUCUUCUUUUUCUUUUUUUUUGGUUUUGCAAAGAAAGAAAGGAGCAGAAUUAUGGGUUAUGGAAAGCAGAAUGAGAAAAUGGAUAAUUAAGCAGAAUGAGUUUGUGAUUGUGAAGGGUCUGGCCCAGCAAGCUUAGUAGAAAUCACGCGUUGAUACUUUAUUGACCAAUGACUAAUAAUUUGGCAAUUCACUCAUCACCACCACUUGGUAAGCAAAAUGAAAAUGCUUAGUAAUUAAGUGUCAAGGGUCAAGCAAAAUACGACGUAAAAUGUGUCAAGGGUCUCCCCACUUGUUGUUCCUUGCAGCUUAGAAAAGAAAAACAGAGCCCACGACCCAUUAAUAUUUAGCCGCCCACCAAUCAUCACCACUUGUUACGAAACCAUCUCAUAAACCAAGUUCGUAGGUCGAGCAGUUAAUCCAGUGUCUAUGUCCUAGAACCUUCAUCUCAUAAACCAAGUUCAAUCAAAACGUUCCUCUCUAUAUAUUUUUUUUUUCAAAACUCCUAAAACGUUUCUUUUUAGAGACAUUUUACUUUAUUCAUCUCAUAUGUUAUCUAACAAAUAGACACAAUUGAAAUCACUCUAAAGUGAAGAUGAAAGGGGAAACAAAUAACCUUCCGACCACCAGUAAUUUAGCAAGCUUCACUUUAUUCCACCAAAGUGUAAAUAAAGCCAGCCCCCACCACCAUCAAUAAUUUUGCAAGCUUCACACGCUUGUUGUCUUCUCCUUGACGAACUGGACAUGAGUGCACCAAGAAUCAAUGACAGAAUUUUAAAAAUAAUAAUAAGAGAAAAACCUACACAUUUUCGACUUAGAGUAGAACCUUAAUUAAUGCUAAAAUCUACUCAGCUAACAUUUUCAAAAUAUUGUUCUUUAUGAUUUUCAAAACUGUGAUUAAGGUUCAUCUCAAAUGUUUGAAGAGAGUCUAUCAGUUCUUCAAAUGUUGAAUAAUAAAAAAAAAAGUUGAAUAUGGAGGAAAAUAGAAUGCAUCCAUCUUCGCUGCUGUAGAAGUCUUCUACUUAUAAAAGUAAGUUAGAAUAAACAAUUUUAAUCUCUCUUUUUAUUCCUACAAGUGCACUACAUUUUUUUUUUAAUCUCAAUGCAAAGUCGUAUCGAAAUGUUAUAUUCCUAUUGUAAAACAAAAUUUUAGAUAAAACAAAUUCGACUCAUUUUUUAAAGAUAUAUAUUUAGUAGGUUACCAACAUAACUAACAAAACGUGAUUAUUACACUAAAUGAAAUAAAUGACAGUACUAUCACCAAUAAUUUAGCAAGUUUCGCAUGCAUGUGUUUCUAAACACAUUAUAUGGAAUCAAACAACAGUGAUACAAAGAGAAAAGUAGAAAUCCUCUGAUUAUAUUUUUUUUUUCUUUUUCAAAAGAAAUGGUGGGGUUGGUUUGUUUGCAAAGUUAUUAGCGAGGGUCUAUUUGUUUUUGUUUUAACUUUAUUAAUCAAUAAGCAAACAUGUAAUUAUUUGUAUAUAUCACUAGCAUCACAUUAUUGUGAGGUAUUGCGCUUAAUAUUCACAAUUUUUGUAAGAUGAAUUUGUAAGACUAAUUAAUUUUGAUGAAAAUGUAUCGUUACUAAGAUAUUAUUUAAUUCAUUAAGUUAACUUGAGGUAUUAAUAUUUACUAAUUGUGGUGCUGAUUAAUUUAUUUAACUUGUCACUAUUUGCAAUUAAGAAUGAAGUUCAAUCAAUUUAUUGAGUAAAAAAAAAACAAAGAUGCAUUUUUUUCUUUAGAUUUUAAUUCUUAGGAUUUGAUUUCACGCUCUUUUGUUUUUUUACGUUGCUAAAGAGGCAGUAAAAAGUUUGCUGAAUGUCAUCAAAUACUUGUAUCUCAUCUCACAAAUUGGUAAUAUUUGUUUGGUAUUUCAUCUCAACAGACGCAGUAAGGAUUACCUCUCCAAUGACUGACAUUUUUUUUUUUUUUGGGGACAAAGAAAGAAACAGAAUUUUGAGUUUCGAAAAGCAAAAUAAGAAAAUUGAGCAGUAAGUGUGAAGGGUCAAGCAAAAUGCAUGUAGCAAGUCUUCGACUUGUUGUUUAUCCCACUAAAGUGAAAAUAAAAACAGAGCCCACGACCCCUUAAUAAUUGAGCAAUUCACCAAUCACCAGUCACCACCACUCGUUACCAUGAAUAUAAUAAAUUGCACCUUGAUAUUUGCAGGGUCCAGCAACAUUGACCUAGUGUCCGGGUAAAUGCUGAAUAAAGAGGAAAAUGGAAUGUAUCCACUCCGAACCUUCGCUUUACAACAAUUUUUAAGAAUCACAAUGGUAAUUCCUACUAUCAUGUUAUCUUAAUGUCGUGUUAAAAUAAAUUAUAAUAUAUUUUUUAUAUGAACACUCUUUUCAUUUAUAAAUUUUUAAGUUUCUAAUAUUUUUCUCACUUUUUUAAUCUUAAUAUUUAUAUUCCUCUCUUCAAAUUUUUUUAUUAUUUAAUUUUUAAAGAAAAAUAUGAAAAAAAUAAGAAAAACAUUAUACUUAGAAAAUAAUUAAUAUUUUAUGGGUCUAAUGCAAUUUUGUCUCACCUAUAAAUUUUUUUGUUUAGCAAUUAGUUUGAGAAUCUUAAAAAAUUAUUUGCAGUAGGAUAAAAUUUUAUUUAAUUUAUUUUUUUACUGUAUUGUAUCUUAAUUAAUUAAGUUGUUAUGUUUAUUACAAGAAUUUUGUUUUGGCUUAGAGGAUUGCUUCUUAAAUUCAUAUUAUUUUAAUGAUAAUAAAAGAUAUUUAUAUUGUGCAAGCAAAAUAAAAUGAAGAGAGAAAGAAAAUAUAAAUGAUUUAAUUCUAUUUAUAUUUGUCCUCAAAUGUAAUUGUAGUAUAAUAGGAGUUUUAUAAGAUUAAUGAAGGGGUGCCAAUAGUCGUACUCUUAUAGAAAAUGACUGUAAUAAUAGUGGAAAUUUAGUGUAAUAAAAAGGAUAAACCGUAAGAAAUUAAUGUUUACUUCAAGAUACGUUAUAAAUAUUGUUUUUCUUAAGAUGUUAUUUGCCUCCACCAAUCGAAUGAUGCACAUGAAUUAAGCAAAUAUGCUUCCAUGAUACAAUAAAGCGCUUAUUUAUUUGUUUACGUUGUAUGUCGACGAAGCAAACUUAAAUACUUUUGAAUGUUGUAAACCUACCAAGAAUCAAUAUAUUAUUUCUACAAAAAGAAACAAUAUAUUAGAUAUUUAAAGCAUAAAAAAUAGACGUUAAUUGAUUAAAUUUGAUUUAGCAAAGACACCUAAGAAAAGAGGGGGGUAACGCCAUUUUUUUGGUGUUUAAAUAGUCUAAAUAUGCCCCCUUUUUGUCCAUCCCCUUUUCCCCUUUUAUUGGGAUUAUUUUUUUUUUUAUAAUCUCCACCCCUUCAUGGUUAUUAGACCAACCAAUUAAAUCCCUCCUAAAGCUACUUAACUUUUUGCCCCCCAACUUAAAGGAUCCCAUAGGGAUUGCUUUUCGGAUGUUUGCCUUUUUUUUUUUCACUUUUUUAUAUUUUUUUUGGGGGUGUUGGGGGGGGGGGGGGGGGGGGGAGUUUAUGAAAAUUAAAGCAAAUAAGAAAGUCAAUUACAGCAGAAUGAGUUUGUGAUUGUGAAAGGUCGAGCAAGUCUACAAAUCAAUUAGACAAAACCCACCACGAGAGUUAAAAUGGAAAAAUAGCGCCCACCACAAAUAUAAAAUUGGAGGAGCUCAAGAUCCUGCCUUUGCUUUACAUAUUAAAUUAAAUAAAAGCCAAACCAAUAACCUUGCCUUUGCUUAACAUGAUUAAUUAAGCACUACUUCAGAAAGAAUACAAAAGUAAUGAACCUUGUAUUAAUCUUAAAUUUUAGGAAUAAAGCUACAUUUUCUCCUCUUACCAUCUUUUCAUGUUCAUUUCAAAAGUUUGAAGAGAGUUUAUCCAUUCUUCUUCUAAACUAAGAAAAUCAACAUUCUUACUUUCUUCAAAUGUUGAAUAAAGAAAAAUAAAUUAUUGAAUAAGGAGGAAAUUAGAAUGUAUUUACCUUCGCUAACCUAAAAUAAAAAAAAUUAAUCUCUCUUUUAUUACUAAAGUACACUAUUUUUUUAAUAAUUGUAUUGAUAAUGACAAUAUAUAUCAUCGAUUAUAUUCUUGUUGUGUUGAAAUAAGGUAUAAAAAUUUUUGGAUCAACAGGAAUUCGACUCAUUUGUUAAAAGUACAUAUUUAAUAUACUAAAAACAAAAAUUAACAUAAACAUGAUUAUUACACUAAAGUGAAAUGAAAGCCAGUACCCGCCGGUUCACCAACAGUAAUUUAGCAAACUUUGCAUUCUAGGAAAUGGACAUUGGUGAAUUAACCAAAGAAGACUUCCUUUGAUAAUGCGGGUAACGCCGGUCUGUCAUGGAAUGGACAUUGGUGAAUUCGACUUCCUUUGACGUUUAGUUGACUAUUUUCACAUCUAGCAGCCCUUGGCGUUUUGUUUUCGUUCGCUCUGUCGUCUUCAUCGCUCUGUCGUCUUCGAUCUUUAUGGCGACAUGGGUAUAUGUGUAUGGUAAACUGUGCGGGUGAAGAGUGUCGACAUGAUGCUGUCACCUUGCUUUAAUUAAUUGCAGUGACGUUAUAAAGUAAGCCUCAAAAAUUUAAAAUCGUGGGUCAAGCCCUGGUGUACAAAUCAGAAGUUGUAACAAAGAAGAAUUUAAAAUUUUUCUUCUUUGUUUCUUUCAUGCAUUAGGCUCGUUAACAAUUCAACAUACCAGGGAUGAGGGAUGCAAGGAAACAAUUAUUUGGUUUGAGUGUUUGGUAUUUUCUCGAUUCGUUCAGAAUUUGAUGAGUUUUUCUGUUUAAAUUGUGCGUAUAAUUUUUAUUUUUAAUUUUCUGACGUCGAUAUCUUUAGCAUAGAUUUUGUCUAUGAUACAUUAAAAAAGUUUGAAUCGCACAUGAUUCACUGUGUUGUAAGAGUAAAAUUUCUUCUUAUUAUUUAGAAUUCAUAUUUUUCAACUAAACUUUUAAUACAAUAUAUCGAGACAGAUCCUCGUGAUGCACAUACAUUUUCGCUUUUAGCCGUGCUGCCUGCUCUCAAAUGUACACUUAUAAAUUCCAAAUGAAAAGAAAUUUUGAAAUUGCGCAGCUCUGGCCAGGGAUCACCUUUUUGCCUUGCUAUUAUCUACAAUAUUUAUUUUUGCAAUCCGCAUGCAUGCUCGGUUAUGAUCACCCACGUGAUCGGCAUUAAGUUGUUUUUUAUCUUCUUAUUAACAAAUUAUUUAGUGUGCGGACUCCAUUCAUGCUCCCACGUUAAUCUUUCCAAAUUUUGUGCAAUAAAAGUUCAGCCGAUCCGCUAUUCACUUUGCCACAGUCUGCUACUUCAUUCUAUUUGUUUACUGCAUAUGAUCAUUANNNNNNNNNNNNNNNNNNNNNNNNNNNNNNNNNNNNNNNNNNNNNNNNNNNNNNNNNNNNNNNNNNNNNNNNNNNNNNNNNNNNNNNNNNNNNNNNNNNNAGAAUUUAUGAUUUUCUAUUAAGAUCUGUAAUAACCCUUUCUUAAUUUUCAAUUGUCCUUAUGAGUAUAUGUCAAUUUGGAUUAUUAUUCCACAUAUACAUAAUGUAUAAAGAAAAGAGUAAUGAUACUGCCACAAACUCUUGUACAAAUUUAUUUUGUACAAACUGACGUGUCAUUAAUUCACUGGUUGAAUGAAAAUAUAAAUUAAUAAAAACAAAUUAUGUGGGCUAAGUGAUAUUUAAUUCAACCAAUCUUAUCAUGCCUCAUCAAUUUGUACAAAAUAAGUUUAUACAAGAGUUUGUGACUGUAUCAUUACUCUAAAGAAAAUUAUUGGCAUAGAAAUUUUUUGCACAAAAAAAAAAAUCCAAGAUGUUUUUGACUGUUGGCGGCACAAUACAUAAAGGUGAAAUUAGGUUAUCGUUUGGAUUUUUUCAUGAGACACCCUAAGGUUUGUUUAGUUUAUGCUUUUGGCCAAAGUUUAUAAUUUUGUUUCAUUUAAGUCCAAUUGAAUUUGCAACGGCCAUCACAUGCUGUCUUCAAGCCGAAAUUUAGGAGCAAUUGCAUGUGAAAUUGCAGUGUAGUCCCUGGUAUUCUAUUUUAUUAAAUUAAAGAUAUGAUUAAUUGGAUUUACUAUGAUAAAGCCGCCAACUUUAUGUGCAUCAAGCCUUAUAAGUUUUGUUCUCGUAAUUUUGAAGCCUCCGCUCAUUAAUUAAUGAUCUCCAAAAUUUCUUAAUGUUCCAAUUUUAAUGUUUGAAAUUUGAAUUGAUGUUUGUGGUUUUAUUUACUUUAUUAAAGAAAUUACUUUGUUAUAAAUGUUCAAUUUGACAUUCAUAUUAUGAUAAUUUGUUAGUUACUAAAGUAGCCAAAUUAGAAAGUUUUCAUAGAUGUCAAAUUAAAUUCAAUUUCAAGUUCUCAUAAUUAUUGUGAUGCGUAUUAUUUAAUGACAUGAUGAUCUUGUUGUAUGAGUAUAUUGAAAUUCACAGAUUAUAAAAUAUUUAGGAAUUGGUCAAAGGUUGAUUAAUUAAUUUUAUAAUAUAUGAUCAUGAUUUGUGGAUAAUUAAUAUGCUUGAUUAGAUAUGUUUAGUAUAUCCAAAGAUAGCAAGCGUGUCUAGUUUAUGUAUAGUUGAUUACUAAUUAUGUGAAAUUAAAGUUAAGCAUCAAUUAUGUUUAUUGCAGUGUAUUGUUGUAUCACCAAAUAAAUUAAGCUUCUUAAUUUUAUGUCAGUAAGUAUUAAUAAAUUAAUAUAGGUAACAUUAAAUAAUUUAAAUUAGCUGUAGAAAAUUUUAAAAUAUUUUAUUCAUAAUAAAAAAUUAGCGAUAUUAUAUCAUGAAUUAAUUAAUAUGUAAAUUAUUUAUUUAUCAAAAUCAUUUUCAUUUAAUUAAAUAUUAAUUGAGGUUUAAUUAUUAGUUAUCAAUAAAAAUUAACAUGGUAUUGUCUUUUUUAUGGUCCUGGCCCCCAUCUCCAAAUUAGAAGCAAUUCUCAAACCCGCCCCAUACCUAAAAGUUCACAUUUGGGGAGCAUCCCCAAUUUUGUGUAUGUAUAUAUGAUUUGGUGAGUUACAAGAAGCAUUACCAGCAAAAGCACAGAAAUGGUUUCGUUUCAGAAGCAAAUAUGAUGCUAAGGAAAGUUUCGUCUUCAGCAUAAUAACUAUAUAAUAUCAUAAUGAAUUGGUGUGCAUUAACCAUGCUCCAGGUUGAUUUGGAAAGUCAUGAUGCUGUUUCCAUUUCAAUUUAGACUCCUUGCUUAUCAGCCAAAUGAUUUAUAAGUAAUAGCCAGUAGAAGUUUUUCUCAAAAUGGAAAUAAGUUGUCUUACUGGGAGAGUCCACAUAUGGUAUCUAAUUUGUGGUGUUAUUAUUUCAAUUGUAAGUUCCCUAAUUCUGGCCAAUGCACAGAUUCAGAAAGUUAUAUUUGGUGAGUUUUUUUUUUUUUAAAGGUUUUGGAUACAACGGCAAGAGAUAGGGAAAAACAACAAAGGGAGAGUCAAAACUCCACAUUAAGCUAACAUUUGAAUUUCCAUUUAUACUUUGCUCCACUCAUUCUAAUGUUUACUGGCUAAUUGUAGUUUAUGGUGUAGCAUCCAAAAAAGAUGACUCAUAGAAUUUAUUCUUUCGGACCACUAAGUAGCUUAAACACACACACACACACACACACACACAAACACAUGUACAUAUGAAUGUGUGUGUAUGUAUAUGUAUAUAUAUAUGUAUGUGCGUAUAUAUAAUCCUUCCCUAAUAUAGACAUCUCUUUUCUUUUUUUUUCUACAUAGACACACUAUCACUAGUAGAAAAAUAGCCUUCUAUGAUACUAUUUUGGUAUCGGCAGCUUGUUUUAUUAACACCGAGUUUAGUGUCAUUAAUCACGGUGCAAGAAAUUUACUGACACAAAUUUUUUGUGUCAACAAUUCUGUGUUACCUUAGAAUCAAAGAAAUGCUGAUUCCAUAGUAUCAAAAUAAUUGCAAUUCUAUACAAUCAUGUAGAUAGUGAUUCUAUGGUAUGAAGCAAGUUUUGAUGCUCUAAUGUCAUUUAUGUUCUGAUUCAAUAAUAUUGGUAUUUACCAAUGCUAUAUUGGUGUCAGCAGUUUUAAAAGUAUUUAAAAAAAAUAAUGAAAUGGUCAUUAUUACAAUUGUCAAUAAGCUGGAAUCAAAACUUAAUAAUCAACAGUUUUGAACAAUGAUUAUGAAACAAAUGUUGGUAUCAAAAUCCAAUAAACUCCAUUUAACAAUUGCCAAUAGGCUCCAUUCAGUAUUCAAUAUUCAACUUUCAACAUUGAAUAACCAAAUUGGUUCUAUCCAAUAUUCAGUAACCAAAUUCAUCAACCACAGUUUCAAUAGCACAACAAUGCUAAAAACCACAGCUAGUUUCUAAUCUAAAAAAACUACAACUUAUUUGUCAUUACGGCAACCUGAGUGGCAGUACUAAACAAUAAAGGCAAAUGGAAUUGGUGUGCUACCGCUAUCAUUCUCCAUGAUCUUCAAUGGCGUGAAUAAUAGUACCAACAACAAGCAACGACAAUACUCAAUUCCAACAAAAUCCACCCAACAAAGGAAAAUGGUUCAUCAAAGUUUGAAAACCACAAAUUUGUUUUACUACACCACUGAGACUAUUCUUGAAACCUGGAAGUAGUUCCUACAUAUAAAACGAAAUCAAGAGUAGGCUCCAACUAAAAAAGGCUUCAACAACAGAGAAAGAAGUUCACUAUACAUACAGAUCAAAGUUAGAACUUUAGCCAACCUGUGGCUUCCUUGCAGUAAUAGAGCAAUCAUGAUCAAAAUGAUUCAAAUGGCCUUUGACAGCUGAGCACCCAUUUAAAGGCAGCAGUGGUUUCUUACGGGAUUUUGAAAGUUUUUGAGUUGUUUCUUCCAUGGGUGUUACAUUUUCAGUGGAAUUAUCCAGUUUCUCUCCUUCAGAAUUCGUACAUGAUGAAUACAUCCGCACAAUGUUAUAUACAUAUGACCACAUGUAGAUGGCUUCAAUCUGAAAUAUCAAUAAUAAUGAAAAAUCAAAAUAUUGAAAAAGAUCCCAAAUUAGUUUGCCUGAGAUGACUAAGGAACAUUCUUAAUAUGAUCCAUCCAAAUACACCAUAAAAAUUAUCCAAAACUAUUCAUAGAAGUAAAGCAAAGAAUUGAAUUGAGUUUAUUCUUAAUCCAUUUCAUUAAAAAAUACUGCUACUUCAGCAAGCAAACCAUUGGUUAAGAUUAUAAGGCAACAAAGGAACAUUUAUAACAUUUUUGCUCACCUAUCUUCAUUUGACUCAAAUAGAAAGAAGGAGAGCGAGAGAGGGAAAAGAACCUGCAGCACAGCAUCCUAAAACAAGGCCCCACAAAUCAUAAGGAGCUUUUGUAGUUUUUAGAACUAUCCAUCCAAGUGCUGAGCCAACGAUGAAUGUAACAAGGAUAUUUAACGGCAUAAACCACCUACAUAGUUUUAUUUUAUUUAUGAAAGCUACUUUCAAUGAAUUGACGGAAGAAAACGAGAAAACAUGGUAAGAAGACCAAAAGAAUAAUUAAAAAAAUAGAAGAAACUGCACAGGUUUCGUAAAGAAUGCAAACUCACAACAUGCCCAUGCCUUCAGCUGUCAUGUGCUCUGCAAGACUGCUACCAAUAAGUGCUGGAUUGCAGAAGUAAAACACAACCUGUACAACAUUAAAAGAACCAAAUCCUUUAACAGCUUGGCAGGCUUUAGUAAAUUUUUUUUUGAAGAAAAAAUAUAACAUCAUUUGAAUUUUUUUUACAGUUAAAUUGCAGUGAAAAUUACCUUGUUCAAAUGCUGGCGUACAAGUCCCCCAAUAUAUCUAUCCGAUCUAGUGCAAGAAAUAAGCCAAGAGCAGUAAGCAGAAGUACCUUUAAAACUGGUAUAAAUGCAGCAAUAAAGAGGUCCAGAAUCUUCAUAGUGGGGUCUUUAAGUCCUCAGAUUAUCUAUAGUACUUGCUGCAGAGGAAAAGGCAUGAUAUGCUACCACAUGAGCAAUAGCUUUUAUAGAAACAAGCCUAAAAUUACUUUAAAAAUCAAUUUAACAUUGUUCGUAAUAGCAAUUUUACCCAUUAAAAACCGAUCUUCAAGCAAGUUUGUAUUUUUCACCACAAAAAUUAAAUCUAGACAAAUGACCUAAAAUAAAAUUUUUCUAAAGCACAUUUCAUAUUUCAUUAAAUUACAAAAAAGGAUUGCGUAUGACUUGAGAGGAAAUUCUGAUUGAUUCACAGUUUUAGCAUAAUAAGAAUACAGAUCACAAAUUAAAAUCCCAGACAACAUACGUGCAAAAUCUUUUUCUUUUUCUUUAUUGGGAAAUUAUCAUUCGUAUACCCUAUAUUUGCUUUGUUAUAAAAAAUACUACAACACUUUGAGGGUGUAUCAAUCCUCCACCCUUAGUUGACAAAAUGUAUUAGCUGACCACCAAACCGUUAGUUGAUGUUUAAAAGUUAACGGAAUUACAAUGAAUUGACGAUUUUACCCUUGAAAAUUAUCACUUGUAUACCCUUAAAUUCUAUAUUUAUCACUUGUAUACCCUUAAAUUAUCACUUGUAUCAUAUGAAAAGACUAAAUUACCCUUCUGACAUCAUCAUACUUAAACGGCAACUAACAGUUUGGUGGUCAGCUGAUACAUUUUGUCAACUUAGGGUGGACGAUUGAUACACCCUCAAAGUGUUGUAGUAUUUUUGAUAAUUGAGUAAACUAAGGGUAUAUAAAUGAUAAUUUCUCUUCUUUAUUAAAAAAAAUACCAGCCAAAAGGAAAGAAAAGGAAAAAAAAAAAAAACAAAUAUAGUUAGGUGGAUAGAUAACGAGGAAGGAGUAAAUAAAUUAUUGCUUGGUUAGAUAUCAUCUCAUAGUAACGAAUGAAAAGCAGAGAUAAGAACAGAUGAACCUCGUCUCUCCACCAGUGGCUUGGGGUCUUGGGGCCCAUCACGCGUGGGAGAGGAUUUCAGUUGGAGGAAGAAGGCGGAGCAUCGGGUGGCAACCUGAAAAGCUGGUGGAGGUAAAGGGAGUGAAGGAGACGGGAGCCACCGACACCGAGAGCUAGAACCACGGAUCUGAGCUCUUGGGUAGCACACCCAAAGUUAGCGAAUUGGUGGAUGCAUGUCUACUCUCAAAGGCGCUCGUCUUGAGCCGUCUUGUGCCAUAUCUUGUUGACGCAGGCUGCCCGUGCCAAGGUCCCGCCGUCCGUGUGUUUCAACUUUCAACACCUCGAACAGGAAGUUCUCAUCUAGAUUUGUAAGGCCAGUUUCUUUGGGAGGCUGAGAGUUUCUGUUUUGUUAAGACUUAAGAGGCUGAGAUAGCAAGAUAAAAACAAAUAAGAUUAUAAUUAAAUUAAACGUGAGAAAUUACUUUUCUAGCAAAAGCUUAAUCCAACGCCUCCAUUACUUCUUUUUUAUGGAUAUAUUCUUUAAUUAUUUUUCGUUAUUUUACUUCCUGUUCAUCAAGUUUGCGAUGUUUACAACAAUUAUUCAUUUGAAAAGUUAUCCAAUAAUGUUAAUACGUGAAAAUUGAGAAUAUGUAUAGCGAAAAAAAUUUCUUCAAAAAUGAAUUAUAUAAUCUUGACUUUGGAAAAUGUGGCCAGAACUGCAAAAAUGAAGAUUAAUUAACCUUGGAUGACAAUGAUUAAUACCCGUCCAUUUCUCCUAAGCUCUGUUUCUUACUUUGAUGCGCACAUGACUUGACAGCUUCAUCUUCCUCUAGCUUCCUUUCGUGAAACGUACUAACAAUUAACAGUAGUCUACUAACAAAUUAAGAUAUAAUCCAAUAUCUUUAGUACAAAUUCAAAUAGUCUCAUUUUGACUUUGAGCAAGCUUUUUAAUUCCACACUCAGAAACAAAAUUUUGUGAAUUCACAUUAUUUAGCAAAAUAAUUAACAAAUUAAUUGUGAUUAUGGUUGACGAUCAUGUUGAUAAGCAUCAUAUACACUAUCGUUGCAUAUUUAGUGAAAUGAUGCAAGGACGAAGUAUCACUUGGCUGUAAGAAUUAGUUACCCAACAAUUUGUGGAGUUUGUUUUAGAUAAAAUAAAUAAAUAAAUAAUAGAGAGCAUAAUUAAGCCGACAUGGAUAGACUAACUUAAACAAUAUAUUGAACACAAUUAUUAUUUUUAUUAACUUCCUUUUUCAAGAAGACACUGUACACAAAAGUAAAUUAAAACAAAAAUCUCUUGUACAGUUCAAGAGAUUUUAUAAGUUGAACUGAGCCAAAUAAAGACAUUCACACAAUUGAUAGAUAAUGAUUGAAAAAAUAUUAUGCUCAAAAUAUUUUCUUUGUAUGUCAAAGAACGAGAGAGUUACAAGCUUAUAUACAACUAUUAAGGUCAGCCAAAUCUCUUAGAGUAAUGGCUAGACAGGCUGUCCUAUUUAUGACUACAUACAUUAAGGAAUGAAAUCAUUUGUACAUAAGGAAUAUUAAUAUUAUCAAGUGAUACUUGCUCAAAAUAAAGAUUGUGUCUAGAAUAAGGGAUUGCCGAUGCCAAAUCUUGCCGCUAAUAAUAUUCGGUGAGCUGUAGCUACUGAUUGUAUGGUUUAUCAAUGAUAACCCAUCAUUUUAUUUAAUUAAUAUAAUACGGAAAGAGUAACUCGCACUUAAGUAGUGUAGUUGAGAUUUCUUCCGUGUUGAGGGACAAUAAAGAGAUCCAGAUUGUCGCUCAUGCUCUCAUCAUUAACAAUACUUAUAAGAGAUAUUGGAUAACCCGCAGACCACUCGACCUUCCCUAAAAAUUCACAACAACAAUUGUAUUCAUUAAUACAUAUAUUAAAAUAAAAAUUAUAAAUGACAUUCAACUGAACAUGGCCUGAGAACCUGGAUAAGGAGCUUCCAUGUUCUUCAAAUUAGAAAAGAUAUCUUCUAACUUCUGGUGAACCGUAAUCGAAAUUGAAGUUGCUUUUGUUUCUGGUUUGAUAAUAUGAUGUUGAUGUAUUUAUAUACGAGUCUUCGUAUAGUAUAGUGCUGUAUGCAAUACAGCCCCUUCAACAGUAAAAAGGAAACUUGAACAACUAGUAUUUUACCAGUUGUACAUUUAAUAAAUUUUUAAAAAUUAUUUUUAAUGCAGAAAAAAUAAAAUAAAACUGAAAAAAUUAAGGAAAUUUUGUAAAUAUUUAACACAAACAAUAUUUGAGAGAGAAAAAUAUUUUUAAUUUCAACAAAAGUUAAAAAAAUUAAAAUAAGCAUGUCUCUACUCUUUUGUUUUAAUGUCAAUAUAUUAGGUGACAUUCCAAGUUAAUUUCACAUAUACCUAAUUUUGAUUAAACUUUUUCACUAAUUGGUUUGCUUAUCUCCACUUUCGGAUCCACUAGUUUUAUGUUUAAUAUUCCUACUAAACUCGUUAAAUAUUAAUAUUUUGGGUCAAAUUCCAAUUAAAUUUAUUUCUCGUUAGACAAGUAUCAAAAUUCCGUUAAACUUUCUCCACAUUUGGUUCAUGUGUUUCAACUAUUAUUCUACUAGUUUUUCAUUUAAUAUUUCAACUCGUUUAUCAACAUUCCAAUUAUAUGGGUUAGAUAUUGAUAUUACUUUUUUUGGUUUGAUCAGUUCUAAAUUUUGGUAAUGUUUUUCCAUCCAUAGGUUCACAUGUUUCAACUUAUUGGUCCACUAAUUUUACGUUUGAUAUUUCUACUAAAUUUGUCAAGUACCAAGAUUUAUUGUUAGCUAGCUUCCAAGUAAUUAACAUUAUUCGUUGGAUAAGUUUCAAGUUUUGGUUGUUCUUUCUCUCUUAAUGGUUCACGUGUUUCCUCUAAUUUUUUCCCUAAUUUUGCGUUGAAAAUUGCCAUUAAUUGGUUGAGAUUCCAAUUACUAAGGUUAGGUACUAGGUUUGUUUUCUAUAACUUUAUUUUUUAUUUUGUAGAUCUCUAAUUUUAGUUGUGCUUUCCCCAUUUUUGGUUGACGUAUUUCAAUUGUAAUUCCACAGGUUUUGUGUUCGUUAUUCCAACUAACUUGGUAAAAUUCUAAUUAUAUGGGUUAAAUAUCAAUAUCACUUUUGCUUGGUUUGAUUAGUCUCAAGUUUUGGUUAUACUUUUUUAUCUUUUGGUUCACAUGUUUCAACUUAUUGGUCCACUGGUUUUGCGUUUCAUAUUCCUAUAAAGUUCGUUAGGUACAGUAUUAUGGGUUAGAUUCCAAGUAAAUAUCAUUUUUCGUUAAAUGAGUUUCUAAUUUUCGUCAAACUUUUUCUCUUAAUGGUUCACGUGUUUCAUCUAAUUUUUUCCCUAAUUUUGUGUUGAAUAUUCCCAUUAGCUAGUUGAGAUUCCCAUUACUGAGGUUAGGUACCAAGUUUGUUUUCUAUAACUUUAUUUUUGGUUUUGUAGUUCUCUAAUUUUGGUUGUGCUUUCUCUAUUUUUUGUUGACGUAUUUCAAUUGUAAUUCCACAAGUUUUGUGUUCGUUAUUCCAACUAACUCCACAUGUUUUGCGUUCAUUAUUAGAAUAAAAGCAACAAGUUCUAUCAAAAUUUAAGAAUGAUUACUAGCGCUUUCAUGCUCGUGGAGGUGAGAAUGGGAGACGCUUGUUGUCUUAAGUGACUAUUCUUACCCCACUAAAUUUAUAAAUUUAAUCAUUCCUUCUCUAUAUGGUGUUUCCACUCCUAACAAUAAUUUUCUUAAUAUUAAAAUUGUCAAUAAUAAUAAUUACAAUUAUUAUAACAAAUAGUAAUAAUGAUAAUAAUUGAUUGAGGAUAAAUUAAUAAUUUAUAAUAACUCAUUCUAAUUUAUGUUCACAAAGUAAACAUAUUAAUAGCAAUAUAGAAUAUUCCAAUUGUGUUUCAUUCAUCCAACAAAUAUCAUAUUUUGUUUGUUAUUCUUCAUUUUUAUUGUAGCCCAUUCUAAUUUUUUUUUAAUUUUUGUAAAUUUCAAUUAUUUAUUAGUGAGCACAUAAAAAAUUUAAUAAAAAUUAAAUUUCACAUUAGAAAGAGCAUGCAAGGUAGACUUUUGUAGGGUUUGCAAAUCAUAUUGUAGGUAUUUGGAAGUUCACAAAAAGUAAAUAAUGUUAUGUACAGAAAUAAGUUCUUGUUUAUAACGUUUUGCUGUAUUUCAGUGACACUUUGUUAUAUAAGGUGUUGGAUGCUAGGAUUAAGUAUGGGAUUGAACUAAUUUUGGAAUUAAAUAUUUAUCCAAUGUUUGUCAAGCUUAGUUGGAUUGUAUUAAGGGGGUAGUAAUUUAAAUUUAAUUCUAAAAUCAUGGGAUUAAUAAUGGUAAUUUACGCAUGGGUUUAGUUGGGAUAAGAUUAAUGAAAAAAGUUGUCCAUUUAUGAGAUUUUUAUUUAUAUCAUUUUUUAUUUGCACCUAAUAUUAAUUAAUUUUUAUUAUGAUUUACUUAAAACUUAUUUAUAUUUAUUAUCUAUGAUCUAAUUAAAUUAAUAUAUUUACUUGUAUUAACUCCGGAGAUUAAAUGUUCACCACUAGUAUAUUUAGUAAUUUAUCGAUAAAAUUAAAUGUUUAAUUAUUUAUUUCGCAAACACACCAAUAUUACAUUAUUUCCCUAUUAUUGCCAUCGGUUCCCAAACAUCCAAGAGCUGGUUGGCAACAAGAGAAAAAAUAGGGGUGACUAAUAACGACGACUAUGUAAUCGUGGCCAAUAAAUUAUUUCACAGUACCUAAUUAUAGCAACGAUUAAAUGCAACCUGAAACAUGCUGUUGAAGUCAUAGUUAUGGAAAAUUUUACAAACUUCAAAUAAGACCAAAAAAUUACAAAGAGUAAUGUUAAAUAUCCCAAUUAAAAUUGUGCCACUAUUCAAUCACAAAUGUAGGAUAGGUGACUAUAAUUUUUCUAUAAGUAAUGCUUCGGUACUUUUAACAGUGUGAUGAGUAAACGUUAAUUUUUAUAUUUUAACUCAUGAUCGUUAAGAGAAAUUAAAUUUGGAGUGUGUUUUUCAAAUAAUGUGACACUUCAAAAAUAUAUAUCUCAUCCUUCUCCCCGUUCCUCAUCAAAAACCACUUUUUCCAAUUUUCUCCCACAGGAUGCAGGAAUGAAGAAUGCAUGGAAGGAGAAAUUACCUAUCCAAACAUCCAUACUUGGAAAUCAUCAACACAAACCACAAAAUUAAGCUAUCUUAUGAAAAAUGUCCAUAAUGCAUAAUCAAAACAUAACAAGUAUUGACAAAUUUGAAAACAAAAUACAUAAUAAUCAUAAUUUCUGGGCAUAAAACCAUGGGAUAAUCACUGAGGAGGUGGCGGAGAUGAAGAUGAGGAUGGCGGCGAAAUCCCGAGAGUCCGGCAGAUGAGCUGCUGGUCAUCUAGAAUCUGCUGCUGCUGUGAAAAAAGACGUUGCUGCUCAGAAUGGAAGUGAUAGUGGAACGCUGCAAACCGUGUCUGAAGCUCGUUCUGUUGUAUAGAUAUGGAACAAAUUAAAACUGUCCAUUUAUAUGGGUAAUGAGUAACUACCUUAUCUUUUUAAUAAUUAAAAGAAAAGUAUUCCUUUAAUUAUUGGUAGAAUUUAUUUUCCAAUUCACUAUAAAAAAUAAAUACUCCUAGGGUGAAGAAUAUAAGUAUAAAUUGAAAUACAAAUUUUUUUUCACUUAAAGUGUUUUCUCAAAUUUUUUUCCAUAAGAAACUCAAAAAUGUAUUAAUGAAUAAGUUGUAAAAUAGAAAGUGGACAAGCCGUCCACUUAAAAAACAAAGCCUAGCACUAUUUGUGCUAUACGAAAGUGUACCCAAUCACCCCUAAAGUAUUUUUCCAACUUUUUCUCGUAUUUUUUUAAAGAAUACUUAAUAGAUUAGAUAUUGUAAUAUAAAAAUUGAAGACAAACAAACAUGAAUGAUGUAUCAAUAAAUUAAUGGAGAUCUAUUACUAUAUUUGGAGUAAAAUUAUGAAUAAAUUAACAUAGAUAAUGAAUUUAUACCUUUACUCUAUAAUGCAAAUGGUAUUAUGUUUUUAAUUCAAUUUAGCACCGUACAAGAAAAGAUUACCUUAUCGCUUCCAAUCCCUCCUUUAGAUCUAAGCCACUUCAUGAACUUCUUGAUCCUUGAUUUGCUCCAGAAUGUGAUAGGAAGUAUAAUCCUAUAAGGCUGAAUGUUGUCAUAUGCAACAUUAUGGAGAUAAAAGAUCUGCAUGAGCAACUUAUAAUUAAGAAGAAUAAUAUUAUUCAUGGUAAGCAUAUGCUCAGCUUUAGUUGCAGAAACUAUGUCACCUGUAGGAAGUGCUAACAAAUUCCAAUGUAUGCUGCUUGUUGUUUCCACUAUUUCAUUGUCACCAGAAUGUGAGUUUGAAUUACCCAUCCUUUUAUCUCUCUUUUUGUACCUUGCCUUUUGUUCGGGAGGAAGGUCUUUGUAGGUUUUCCCAAUAUGUUUUUGUAACUGUCAAAAUGAUAAUGAAUAUGUCUUAAAACAUAAAAAACCCACAAAAUAAUAUCUAUACAUGCUACAUUUAAUGAAUAUAUACUAACCCCAAUCGUAACGGACAAAUCUAAAUUUUCACUUCUCAAACGCUUAACUUCUUCAUUGCUGCAAAAGCAUAACAUCUAAUUACUGUUAUUUGGUAUGGGCGUGUUUCUUUCCCGAUAGGUAAAUCACAACGACUACUUACAAGUAAGAGACAAAUCCAUAAGUUGAAGACAUUGGAAUUGCAUCCUGACCAUUUGCUUUUAGAAUAGGAGCACUUUUUUCUGUAAGCCCCCUGGUAGUUGUUUACGCUUUCGUCGGUGACUGUCCAAGAAAAAUUUUAAAUAAUUAAGUGAAGGAUAAUUAUUCCAUCAAUAUGUAUUAAUUUUUUUUUAAAAGAUGAGUUCCCCCACCUGCUAUUCAAAGUCACUGUGUACUCCUUACUUUUUAAUCUAUUAAACAUUCCAUAUAUGGUGGAAUUCAAGCACAAAUUAUAAUUUUAUUUUAUUUUUUUCCUCAUUUAUACCAAUGAAGAAAAAGAUGACAAGAAUAACAAAGGAAAGAUCUUUAUUUUUGCCCAAGACUAUGACCUCUCACAAACUCACAAUAAAUGAAUGACAGAGUGAAAAAAAAUUGUAUAUAAUAAAGGGAUGGGAUCAAGAGCUCUCAUUUCUUACUACAAAAUUUACGAAAUCUAAAUAUUUCAACAACAUAAAAUUUAAUGGAUAAUGAUCUUUGCUGCAUACAUUAAAAUCAUGACUAUUACCGUGCCCUCAACUUUGCGUCAUACAAACAAAUUUCAUCAUAAAACAAAGUACAGUGCUUUUUUUUUAAUAAAAAAAUACAUUAAAGGCUGCUGGGAAUGAGUAGGGGAUGAUGGGUUGUAACCAAGAUCAAAAUUAAUGCAUUGAAACCAAUAUGACAAAAUCCAUACUAUGAAUUAUUAUAAACACCUAAUAAAGGGUUAGUAUAUCAGAGGGAUUGAUACCUGGAAUGUACUUCAGCAAAACAGGACCCCUGAAAAUAAGAAAGAAAAGUUUUGCUCAACAUUCCAAAAAAAAAAGAAGGCCUGCUCUUUUUAAAAAAUUAUAUCGUUGUAACUUACACAAAAUUCCACUUAGCACAAUCGUAAGGACCAAUCGUAAGAUUAAGAUGAAGGCCUGCUUGCUGCACCAGCUUGAUAAACUUCAGCAGAUCAGAAUUCCCCUCCAAGUAAUACUAAAACUAAUUAAAACAAAAACAAAAAACAAAAAUAGCAAAACAUUUACUGAAGAACUUAUUUAAAAUAUUACCCUAGAUUUGAGACUACAAGCAAACAGUGCCUUCUGAUAAAAACAAAUUACAUGCCAUAAAUAAAAUUAUUACGAGCCCACCAAAGAAAUUGUCAGGGUUAUAGUGAUUACAAACCUUCCCUAACUUUAUUUAUCUUCACCAAUGAAAAUAGGUCAACAUUUAACAUUCUUUUACAACCAAGUACACCAAGUCUUACAAUUAAAGGUUUAAGGUUACAAAGCAUAGUUACUUAAGACUCUUAGCUUUAUCGUAAGGCACCUUAGACAAUUCUAUUACCACACAAAGACCUGGGCCUAUUUCUUAUAAACACGGCAAGAAUCACAUCCAAGGUCAAGCAAAUUCAACAACAAGGUCAUACGGCAUAUACCCAGCACAUACCCAACUCAUUGGCCGAUUUGAGGCACAAAACAAUAGAAUAUUAUCAUAAAACCACCACAAUAUCACUGGAUUCGAAUAUAAGAAUAAUAUAAAUAUAAUUGUUCAAUUCAAUCAUUACCCCAAAUCACGAAUACUAGCGAGACUAUAUUAAUUCAUGCCACUGGCAGCAGCACAUUCUUUAAUAAAAUCCUUCAAAUAUAAAAAAUCAGCUACAUGCGAAUCUAGAAUUUAAAAGGAAAUAUACAAUAAUUUUUUGGAGAGAAGAAAUCCCUUUCCACUUAUAUUGAAGAUAAUUCAAGAAAAUGACAGGCCCCAAUUCGCAGAUCAUCAAAACAAACCCCAUUACUUGCAGUUGCUUGAUGCUCGAUAACGUUACCUCUUUUUUUUUUUCAAUUUAUAAUUUUUUCCUUUUUGUGAAUAACAGAAUCUCAAGAUAAAAUAUUGCAGUAUGACUUAAUUGUAACUCUAUCGGUUCAAAAACAAAAAAUGACAAGCCCUAUCAAUUAUCAUUCAAUUAUCAAUCCCUAGAAAUCAUCUCAAUAUUUCAAGUAAUAAUUUCUCAAUUGCAAAAUCAAAUUAUUGAAACUGAAAUUUCAAGUAAUAUUCAUAAACUAAACUGAAACGUCCUGCAUAUUUAAAUGACAUGAUAAGAUUUUUAAUCAUAUAUUAAAUUAGAGAGAGAGAGCUCACCGAAAUUAUUGGAAGACAUAAGAGAGAGAUACAGCAAGAGUGAUAGAUUGAAGCUGACGAAUUGAAGCUAUGAGUGACGAACUGAAGCUGAGAGUGAUAGAUUGAAGCUGACGAAUUGAAGCGAGAGUAACAGAUCGAGUAAGCCUGAGUAAAUGGCACUCUUUCGACUACAUCUUUGCUCUUUGCUGUGAUGGGUGGUGAAUAUUCUUGAAUACCAAUUUCAUUGAUCCAAAAUUCUAGAUGUAGGAGAAAACAAUAGCAGAGAGAAUAUGAAGGCUGUUACUUUGAGGGAGAGAGAGGCAUCACAAUCCAACGGCUGUGAUUUUUUAGAUAAGUCAAGUGAUGACAUAAUGACUGGCAUAUCUGGUCGCCAAAAUGAGUAAUCAAACAUAUUAACCAUUGGAUGUUUCUACUUCUAUAUAACGGUUGCCCUUUCUUUUAAAGUUAUUGUUACGUUCGGAAAACGUGACCACACAAUCAAAUGUUCUUCUAUUGUCAAAAACAAUAAAUACAUGAGUUUCUUUUUUUAGGUUAUGUCAAUUCAGCAGUUAAGCAGUUAGUGGUUUGUUUACUUAUGAGACCGAAUAAUUAAAAUAUAAAACAAAAAUGAUUAAUAACGUUUACUUGUUAAAAUAUAAGAGAAAUAAAAAUGAAAUAUAUAAAUUCACAUACUAUUUAAAUUAAAGAAUAAUAAUAGAGUCAUAACUUUUUUUCCAGUCAUCACUUUAUUUAAAAAAGAGUUGAACUAUAGGCACUCCUCUGAAAUUCUUAAAAAAAACCCUCUCAUGUUAUAAUUACAUUAAAGGAUAAAUUAAUCUAAUUAUACCGCUAUAUUUGUCUCGCUAAAUCUUUACAUCCACACAACUAUAUCAAAGUGUUUUACAUUUUUUUUUGUUUUCUUUUGCAUUCUAUUUUUUUAAUUUAAAAAAAUUACAUAAUAGCUAUUUGAGUCACUUCUUAAUUCAUACAUAUACAAGAAAUUUAAUAAUUCAAAAAUUUGUAUAAAAAAAAAUUUAGUUGGAGUUGUUUGGAAGAAACUAAAUUUUCUUUUGAAAUCAGAAAGAAACAGAAAAAAAAAAACAAAACAAAAAAAAGAAGACAUUUUGGGAAUUAAAGUAGGUAGAAAAGCAGCUUGAAACGUAAAUUACAAGGGUGCUAAUAGUCUUACUCUUUGAAAAAUGCGGCCUGAACUGACAAAAUGCCGACCUAACCAAUUUUUUAUGACGAUGAUUAAUACUUGUUCGUUUCUCCUUAGCUCUGUUUCUUACAUUGAUGCAUACAUGACUUAAAAGCUUCAUCUUCCUCUAGCUUCCUUUCGUGAAAUCCAAUAUCUUCUGUAGAAAUUCGAAUAAUCUCAUUUUGACUUUGAGUAAGCUUUUCAGUUCAAUUAUCUUGCUGUAGUUUAUUUUUGUAUUUGCACAAAAUAAUGCAGUCAGAACAAAAUAAUUAUGUAACCCGAAGCAAUUCCUUCCAUCUCUACGAUAUUAACAAAAGCCAAAAUUUUCAACCAUAAUUACAAUUAAUUUGCUACUUAAACAACGUGAAGUUACAAAAUUUUGGUUUCUAAAUGCGGAGCUAAAAACCUCUAGCAUCAAUAUAUUGGGAAUUGCGCCCUCAUCGUCUUAAGAUUAUUUGUUAAUAAUUAUGUAGAAAGGAAAAAAGAUGGAUGAUUUCAAUUUCCACCAAUCGAUAUGCAUGCACGAGUCUGAACUGAGACUGAGAAGACUAUUAGUACAGUGACGGAGGAAAAUAAUCUACUGAAGCACCGAGUUGCCCAUUUGGAUUUUUCGGAGAAGGUUGAUCUUUAAAGUUCAUUGUUUAUUCAACCAACCACAAAAAAAUUUAUUAUUUAUUCAACCAAUCAUAAACAAUCUUUUGUAUAUUAAAUUUUUUUUUAAAAGUUCCAGAUGAAAUGAUAUUUUGAAUAUUAUCUGCAAUAUUCACGUGAUUGGUACCACAUUUUUUAUUUUCUUAUUAACAAAAUUAUUUAUUUCGUAGGGACCGUAUUCACGCUUCCAAGUUUCUCAUACAUAUGCAAUUUAACCAUUGCGGUUGAUUAGCAUUUGAGUUUUGACAUGGGAAGCGGUAGGGAUGGGAAUAAAAUCCGGAUCCGCAUGUUAAAUAAUGCAGAUUUACAUGUAAGAAAUUAAAAUCUGCACGGAUCCGAAUCCAAAUUUAAAUAUAAGUGCAUUCAAAAAAUCAGAUAUUCUGCUAAUUUUUAUAUUAAAUUAAAAAAAUAUAUAUUAACUUUAACUUAAAAACAAAUUUAACCCAACUCUCACAUUCACACGCGCUCACAACACUUUUCCAGCAGCCACAACCCACAAACCCCUAACACCCAAAUCCCCCUAAUUCCGUAGGAUGUCGCCGUCUGCCUCACGGCCUCGCCUAAGCCUUGUGUCCAAGCCUCGAUCUAAGUCGGUCGCUGUCGUUGCGCGCUGCACGCCUCGAUCUGAGUCGGUCGCUGCCGCUGCACGCUGCACGCCUCGAUCUGAGUAAGUUGCUGCCGCUACACGCUCGAUCUGAGUCAGUUGCUGUCGAAUCCUCGCCAUCGAAGAAGCCUCUCGCUGUCGAAUCCUCGCCCUCGGAGAAGCCUCGUCUAAGCACUUUAAUUAAAAUGGUCUUGGCAAGCCUUGUUGAAUCCUUUGGCCUUUGUUGAUUCAAUUUAGUUUAAUUUUGAAUAAAUUUCUUUGCUGAUUCGUUUCAUCACUUUAAUUAAAUGCAUUAAUUUUCAAUAUAAUGUAAAUGUUUAAUAGGUUUUGGGAUUAGGUUUUAAUUUGGAAAAUUGUUGAAUUUUUAAAUUAAAAAUUUAAAUGAAAUCUUGGUGAAACCUGUUGUCAUCUGCCGGUUAACAUAGCUAGUCUCUGAAAUAAUUUCUUGAUUCACUAAUUAUGAGUUCAAAUUUGAUGCAGAAUGGGCAACCAGCCUACUGCAAACAAAUCUUCUGGAACAGUUCAGAUGAAGGGACAGCCAAUCCAGCAAAACAGUUAUAAACAACUCUAAAUAAAUUCAUAUACGCAUAGCAGCUAAUUACAGUCUUGAUACUUCAUUAGGUUUUUGUUAAUUUUCUAUACAGUUGUGCUGUGCAUUAAAGUUUUGUUAAAUGAAAUCGGUAGGUGAGGAUUAAUUAAUCAAUUAAUUAAGAUCCAGUUAAUGUAAUUAAUUUUAUUUGAUUUUUUUAAUUCGAGUUCUAAAUUAAUCAAUUAAUUUAGAUUCAUGUGAAAUUGAAGUGAAUUAGUUUCGAUCUGUUUUUCGUCCUAUGUUUGUCUGUGUUUACUCUUACUUUUUUUUUGUUUAAAUUUUCGUUUUCUUAUUGUUUACUGAAUAAAUUUCUGAGCUGUAUUUGAGUAUGAUUGAUUUGUGAUUUUAAUUUGUGACUUUUUUUUUUGGAAUUUAAAUCUGAAUGCUUUUUAAGUUGAAUCUGAUUGUGUUGGGCUGCGAUUUAAUUGAGUGAUGAGGGAGCGCCAAAUUGUGAGAGCCAAAUAUUCAAUAACCGAUAAAUUAUAUUUAUAAAUAUUAAUAGCGAUGGCACAUAAACAAUUAAUUCAAGAACUUGCCCAUAGUGAUUAAUUUAAAGAGUAUAAGUAACAUUGCAGUACAGUUAGCCCUUGCGUGUUUAAUUAGCAAUUGAAAACUAAUGUUGCUGAUGAGGUAGAACAUUAUAACACUGUUGCUGAUGAGGCAGCUGGUAAUUCUUCUGGUGAAGAUAUUAAGACUAUUAAAGCUGAAAUGUAAUUAGAGAAAUAUAAUGCAUUCCCUUAGUUUGCUUUUUGUUUUUGAUAUUUGUUUGGCUAAUGCUUUGCUUAGAUUACUUUUUGUUUUUGAGAUUUUAUUGGCUUAGUCAUGGGGUAUUGUUUUCUCUUCUAAUUUCUAUUUUUGUUGUUAUGGGAUUUUAUUGGCUUACUUUUUGUUUUUGAGAUUUAUCCAGUGCUUUCAAUAAAUCAUGGUCGAUUUACUGUUAAUUAAUCAAAUUUAAUUUACCCAAAUUACUCAUGUACACGAUCAAAAUAAUUAUAAUUCCAUGAUAUAUAUACACGCGCGCACACAAACAAAAUGUAAUUAACUUUGAAAUAUAAAAUAUUUAAAAUAAUCACCGUACUAACAAUUCACAAAUCAGAUUUUAUAUAAAUAGACGCAAUAAUGUUAAUCUAGCGAAUCCAGUCAUAAUAAUUUGAUUUUCAUUUAUAUUAAUUAUGUCAAACCAUGCUAUUUUAAUAAAUAGCACUUGAGAAUAUAUAUAUCCAACAUGUAAAAUUUCAAAACAAUAUUUGCCAAAAUCUGAUGAAGAGAAUAUACACGCACGCACAUAUAUAAUCGUACAGCAGAAGGAUAAAUAAAAGAAAAUGAAGUUUCAACAGUUGAAUAAUGCAAAUUCAUUUUUUUUUAACAAGCAUUUUAUUGUUUAAUUAAAAAAUUCGAAAACCGAUUGGUCUUAUAUACAUGAUAAAAACUCACCGACGCCGAACCAUAUUCAUUUAAAUUAGUUUUCAACUGAGAUUUGAAUUUUAAAAUUAUAUAAACAAGCACGCCCAAUUUUUUUUUUUAAAAAGUAGUAAUUAUAAAAUAUUUAUGUCGUCCUCUAAAAAACCAAUUUACAAUCUAUAAAACCAAUUUACAAUCUAUUUCAACAUAAGGUAUAUGGGUUAACAAGUCCCAAUAUUGUCCUCCAUCCUUUCUGCACUUCUCUUCUAUCAACCGACAUCUCCAGAUGUCUAAUUGCAAAAGUGAGGAAGGCAGGCCCUUCUCCGGAAAGUAUUUGAGCUUGGGACAUUCCCAGAGAUACAAUUCAGUGAGGUUUUGAAGAUCAACAAUUGAAGAAGAUAGGCGUUCCAGAUUUGGAAAUUUAUAAAUGCUCAGAGAUGUUAGAGAGGCAGGAAGAGGAAGCGCGGUCCCUAAUCUUUUGUCCUCUAGUGGAAAUGACGCCAUGUCGUCAUCGCAUCCUCUGAUUUCAAGACGUCGCAGAGAGGAGAAUCUGUGAAAUCCCCGUCCCCGCUCAAUCAUUGACUUCCAAAUCUCCAUAUUACCCCAAAUAUCAAGUGACUGAAGGUUGGUGGGGAGGCCAUCUUCUUCUUCAAGGCUUGGAAGCGCACCUCCUUUUCCUAUUGUUAAUUCUUGAAGAGAGCUCAGAUUGUGCAUUCCCUUGGGUAAGGCCUCUAGUCUCUUACAAUUAGAUAUCGCCAGCCUCCUGAGUUUCGCACAAGGCAAUCCCCCUUCGGGAAAGGACACCAGAUUUUUACAACUAUCUAUGCUGAUUGUUUCAAGAGAUGUGUUGUUGUCCAACCUUUCUGCUAUUGACUUCAACUUUGAACAACUCCAAACAACGAGGGACUUAAGAGACGAAGGUGGAUUGCCAACUUCAAGGGACUCAAGCGUGGCAGGUAACUCGUUUUUUGAAAAUAUACAUGUCAGAGAUGGACAACUAAUAAUUUCUAAGUGCUCGAGAAGAGAUGAGGUGUACCUUCUGCUGCUGCUGCUACACUGGAUGCCCUCUUCCACUGUCAAAGUCCUUAUAUUAUCACAAUCUCUGAUGCUCAACUUCUUAAGGCUCGGUGGCAGCUGGACAGCAGCAACAUAUGUCAACGAAUGGCAAUUCAGAAUAUUCAAGAUCUCGAGAGACGAAUUGGUGUCGCACAUCCAUGCCUCUGGUAACGAUUUCAGUGCACCACAAUACCUAAUCUCAAUUUCCUUCAACUUGGAAGGCAGAGCAACCUCAGGAAAGGAAACAAGGGAACUGCACUUCCAGAUUUCUAUCUCUCUCAAGGAACUGAGGCUGAACGAUGAUUGUGGCAGCUUCACAAGGCCUUCGCAAUUACUCAAUCUUAGAUAUUCAAGUCUGCAUGACAACUCGCAGAGCUGCUGUUGUUGGUCUUUCUUUUCCUCCGCCACCAAGGAUUGAAGUUUGGGACAGCUUGUAAUCGUCAGUCUUUUGAGAGAGCAAAUGUCUUGCAGUAAUUCGUUAUGACUCUUCCAUAUAUGUGUUUCAUUUUUAAUAUUUUUUAUCUCCAAUUCUUCCAGUUUUGGUAUUCGCGGCUUCAAUGGCCCUGCGAGAAACACUUGAUUUGAUGUAUCUCUACAAACCACUGCAUUCUGUGAGCCGAGAUGAUCAAUUGCACUUCUCCACACAACCUUUUUACAUCCACGAAUUACCAAUUUGCAAAGAGCUGGAAGACUCCUAAUUGAAAUUGACAAUUCUUCGCAUUGUUCAAUAACAAGCAUCUCCAAUGCAGGAAGCUGCUCUGGAAAUGUUCCUUGCAGUUUAGAACAUCUUAAAAUGUGAAGCUCUCUCAAUUUAGGAAACCCUUCAACUCCCUGACUGGAUCCAUGAGGAAACCACUCUUCCCACUCUUGCAGGUCUUCAAAAUGAAGAGUCUCCAAGCAUGUAAAUGGAAUUUGAGAGUCAUCCCCAUAGAACUCUGAACCCAAUCUCUUUACUCUACUCAUUCCACGCACUGUAAGAUGCUUCAGAGAGGGCAGUUGGCCGACUGACGGCAGGGCAGUACACAUGCCGCAAUCUUCAAAUUUAAGUGUUACUAAAUUUAAGAAUGAGGAAUCUCCUAACCAUGUUGGAAAUUUUGUACCUCCAUAGCCACAGAUGCCAAAUUGUUCCAGAUUUUUAUGGGGUUUGAGCAUGUCAAGCACACCCAUUUCAGUUUCUGCCUCCCUUGAAGAUGAACCAUCGGUGCUGCAAGUCCAAUUAAGCGAUAAUUCUCUAAGAUUCUUCUUUCCAUCCAACCGAGCCUCCUUUGCAUCACCAAUGUCUUUUACAUUCUCUAAUUUUGAAAUUUUAAGUGUCCCCUGAAGAUGUAUCAAUGACUUUAGCUCUCGUAACCCAGAACCAUUGUCUUUUCCCACAGCAAAAUUACCCAGCGUUUGAAGACAAGUCAGCUUACCAAUUCCUAGUGGCAUUUCCUCCAAGGAAUCUGUAUUUGAAUUAUUGAGAUGAUGCAAUUUGAUGAGAUUUCCCAUGUCUGCACACAACUUCUUCAGUCGUCGACAGCCCUCCAAAAGAAGGGUGUGCAAGUUGUAAAGCUUGCUGACUGAUUCAGGCAGAGUUUUAAUCUCAGUUCCAGACAGGUUAAGGUGCCUUAAAUACCUCAAAUCACCAACUGAAUCCGGCAGCUCGGCGAUGCAAUAUCCACGCAGAGAGAAGACCCUUAAGCUUUGGAGUUUGAACAACUUAGGAAGAAUGCUAUGAGCCAAGUAUCCAUGCCGACUAUUUAACAUCACUGGUAAAAAAGUUCUCAAAUGUUGGAUAUCAUACAAUUUCUCAAACCUUUGAACGCCAUCAUAAUCUCCACGAAUGUACGACAGAUAACGAAGAUUUCUAGAAAAACAUUGUUGCUUGUUAACCUCCGAGGUAUACUCCAGUGUGAAGUAUGUCUCCCCUGCAGCCCAACGGGCAAGGUCGUUGAUAAGAUCGUGCAUAACAAAUCGUGAUAUACUGUUGCUCGAUUGCUGGAAAAAAGAUCUUCCACGUAGCUCUUGAAAGAACUUUCGACCGAGAUCUUCACUAGGAUUCCCACUCUCUCCGUGAUUCAAGAAACCCACAGCACUCCAUAAUAAAAUUAUCUCCCCCUCUUCAAAUUCAUAAUCCUUUGGAAACAAUGAGCAAUACGCAAAGCAUUGUUUCAAAGGUGCCGAAAGAUAAUAGUAGCUCACUCUAAGCGCCGGCAUAAUGUCACAUCUCUCUUCUUGCAAUUCCCAUAUCUUGGUACUGAGCACUCUCUCCCAAUCACAUCUGUCAUCUUUUCCUCGCAAAAGUCCUCCAAGUGUUUGCGCUGCCAAGGGCAAGCCAUCGCAUUUGGCCACUAUCUUCUUGCCAAUUUCCUCCAAUAACUUAUCUGACCCCAAAGAGUGUUGAGCGAACACAGACAGACAAUCAUCAUUUGACAACUUUUUCAAUUGAUAAGCCCGAACAGUCCCCAUGAUGGCUGCAACCUCUUGAUUACGAGCUGUGACAAUAAUCUUACUUCCCGGUGCGCCAGCUUCAAAUGGAGGUCUGAGUCGAUCCCAAUCAUUGUAAUUCUCAUUCCAAACGUCAUCUAAAACAAGCAAAAAUUUUUUUCCAGAUAACUUCUUCUUCAGCUCCUCUUGAAGCUUAUUCAAGUUGUGAUUAUCCACGUUCUGGUCAGGAACAAUGGAUAUCAAGAUUGUUUUUGUUAGCCUGAAAACAUCGAAAUCAUCAGAGACACAAGUCCAUGCCUUGAGAUCAAAAUGAUCCUGCACUUGCUUAUCAUUGUAGACAAGCUGAGCAAGAGUGGUUUUGCCCAGCCCGCCCAUACCUAUGAUAGGAAUAACAGAGAAUUCACCAUCGUUGCUUAAAUCAUCCCUCAAAAGCAGUUCUACAACAUCCUUCUUUUCUGUUUCUCUGCCAUAUGCUUUGGCUUCCUUCACCAAAGAAGUUGUCUCUCGCCUUUGCCUGUCUUUUAUGGUCCUCCCACCUGAACUUACGUUCAAACCCAGCGAAUCCUUCUGAGUUACAAUUUCUUGAAAUCUGCCGUUGAUCUCUUUGAUUUUGGACAUUAUGGCGUAAUCGAACUGAAUCGAUUGUGGAGCAAAAGUGGUGCAGCAAGUGGGAAUGAGCUUCCGAAACUUACUUGUUCUUGUACGACUGCUACUGGGUUGAUCAAGAGCAGCAGCAGGUUCUCCAUUUCCAAGCAGCAACUUCCUCCGGAAAACCUCAGUUUGAAACUCAUCCAACAGGUCCUCAACAUCAUAAGCCAAGUUCUGAAGCUCGCCAAGCCACAACUUCACAGACUGAUCAGUCGUUUUCUUCUCCUCAGCAUCAGCAAGCACCGCCUUGAUCAUCACCAACAUAUUCUUCCACUUCUUUAGGUCGGCCUGGAUUUGCUCUUGGCGUGCAAACAACCGAAUCCCCUCUGAAGCUAACUUAUUGACCAGCAAAUCAACGGAAGCCGUAAGGAUUGCCUCUCCGAUGAUUGACAUUUUUUUUUUGUUUUUGUUUUGCAAAGAAAGAAACAGAAUUUUGAGUUUUGAAAAGCAAAAUGAGAAAAUUGAACAGUAAGUGUGGAGGGUCAAGCAAAAUGCGCGUAACAAGUCUUCCGCUUGUUGUUUAUUCCAGUAAAGCUAGAAUAAAAACAGAGCCCACCACCCAUUAAUAAUAAUUGAGCAAUUCACCAACCACCAAUCACCAGUCACCACUACUCGUUACCAUGAAUAUAAUAAAUUGCAACUUGAUAUUUGCAGGGUCCAGCAACAUUGACCCAGUGUCCGGGUAAAUGCUGAUAAAUCAAAACGUUUAUCUCUCUCUCUCUUUUCCAUAAAAUUACUUUAUUUAUUGAAUUAAUUUCCAUGCUAAAACGAAGACUUAAAAGUGCACUACAAUUUUUUAUAAUCACAAUGAUAAUUCUUACUAUCAUGUUAUCUUAAUGUCGUGUCAAAAUAAAUUAUAACAAAGUUUUUUCUAUAUGAAUACUCUUUUCAUUUAUAAAUUUUUCAGUUUUUAAUAUUUUUCUCACUCUUUUAGUCUUAAUAUUUGUAUUCCUCUCUUCAAACUUUCUUAAUUAUUUAAUUUUUAAAGAAAAAUCUAAAAAAAAGUAAGAAAAACAUUAUACUUAGAAAAUAAUGAAUAUUUUAUGGGUAUAAUACAAUUUUGUCUCACCUAUAAAUUUGUUGUUUAGCAAUUAGUUUGAGAAUUUUAAAAAAUUAUUUACAGUAGGAUAAAUUUUUAUUUAAUUUAUUUUUUCACAAUAUUGUAUCUUAAUUAAUUAAGUUGUUAUGUUUAUUACAAAAAUUUUGUUUUGGCUUAGAGGAUUACUUCUUAAAUUCAAAUUAUUUUAAUGAUAAUAAAAGAUAUUUAUAUUGUGUAAACAAAAUAAAAUUGAAGAGAGAAAGAAAAUAUAAAUGACUUAAUUCUAUUUAUAUUUGUCCUUAAAAUGUAAUUGUAAUAGAAUAAGGGUUUUAUAAGAUUAAUGAAGGGAUACCGAUAGUCCUACUCUUAUGGAAAAUGGCAGUAAAAAUGGAAUGUAUCCACUACAAACCUUCGCUUUACAAGUCUUCAAUCAAACAUGUAUUGAUUUGUAAAAGGAUCACUAGCAUCCGAUUAUUGGGAGGUAUUAUGGAGAAGUCACGCUUAGUAUUUACAAUUCAUGUAAGAUGAAUUUGUAAGACUUAUUAAUUUCGAUGAAAAUAUAGAUUUAUUAAGUUACUAAUUCAUUAAGUUAACAUGAGAUAUUAAUAUUUACUAAUUGUGGCGAUUAAUUUAUUUAACUUGUCAUGAUUUUCAAUUAAGAAGGAAGUUCAGUCAAUUUAUGGAAAGAAGGAUAAUUUUUUUUUUCAGAAUUUUAAUUUCUAGGAUUUUAUUUCACUUUGUUUCGAUUGUUGAUGUUGCUAAAGAGGCAGUGAAAGUUUGCUGAAUGCCAUCAGAUGCUUGUAUCUUAUCUCACAAAAUGUCAAUAUCGGUUUGUUUCCCUAUAGGCGCAGCCAUCAUGAAUUGAAAGUAACAACGUGAUGAGCAUAUAACAUAUACAUAUUUUACCAUUAAUUAUAUAAUUGUUAGUUAUUUUUAUUUGUUAUUUUUAAUUAAUUAAAUUAUUUUGUUGAAUAAAAAAUUAAUUAGAGAUUCUAGAUAAAAAGGGCAUGAAGAAGUUUAAUUUGGGAAGCAAAAAAAAAUAAAUUGAAAGAUAAAAAUACAGACAAGGAUUAAUGGAAUCCAAGCCGAAAAAAUCAAAGCACAAGGAUUUUCUUAAUGUCAUUAUUUAGGCAAGGGUUUUGAUGCAGCGGAAGUUUAAGAGAAUCAAAUCUGAAGAAUUUAUUAAGAGAAUCAAAUUGGAAGUUUUGAUGCAGCAAAAAAAAACUGAAGUUUGAAUUUCACUCACAUAGGUAAUAAGAGAAUUAAAUUAUUGUUAGAUUAAAUUGAUUAAAAAAAAUUAUCUGAUAUCCAAAACAGCAUAUCAACAAAAUUGAAAUAAAAGAAAAUUGAAGAGAAAAACCAUCGAGAGAACGAAAAUUAACACACGAAAAUUUCGAUAACUUCACUUAUUAAAACUUGGUUAUUUCAUUUUCAUUGAUAAUCAUUUUGACACCGGUCAAAUUUAAAAGUUUAAAUAAUGGGGGCGCUAUUUCUUUCCAGCUAUGCCCAUCGACUAAUUAAAAUACCGCCGAAACAGUUCAGGGAUAGUAUAGUAAUUUCAUUUAACAGUUUUCGUGCUUCAAAUCAUCAAAUCAAACUCACGGUUUCCGACUUGUAAUGGGUGCAACUCAUGUUUUUCAAACAUUAAGAUCUUUUGCCAUUCUGUUACUAUCCCAUGGUUAUUUAAGUUACAAGAGACAGUAAAAAACAUCAUCAUAUUUUAACGUCCUUUGAAUAUUUGAAGAGGUUAAAAUUUAGGCAGUGUUAUAUAAAAUAUAAUGUAAAUUAGUCUCAGUAAUUGUGUAGUUGUAUGUGAGAAAACAUACAAUGUAAAAGUGUGUGUGAGAAAACAAAAAAUAUGAAUCACCUUUGAUGUAGUUGUAUGGUUGUAAAGAAUUAGAUGGAGAAAUAUAGUAUAUAAUUAAAUUUAUUUUGUUCUUUAAAACGGAUAGGUUUUAUGCAAAUUUUUCAGAGGAGUGCCAAUAUUUCAACUCUAUCAUUGCUAUUAGUUUGUCUUGUAAUUCAAUCAUUGCCGACAAGUAUUAAUUGUGACUAUUAUUAUUUUAAAAAUAUUAUUAUUAUUAUCGUCGUUAUUCUUAACAGCAAUGACUAGAAUUAUAAUAAUAACAAUAACGUCAAUACAAUAAUAUAACAACAUAAUAAUAUUUUAAUUGGGGUCUUCCACCUGGGUAUGCAUGAUUCCUUGUGACAUGAUAUAGGGUGCGUUUGGGAUUGAGGUUAGGCAGCUGUAGCUUAAAAGCUACAGCACUAAAGUGUUUGAUAAACACUAACUGCUGUAGCUUUUAAGCUAUAUUGAUAUGAUUUUUCACUUGUAUAAUACAAAAUCUAUUAUAUCUUUAAAAAUUUUAUCAAAAUUAUUAUUUAAAAUUUAUAUUUACUAUAUAUUAUUAAAUUUUGUUUCAUAAUUACAGUUUUUUUUUCACAGCAGCUGUAGCUUAAAAGCUACAACACCUCAAUCCCAAACGCACCCAUAGAGCCAAUUAAAUUCUGAAAUGCGUGCAAUAAAGACUGUAAAGUGACCAGUUAUUCCGGUUGAAUUCACAAGAGCUCUUGUUUGUGUGUUUAUGUUUCAAGUUGUGUACUCUGUGUUACGAGUUCUCUAAUUAGUCUGAUAUUAUCGCAAUUAUUGCUCAAUAAUGUUACAAGUAUUAUAAUAUAUGUCACUAGUACGGUCGUUGUCUCGAGUGGUACACAUUAAGGCACAAAUUUAGAACGAAAAGCUUCCCAGUAAAAUAAGUUAUUUAAUUAAUUAAAUAAGAAUAAAAUGAAUUUGUGAAAGAAAUUUAAAUUUUAUUUUGAAUUAUUUUGACCAAAAUUUAAGUUUUUUUUUUUUAAAUUUGUUUAAGAAAAUGCAUUGUAAUUGUCUUGUUUUAAUUGGAAAAUCAAUAAAAAAAAUUAUGUAACAGAAAAAAAAAAAAAAAAAAGCAAAACGGUUUGUUUUGGAUGGAGUCCAUAGAUUCCAAUAUUUCCUUCACGAAAACUACAAAAAAUUAUCAAAGCCAUCAAUUUCUACACUCUCACCGAGCAAAUACUCUCAACCUAGAUGAAAGUGUAUAAAUCAACCCCAAUCAGUCCAUCAAUGUCGUCAACCUCAUACAGCAUAAAAAAAUCUGUGUCCAUUAAACCGCCAUCUUGCCAUCUCGUUGUAGUAUUUUACUGUUCAAAUCUAGUUAUCAAUUGGGCAAAAUGGGGACCAAUCUGCAAGUCUUUAAAAUAGAAAGAAACUUUAAUUGAGCACUAUGUUCACGGUGGUGGACCCGGCGGCAGUAAUCUUUAGGGUGGAGUUAUUUAUAUUUUAAAAAUUAUUUUAAACACUCUAAUUUUAAUAAGAAUAUGUAUUACAAAAAUAUUUAUCAUAUAAGUUACUAUUAAGAAUAAUAUAAUAUAUUAUAAGUCAACAUUAUAUAAUUAUUGUGAACACUUGUAUAGCACAAUCCUUAUUUAUUUUAUUAUUCUCAUGACUUAAAUAUAAAAAUUUUUAUUUCCAACAUCUUAAUUAAUAUGUAGAUGAAUAAUAAGGAAAUUAACUUUGAGAAAAAAUUAAAUACAAAAUAUGUGUAAUACUUUUAAAAAAUAAAAUAAAACAAAAGUAUUGCACAAGAUUUUUUUUUGGGAGGGAUUUUGCCAUUCUUCUUCUUCUUCUUCUCCUUCUCUCUCUCUCUCUCUCUCUCUCUCUCUCUCUCUCUCUCUCUCUUUUGGUAGUAUUUAUGGAACAUUUUCUCUUGUUAUGUUCUCAUUGCAAGUUAUUUUGGGUGCAAAAGUCAAUAUUAAAAAUAAAUUAAAUAAAAAAUUAGUAACUAAAAUUAUGUUAAAUUAUUUUUUUACAACUUAAUUUUUAAUUAUAUUUUGUGAGUAUAUGCUAAAUCUCUUAAAAAUAGAGUGUUGAAUAAUUUUAUUAGUUUUUUUAAAUAAAUGAAGCUAAGUAACUUAAAAAGUUUAGUAAGGAUAUUUUUGAAUUUUAAAUAAUGUACAAAGUAAAAUUUAAUUUUUUUAUAAUUAAGCUACGAGCGUGCAAAGUAAUAUUUAGAGUGCUAAUAGUCCUACCCUAAUCUUUAUCAUCACAUUAUUUUCCAUAAAAAGUUUACAAUUAUCUCUUUAUUGGAUAAUUUUGUUCCCUCUCUUACCGUUAUGUUCCCCUACAUUCUCAUAUCUGCAUCACCAUUUAAAUUGUAAUCAUAACGUUAAUCUUUAUCAUUUCACAUAUUUUGCCAAAUUUAUACGCACUGCAAAGCUCUUUCCUUUUUUUUUUUUUUCCCGUUAAGUUUGCUAUAAUGUACAUGAAGAAUAGUUAAAGAGCUCUUUCGAGUCCUUAUCCUUUCUUUCGAGUUUACUUUUGCUUUUUUUUUUUUUUAACGUUUCUCUGGAAUUCACUUCAACAUCACUGGCGCGUUUUCUUCUUUCUCACUGCAACAUCAACUGGGCCACCACCUCUUGCCUCUCCCGGUUCCCCUCAAUUUUCGUAUUCAAUGUCCACCGUUGAUUGUACAUUUAUUAAAAUUCUGUGGUUAUUAUUUUUUGCAUAUAUUUAAUUCCACACGGUCUAGAUCGUAGUUGUGUCCUUUUAAUUGAGGAUGAGAAUGAAAUUAUGAAAUUUAAGUUGGGUAAAAAUGGUGAGUAUGAGGAAAUUAAAUUACAAUUCUUUAAGAUAAAUAAUUUGUAAAUCCCACAUAUUUCAUUUUUAUUUCUCUAGUUAAAUUAUAUUUUAAUAAAUAAAUAUAAUCAAUUAUUUUAAUAUUUUAAUUAAUAAACACGACAUUAACUACGGAACUAAAAAAUCCAAAAAAAAAAAAACAGAGGCGUGUGUGUAUUGCUUGUGACAAAUGUCACCCAUGGAAAACCUUGUGAAAGGCAUUUGAAUGUGUGGCCACAUUUAAUGAACGAAACGAUAACUUUAAAAGAAAGUAUGUACUGUGUUAAUUAUUAGGCUUUAGCUUAAUGAUUUCAAUUAGUUUGUCUUUUAAUUAAAUUAUUGCCGACAAACACUAUCACGACCCACGUCCGCUACUUGUGUGAAUGUGUGUAUAAAUAUCCGCAGCAUAUUAUCAAACUUGAUGCGUGAUCAUCUUUAAGUUUUGGUUACGGUUCAUCAGACGUUAGAAGACAUCUUUUUUAAUUUGAAGAAGAUGGAAACUCCGCAGGUUCUUAUGCCAUGUUCAAUUGAAUGUCAUUUAUAAUUUUUAUUUUAAUAUUAUGUAUUUAUGAAUAUAAUUAUUAUUAUGAUUUUUUCAAAUAAAAACGGAUGGUCUAAGGGUAAUUCAAUAACUAUGUACAGUAUUAUUAAUGAUGAGAGCGUGAAUGAUAAUUUAGAUUUUAUUCUCUUCUCUCAAUACAGAAGAAAUCUCGACUGUAGUAGUUAAGUGUUAUGUAACUCUUUCGUAUUAUGUUCAAUUAAUAAUAAAAUGAUGAGUUAUUAUUACCUGUCAAUUAUGUGAGUGUCUUUGUUUGAUUUAGUUCAACUUAUAAAAUCUCUUGAGAUAUAUAAGAGAUUUUCUUUGUUUACUUUCAUGUACCGCGUCUUCUUGUAAAAAGUAAUUAAUAAAAAAAAUAUCAUUGUGUGCCAUGUAUUGACUAAGUUAGUGUAUUCAUGUUAGGUUAAUUGUGCUCUCUCUUCUUGAUUUUUUUUUAUUAAAAAAAACUCCACGUAUUCUUGGUUAGCUAAUUCUUGCAGGUAGCAAGUGAUCGAUCCUUUUCUUUCCCCUACUGCUGUACCACCAAAUCCUUACAAUUACAUAUCAAGUGGUAUUCGAGCCGUCAAAGGAUCCAUGGAAACACGCAACAAAUCAAAUGCUGAAUUUUGCGAAGAGAUUCACGAAAUCCUUGCUAUACAUGAGUCUAGUUUUGACCAAGUUCACGUCACGCAUCAGCUGCGGGUUUGAAUGGUACCUAGUGGAUAUUUUGUGAGUUCCCACUAAUAAAAUCACACUUGCACAAAACUUAAAAAUUUAAAUUACGUAAUUCAAAUUAUAAAUUUAUAAUGGUAGCCUAAAAAAUCACAUAAAAUACUUAAUUCUAGAUUUUAUCAAUGUAAAUGAGAAAUGACAGUUUUAACAUUAAAAUAAAUACACAAAAUAUAUCAAUUUAACAUAAAUUUUUAAAUUUAAUUACCAAAUACAUAAGUCUAUCGCAACUCAAAGUGCUUUCAAUUGAAAACGAAAAAAGAGAAAGAAAAAAAAAACAAAGAACUACAAAUCAAAAUAGCAGCCAUGACCCAUUUUACAGUCUCAUUCAAUACCACUAGCACCCAUCAAACACGAUUUUUCUAAACAAAGUAUAAAGUACAAAAUUACAAUAAGCAUAUCAUACUCCAUGCUUUAAGUUAAAGAUCCUUAUAUCUUUUUAUGAAUAAUUUUUUAAUGAAAUUUUAUGAUUAAAAUUAAAAAUACAAACAUUCAAAUAAGAAUGUCGGACACUUGCGCAACUAUUCACCAAAUUUUUUCUCUAUAAAAAUCGACCUGCAACUUUCAAUAGGUUUAAAUUUAUAAUAUCAAACCUGAUUGCAGCUCGCAAAAAUUAUCCGUUGCGGCCAAGACUUUGGAUUUGCGAUGAUUUUGCCACCCUAAGUGUAGUUAGUAUUGUAUAUCAUGUGGCUCUUAUAAAAAGCCUAGAAGUUGUUUGAAUAACGGGGUAGACACAUAUCUCCCAAAGAUUUUCUCUUUUUCAAAUUAUUAUUUUUUCUCUAUUAUUGUAACUUCGAAUCCUUAUAAAUUACAGAUUGGAGACAUGAACACAAUGUUUUGACAUAGUGGACUUUUGGCUUGUCCAAAGAAAUUUAGGAUAGAUUUUUACGCACUAAGGUUCUAUUUACUAUUGAAGUUUUAGAACUUUUAAGCCACACCAGAAAUUUUUAUUGUUUUGAUAGAGUUGUAGUCUUUGAUAUGUGAUUAGUAUUAAUUAAGUGUUAUGUUUACAAUAGUUAAAGGCAUAUUGAAUCAAAAUCCACUUCUAAGGGCUUGAUUGAGUGAUUGUAAAGUAGGUUUUUAGUUUGCUAGCCACUCAAGUUCAAAUAUUGGAACCACAUAGCUUUAUAGCCAAGUGAGAGAACUUGUGCCCUAAAAAUUGAGGGGUGCAUAUCGAGUUUUACCACCAAUAAAAGUUGGUGUUAAAACUUUAAUUUCCCUCCUAUUAAUGGAUAUGGGUGAUUAGGAGUUUACAUCCCCUCCUAUUAAUAGACAGGGAUUAUUAGGAAUAUUAAAAAAAAGUUCAAAUAUUGAAAAUGUAGGUAUGGGUUAUAAAAUUCAUAAUAUAAAGACACAAAAUCAAGAUAAAGAUUUAAAAAUUUAGAACCAUGAGAGCGUGACUUGUAAGUUUCAAAGAAGCAUGUGCAAAUAUAUGCAUUAUCGAUGCCCAAUUAAGGGUGGGCAUUAAGAUCGGGUUAACCCGAACCGAACCGAAUCAAACUUAAAAUUUAUUUUGGAUUUAAUUUGGUUAUAGUUGAAGCUUUCAACUGAGUUCAAAACUUAAAAAUGAUUGGGUUGUAUUUCUGUUCGAAUUUAACUCCAGAAGACUAAUCAAUCCAAUCGAGUUAAGUAAGCAAAUUAAGAAAAAAAAUCCCAAAAAAUUAAAACUAACCCUAACUAAAAUAUUCGACCGGGGCCUCCUCGUUUUCUUUUCUUCUUCCUCCUCUCGCUCACCCCUAAUGCCCAUUCAUGGAAAUCCAACAGCUCCAAACGCGUUUCAGCCGCUCGCACGUGUGAGAAAUUUUCCUUCUCAUAGGAUUAUUCGUUUCCUUCGCUUGCAUGCCAGCAGAAUAUUCAGGCCGAGGAUUUUUCCGGGCCUAGCCCAACUAUAAGCUCUCCCAAAACCCAAUCAUAAGUUCAUAACGUUUAGCGUUUGCUAUUACUAUAAUAUUUUUUAACGAAUUUUCACAUUCAUCAACAUAGGCUGACAGAUUUUGUAGAAAAUAAAAUUAAAUAAAAAUACAAGCUCACGAAAUUCCUUUUCCGAUGUGGGAAUCUAUCUACACCUUUCACGUGCUUUUUUUUUUUUGGUGGUGGGGGAUUCCCUUGCUUUUGUUUGCAUUGCCUUAUUGGAUAAAAGUUUGUACAACAUCGUCUGUUUGGUUAAAGCCGAGCAUGAGUGAAGAAAUUUUUUUUAAAAAAAAUUUCCCAUUAAUUUGCAACAAGUAUUAAUAAAGUGCAUGAGAAAAGACACCGGGAUAUGCCUUUUUUAAAAUGAAAAUAAAUGUGUUAAUUAGUCAAUUUAAAUGGUAUGACAUUUUGAAAUGAUAGAAGUGAUCUAAAGUUUAAAUCUUACACUUAAUUUAGGGGUGGGGAUUAAUUGAUGUAAUAUAUAAUAACGAAUUCGAAAGAUAAUUAAAAAUUAAAAGAAAAUAAAAAAGUGCUUUCUUUUUUAUGAUGGUAAUUUGUUUAGAUGAUGAAAACUCUUAGAGUGGUAUUAUCAAUACAUAGUAUUUAUUUUAUUAUAUUUUUAAAUUAAUAAUAAUUAUUAAUAUUCUUAACUAUGUAAAUCACAAUUAUUUUAUUAAUUUUAAUUUAAAUUAUAUAAAUAAAAAAUUAAUAACAACAACACAAAUGAAACAUUAUUAUUGAUAAUAUAGUACAAAUUAAUUUUUUUAGAAUAAAAUAUUUAUUAUUAUUAAUUACUAAUAUUAAAUAAAUAUAAUAGUAUUAUUUUUAAAUAAGUAUAAUAAUAUUAUAUUUUCAAAUAAAAAUAGAAUAUAGUAAUAUUAUUAAUUCUUUAUGAAUAUAAUAAUAUUAUUUUUAAGUAAUUUUAACUUAGAAUCAAUAUAAAUUAUUAUUUUUAACCAAAAAAUUAAUAUUAUUUUAAAUAUGUUUAAUAUUAUUAUUUUUAAUAAAUUUAAUUUAUAAAAUAAUAAAAUAUUAUUAUUUAAAUAAAUAGGAUUUUACUUAUUUUAUUAAAUUUAAUAAAAUAAAUAUGUUUAAUAUUAUUAUUUUUAAUAAAUGUAAUUUAUAAAAUAAUAUAAUAAUAUAAUUUAAAUAAAUAUGAUAUUAUUUAUUUUAUUUUAUUAAAUAUAAGGGUAAAAAAUGAAGAGAGGCGAGUGAAUUCCCACUCCCACCUUCCUCCAUGGGAGUGGGAAUCCUACUCCCCACUCCAAAAUUAGGUGGGAUCCACACAGUGGAAUUCUCACUCCUCCUUUGAAAAUUAUAAGUAAACAUUGGAGUAAAAGUAAUCCACACUCCUCACUCUCACUCCUUAAAAUAAACACUACAUUAAAGAAGCCACUGACUCAUAAGAAAACCAUGAUUAAGUACACGACGAAACAUGUGAGCUCGUUUUUCAAUUUCUUUGAUCACUCAUAAGCUUUUCUAUACCACUCACUAUAUCAUCCUUUUAAGUCAAUUUUGACUGAUCAUAAGAGAUUAUGCACCCCACCUUGAGAUGAUUGAUCACCAAUUUGGCAUUGUAACGUUGAUCACCUCUAAUUGGCCAUGCUAAAAUUGGGACCCCAUUGCCAAUUACUUCUACAGUUAAAUUUUAUCUACAGUGAGAUAAAAAUCCACCUAUUAAUUGAUAACUUAGUAUCAAUAAUUAUGGCGCCGUUCCAUCUAUUAUCAAACCCUUUUUACCGGCUCUACUAUCUAAACCACUACGAAAAUAAGCUGGUUAAAAAUAAAAAAUCCCCAGUUACUCUGCUCAAACUCGUUAAUAUUUGUUUCCACCACCAAAGCAGCCACUCGUAUCUUUUAUUAAGCAUAAUGUUUUUAAACAAAUAUGAUGAAAACUCUUAGGGCCAGUUUGGUAAUGCUGCAGCUUUUAAAAUAAUUGCUGUUAGCUGUGCUGUAGAAAUAAUCAGCUGUGAAGAGAAUCAGUUAAGUGUUUGGUAAAUUUUAUUUUCAAAAGUACUGUGAAUUUUGAAAGCAGUUAUGGGUGUUUGGUAAAUUUUAUUGUUAAACUGCUGUAAGAAAAUAAAUGACCAAAAUGUACAUAAUGUAAGAUGAAAUUUACCUAUACAUAUAAAAAUGUUGUAAGAAAAUAAAUUUACUUGCACUAGAGAAGUUUUGAUAGAACACAAAAUAUGAAGAAAUAGGGUAAACGAAAGGUGUGCGUUAAUUAUAAUAAAAAUUUAUUAAAAUAUUGAUUUUAUUUCUAAUUUAACUAAGGAUAAUUUCGGGUUUAAGUAAUAAUUGUAAGGAUAUUUAUGAAAUUAUAUUAAAGGAUAAAAUUGAUUCUCAAAAUCAGAAUCUAAAAGUUACUAUUUCCCUGCUUUUCAAAAUCAGUUGUAGGAGGAGCUGAUUCUGGCAAAAGUGAUUUUGAUUUUCUUUUACCAAACACCAAAAUUAGCUUUUAGAUUUUUAAAAUCACUUUUAACCCUCCCAAAAGCAAUCCCAAACGGGGCCUUAGAGUGGUAUUAUCCCAUGUUUACUCCAAUGAUUUGGUAUACGCACAUGUAUUUUGGUAUACGCACAUGCACGCUAUAAAUUUAGUCAAGAAAAGUGAAUGUAUCUACAUACAAAUACUUAUCCCAUAUAACUUCAUUUCUUCAACUGAAGAAUCGGUCGUCUCUCAUUUUUUAUUUAUUAUAUAAAGAUAAAUAUAUAAAUUUAAAUGGCGAGAAGAGCGGACGAGGAAUACGAUUACUUGUUCAAAGUGGUAUUAAUCGGCGAUUCGGGAGUCGGCAAAUCGAACUUACUCUCCCGAUUUACUCGUAACGAGUUCUGUUUGGAGUCCAAAUCCACUAUUGGCGUCGAAUUCACCACCCGCACUCUUCAAGUAACUAACUUUUCCUCUUUCACUUCUCUUCAUUUUUAUUAGUUAAUUAAGAUCCAGUUAAUGUAAUUAAUUUUAUUUAAUCUUUUAAAUAAAGUUCUAGAUUAGGCUAACUUAGAUUCAUGUCAAGUUGAAGUGAUUUACUUUCGAUCUCUUUUUCGUCCUAUGUUUAUUUGUACUUACUAUUACUUUUUUUUUGGGUAUUUUCGUUUUUGAAGUGUUUACUGAAUAAAUUUCUGAGCUUUAUUUGUGUAUGCUGAUUGAUUUGUGAUUUUAAUUUGUGAUUUUUUUUUUGGCAUUUAAAUUUGAAUGCUUUUUAAUUUGAAUCUGAAUGUGUUGGGCUGCGAUUUAAUUAAGUCAUGUGUGAGCACCAAAUUGUGAUAGCUAUAUAUUGGGGUGAAAAUUUGGGAUUUAAAGCUAUGUAUUUAAGAUGCAGUUAAUUGGCAAGUGAAAAUUAUGGGCCGGCAGAUUUUGUCAUUGGAAGACUGUUCUCCACAUGUUGAAGUUAGUGAUGCAAGUUGAAACCAAUCUGUUUAAGCUUGGGGUUUCAUGUCUUGAAUCAAGGCUGUGACUUGGGGUGGGUUGAAAGUAUUAUAGCUUUAGCUAUUCCUGAAGUGAUCUGUUUAGACUCACCGUGAUGAGACCGAGUGCUGUACAGUAAAAUGAAAGGAAGUUGGAAAAUAUUUACUUAGCAUUUCGCGUUACUAAUGUUGAACUAAUAAAACCUAGCCCCUAUCCUAGUGAAUUUAUGUUAAAAAGCUAUGCACGCAUUAAGUUAGUGCGAGAGUCUGCUGAAGCAUAUGUCAGCUGUGUGUUUGGAGCUGAGUAUUCUUCAUUCCACAUUUUGGGUUUUGGUUGACCUCCAGCAUGACUCAACCCACUUGAGUUAAAAGCCCUAGAGUUACAUUCUACCCAUGAUAUUUGAGUUUAUCAAGUCACCUUAUUUUAAUACUUCUCUGGAAAACAAAUAUAUAUGUUAAAUCAGGUAGGAAAAAUAAAAAGUUAAUUAUUUUAAUACUAAGGUUUUGAAACAUUAAGAUCUUUAGCCAUUAUGUUACUAUCCCGUAGUUAUUUAAGUUACAAGAGAUAGUAAAAAAUAACAUCAUAUUUUAAUUACUUACACUAAUCCUACAAGUGCUGAUGGUCUAAAGUUGCUGCUGCUUGCACUGAAUCAGUGGUCAUGGGCCAGCCAAGGUUAGGUGAGGCCAACUCAUUAGCUUGUGAAACUUAAAGAAGUCUUAGGUUUGGAAAAGAUGGGGCACAGGUUACAAAAAUUUUUUGAGUUUUGGAUUGAAGGAACAAAAUUGUUGAUGUCUAGCUCACAAUAUUUGAAGUCACUCUGUGCUUCAUCAUGUCAAAUGGAUUGAAUUGCUGUAAGAUCAGGUCAAAUUAAAAUGUUUAAACUCAUUUUUAAGAAACGAAUUCUCAAUUGGACCAGCCUUUCACAGAAGCUGAUAUCACAGAAGCUUUGAGUCAGAUGCAUCCAACCAAAGCCCUUGGCCCAGAUGGUCUCCCAGUAGUAUUUUUCCAAAAGCUUUAGAAUUCAGUAAGCGAAGGAGUUAUAGCCACUUGUCUGCAUAUCCUCAAUGAUGGAGGUAAUAUUGCUCCUUUGAAUCAUACAUACAUUGCUUUAAUCCCCAAGAUAGCAAAACCUAGGACUCUGAUGGAGUAUAGACCAAUCAGCAUAUGUAAUGUAAUUUAUAGGAUCAUUGCAAAGACUAUAGGGAAUAGGCUGAAGCUAAUCUUAGAUCAUGUUAUUUCGCCAACUCAGAGUGCUUUUAUGCCAAAUAGGUUCAUAACUGAUAAUAUAAUUAUUGGGCAUGAGUGUCUUCAUAAGUGGACAAAGCUAUGUUCCAGAGGUGAGAUAGGAAAUUCUCCCGCACGACACAGCAGAAACAAACUUUCCCUUUCAUUUUCUUUUCUCUUUCUCGCUCUCCAAACAGAGCAAAAGGACCGUCGGAAGAUUCUUCACUUCCAUCCAAAAUCAUGAGCAACGAAUAGUGAGCCUCCCUGUUUCCUUCCUUUUUUUGAUAUUAACAUUGUUAACAUAUACUCAUUUUAAUUUGACAAUACUUCAACUUUUUUUAUUUUUUUGCCUUUUCAUUUUUUUUGUUGAAGCAAUUAUCUGUUCAAGCUGUUGCUUAUCGAAGACUCGUCCUUCGGAAAGUCCUGCCUGCUGCUCCGAUUUGCUGUCUGUUGACUUUUCCUUUCCCUUCUUAUUUUCUUUUUUUAUAUUAAUUACUUUCUAUUUUAGCUUUUUGUUCUCUGAAUUUGUGUUAUUAAAAUGAUAAUUUAGAUGACAAAUAAUUGUUAUUCUUGUAAAUUUAGGUUUUCAUUACGUUAAUUGUUAGUUUUUAGGUUUAUUAAUGUAAUUUUUUUUGUUUUUUUUUUUUCAAUUUUUCAGGAUGAUUCUUAUGUCACCGCUACAUCAGUACCAUUGGAGUUGAUUUUGUGAGUCUCUCUUCUAUAUAUAUGUAUAUAUGUGUAUAAGUUAUAAUAUGAGUCUAUGUACGUGUAUGUAUGUAUGUGCAUGUAUAUGUGGAAAGAAAUGUUGGCAGACUUCAGCAUUUUACUCUUUUUUUUUUUUUUUUUUUGGGAGAAAAUAAGAACUGUGGAGUUGGAUGGGAAGACGAUCAAACUGCAGAUUGUGAGUCAAAAUUUCCUUUUAUCUUGUAUUGAGAGAAAUUCGAUUUGUCUUAUUUAGUGAAGGUUAUGUUCAAGAACCUUGUCUUAUUUUCUUUGUUUGAAGAGUGAUAUGUUGAAAUGAGUGUAUUUGUCUUAUAAACAUCAUUUAGGUAAUGUCUUAUGUGUGAUUGUUUUGCAUCUGUUGAGUGGGACACUGCUGGACAGGAGCGAUUCAGGACUAUAACUAGCAGUUAUUACCGAGGAGCCCAUGGAAUCAUAGUAAGGAGCCUUUCCGGUUCUUGGUUUAAAUCAGAAAGUUUGUGAUUUACAUGUGACAUCUUAACAGCAUUGUAUGUGUUUAUUAACUUAUUUUUCAUCUUUCGUUAAGCAGUACAUUUUCCAAUAAAUCUGUAUACAAGAUGAUGUAGUCCAAGAAUGGGAGCGAUAAUAUGAUGCAAAUUGUCUAAUAAAUUCUUAUGACAUAUGAUGUUGUCGGAAGUAAAAGUCUUGCAAUGCUGUAUUCUCUUUUAAGAAAGAAUAAGUGGUAAUCUUAUUUUUCCAAUUUUUUAAUUGAGCAACUGUGUGAGAUUAAUUAAAUGUGUUGGGAUUUCAACAGAUUGUCUAUGAUGUAACUGAGAUGGAGAGCUUCAAUAAUGUCAAGCAGUGGUUGAAUGAGAUUGACAGAUACGCAAAUGACAGUGUAUGCAAGCUUCUAGUGGGGAACAAAUGCGAUUUAGUUGAGAACAAGGUUGUGGACACACAGACAGCCAAGGUAUAUUCGUGACUUCUGUCGCCUGAACUUUGAAUAUAAUUUUAAACUCUUCUCAAGUGCAUUUGCUUGAUAAGUUUCUGCAUACCCAGGACACUCAAACUUUGGACAGUUUGUAUCUCAAGCUGGAAUCUUUUUUGUCAAUACGACUUGUUAAAAUAAGGGUUAUUAUCGUUUGAAUCCUUCAAGAAUUGCAAUAAAUCUAAAGUCCAUAAAAAAAUAUGAUUCCAUCUUUUUACUAUUAUAUCUAGACAAAACCCAUUAUUUUACUACAUUUCAUUGGCACGGAUAGUUGACCUGUUGGCUGACUGAUAAAAUAUCAAUUUUGCACUUUAUAUUAAUUCUUUUUUGGUUAAAAAAUAACACACAAAGUAUUACAAUAUUAUAAAUUCAAAAUAUAAAGUAGUUACAAAUAAUUCCUAUUAGCCUAUGAAUAUAAUAUUUGAUACCUCUAUUUGUGUAAUUUUUUUCCAAUGGUGAAAUUGUUAUUUUUUUUUGUACUAACGGAAAUGUAGUAAAAUCAUAAGUUUUGUAAAGAUAUAGUAGUAAAAUGAUAGACUAAAAUACUUCUUGUAGUUGUUUGAUAUAUUGUAAUUCUUAAAGUAGUCAAUUGAUAAUAUCCCCUAAAAUAAAUGUUCGUAAUAUGUUCUCAUUUUAAUGCAACUGAUUGUUUAAUAAAAUUGUAUUUCUUUGUUAAUCUUUUAUCAUGUGCAUGCUCAGUGAGAAUUUGACUUACUAGAACACAAGUUUGACUCUUCAUUUAAAUGUCUCUUGUAUCAUAUCCUUUAAUGUUGAGUGUGAUUCCAAUAAAAUUGAGUAGGGAGAUCCUUAAAUACCUUUUCCUUUUUUCCAAGGGCCUGCCAAAUUGCUCUAAGUGGUUCUACCCUUUAUCAAUGAAUAAUGAAAAUAAAAUUUUUAUUAAAGCAUUUUGUUCCUUAAAUGGUGACUAAUAGUACCCCUUUUUUUUGGAGAGGAAAGCCAAACAUGCCCAAAGAGAAUCAUUUACUUUCCUCUAAUGUAUUUUCUAAUUCGUUUUGAGCCUUGAAUGUCUGUUUUGGUGCGUAUUCUCAUUCCAUGUUGAAUCUUAUCCAUAUGGACAACCCCACUUACAAAAAAGUCUAAUGAAUCUAUUGAAGUUCAUAUGAGGUUUGUGCUUUAGAUUUAGACCUCUCUCUCUCUCUCUCUCUCUCCACUUACAUGUCUUUCACUUACCUGUCUUUCACUUACCUGUUUGCAUGCAUGCCCAUGCACACACUUUCACGAUAAUACUGUAGGGGAAAAAUCAUGUUUUUAAAUUUUAUAAAACCUUUUGAAGAUCGCUCUCAUAUAAUAUAUAAGAAUUCGUAUUCUAGAAAUCGUACCUUGAAAAUCCGAGUUGGCUUUUCCACUGAAGUGAUUUAGGCUCCUAGAUCACGAUCUGCCACCACCACUCCUGUUAGAUCACGAUCCGUCAUCACCACGCUUGUUAGAUCACGAACUGUCGCCAAUGAUCUUCCAGGUUAUGACUCAGGUUCGAUCUGCACUUGACGUGUGGGCGCCUUUAUCACUGCCAAAGCAACUAGCACGAGAAAAUUUUUCUCUCAAUCAUGGAGAGAAAAAUCUUAUUCUCUGAUUUGUAUAAAGUGGCUUCUUCCUUUUUCUUUUGAGAAAAUAAGCCUUAUAUAUCUCCCUUUAGUGAAAACCCUAGGCUCCAAAUAAUGCCCUAAAUAAAACUCACGUUAUUUUCUUUUUCAAUAGGGAACCCACCUUGUAAAAUAACAUAAGGCCCCUUAUACAAAAGCUAAUUAAAUGGAGCCUCCCACUAAAUGAUAUAUUUAGGCUUUUGACCCAAAUAGCUAGUUAUCUUACUUAUUAGUCCAGUGGUGGUGCAGUCAAUUAAAUGAGCUAACCCGGGGAUCAUUUGGGAACAUACAAUAGUGGCUACAAUAAUUAGGCCUGUAAUUAAACUAGCCUAAUUAUUUAAUUCCAAAUCUACUCCACUAAAAGAUUGGAACUGACUUCCAUAAUUGUAUGCUCGAAUAAUAAUUCGUCCCAAGCCACAUUGAUUUCUUUAGUGCACAAUCCUUUGUACCACAUCGUUAAUUAAAUUGAUAUCUCAACUGUCCAAUCAAUUUAAUAACAUCUUAUUCCUUGAUCCUUACUGGUUUUCUCUAAUGAUCAUUUUCAACAUACUAAAUAUGUUGACACACUCUGGCCAGAGAAUUCUAUGAUCAAGUGCCGAAAACCCAUCAAGAGAUGUGUUGUACAAAUUCUAUAUUGUUAAUCCAUAACUCCAAUACUCAUAAUUGCUCCCACCAAGAUACCGGGUAAUCUUGACCACAAGUAUGUGUUGUGUCCAUUGGUAACUCAAAUGGAAUAACAAUUACAAUCAUGAAAUCAUAAUUAACUCAAGAUUAAGAUUACAGUAAAAUCAACGCCUAUGAGAUUUAAUAAGUCUGACAGUUAUUACAAAGUUAAUUAAAUCUCACAUGUGAUCCUGUUCAAUGUAGUCGUACUACAUCAAUAAAUUCAUACAUGAUUAAGACAAAUCAUUCAAUGAAUUUAUUACAGUCUAUACCUAAAUAAAGUGCCCAACUUUAUUUAUCAACUGCGAACUAAAUUUAUUUAAUCAUAAGAUAACUUGUAUUUAUGUCUUCUGUGAAUCCACAUGGUGAUCACAUAAAUACAUAUAAUAUGAUUAAAUGGACUUUAAUACAAAUAUUAAUGCAAUUAAGAUAUUUGAAUAAAAUACCUCAUUUAUUUUAUUAAUCAGAAAAACUGUUUAUUACAAUUAAAUAAACACAUAUGCUUUUAAAGAGCAUAUUUUCCCAACAAAUACACGGUCACUCGUACUUGUGUUUUGGUUGAAUUACUGGCUGCUAACCUCUGUAAUUCAGUUUGAAACUUGCCACCCUUAGUGCUUCACUCAAAUGGUUGGUUAGGGUGAGAUCUGUAUCGUUUUCUUGGUCUCUUUCCAAGGUUAUCUAAAGGGAUUUGGCAGUCUGAUUCUUUAGGGAAUAUCAUUGCAUAAGAUAUCUAUUGUUUGUUAAUGAAUAAUUUCUAUUUAACUAGUUAUCUAUAUAAAUUGGUAAAUUUUAACUGCAUAAUUUGCAUGCAAUAAGAUUUUAUAAGAAUCUUGUUUUCAACUCAUGACUUAGACUAAUGUGAUAUGUUGAGCAUUAAGCUACAAGAUCUGCACAUCAAAGUGCUUCACAAUGUUAAGGAGAAAGCAUCUUUUUCUGCUUCUUCAUGUGAUUUAAAGUUUCCAAGGUACUUAUCCAAUAAAAUAUCUUUCAAGACUUUGGAAAUGCUUUUAUAUAUGACUGAGAGAAACUUGUUGGGUUGGUUUUUAGCAACAGACGGAGUUAUGGACUUUGUGUUGACUUGUUAUUGAUUAAGACAGUACAUCGGCUGAUCUAUUGGCAUCAAGCAGCAGAUGCAGAAAUUAUGGGUGGCAUACCAUUGUAUCCAAAUAACAUACUACAUUGAUUUUUCUGACUUUCUGUUGGUCUCCGAGUGAAAUGCAGGCAUUUGCAGAUGAACUGGGGAUUCCUUUCCCGGAGACGAGUGCCAAAGAUGCAAUCAAUGUGGAGCAGGCUUUCUUGACCAUGGCUGGCGAGAUUAAGAAAAAGUAAAAUCACUUAACUCUUUCCUUCUUGCCGACUGUUCUUAUUUAACAAUCACUAUUAUUGCUGGUUAUAUGCAUUGUGAUGAAAAUUCUGCAAUGAGUAACUUUUUACCUAAUGUUUUCUGUUGGAACAAAUUACUCUGGUAGAAAAGCCCUACAGGGUUUGAGAAAUCCCAUGAUGUGAUGAUUGUGAGCAUUUUAGACACCGUCUAUGGGUUUAUUUUGUGACUAUAAAAUGUUAAGAUUGUUUCUAGUUUUGGUUUGUAGUGCAUAAAAGGAUUCAAAAUUUGACAUCUGUCUAAAUCAGAUUAAUAACAUGAUAAUGUACAUAUGCAAGAUGUGAGGAAUUGUUUUAUCUCACCCCUAAACUUUAAGAAAUUGAAACAGUAUUAUUCAAAAUAUUUAACAUUUCCAGAAUUGAUAGUUGUCUAUUUGAGCAGUGACUGGUGGUUAUCAUGAACUGAUGUGCGGUUGUGGUUUCAAAUCUUGGUGAAACCUGUUGUCCUAUGCUGAUUAACAUAGUUAGUCUCUGAAACAAUUUGUUGAUUCACUAAUUAUGAGUUAAAAUUUGAUGCAGAAUGGGCAACCAGCCUACUGCAAACAAAUCUUCUGGAACAGUUCAGAUGAAGCGAAUGCCAAUCCAGCAAAACAGCGACUGUUGUGGUUAGCCGAGCAUCUUAUUUUACUUCUACAUGUUAGCUGACUGAUUGUAGACAGUUUUAACUAUGUUGACUGCAUUAUCUUAUGAAUCUUUUAAUCUGUCAAAUAUUUAUUUCCUGCUUUAAGUUCUUUCCCGUUUAUAACAAAUUUAAUUUCUUGCUCCAUUGGAUUCCAAAUUCCUGUCAAUUUACGAGGGAAAAAGAAAAGAGAGACGAAAUGGGAGAAAAUGGUCAAAUUUGUUAGGCGGAGAGAGCUGUUUAAGUAGUUUUUGUUCUCGUUUAUUGUCGUGACCCUCAUGUCGCUUAUCGAUUACCUGGAAGUCCGGUCGUAUCGGAUGGGUAAAGUUACCGAAUCGGCAUCAUUUUGGGUGAAAUAUCAUAUUUAUGUGACACUUUUGAUAAUAUUUUUAUGUGUUACAGAGUAUGAUAAUAUGGUACAGCUGAGAGCAUCUGAUUAAAUGGAGCUGCUGAUGCUUACGUGUGUUGUUGAGUUAGUUAUCCAGCUCAGCAGUAAAGAUAACGAACUGGACUGCAUGCAUAUUAGAUUCAACAAACUGACAAGCUACGAGAUGCCUCUGAUCUUUUACUAUAAAUAACAAGUUGUAAUCAUCAGUCAAAUAAUAAGAAUAUGAUCAUUUUCAGAUCUGAUUCUUUAUGAUUUUCUUUCAUUUUCUUGUUAGUUUCUCUUAAACCAAACACUAUAUACAAACUCUUUCAUGGUAUCAGAGCAAACAAAUGGCAAAUUCGAAUCAAAAUUCUGGAUCCUAUAGUUUUAUUACUCCGAUAAAACUAGAUCAUAAUAACUUCAUUGUUUGGCGAACUCAGAUUCUCACAUCCAUUAAAGGAAAUGGUUUAGAAGAUUUCAUCAAUGGAAAUCAAGUCUGUCCGGAAAAAUUUUUCUCUGCUACAAGCUCUGCUGCUGGUUUCUCAUCUGGAACAGAUAAUCAAGAGAUCAAUCCAGCUUACACAAUGUGGAUAAAGACGGAUCAAUUGAUUCUGAGCUGGAUGCUCUCAUCUAUUCAACCGAAUUUGCUGACAACUGUGAUCCACUGCUCAACUGCAAAGGAACUGCUGGAUACACUUACAAGUAUGUUUGUUUCCCAGUCACAAGCUAGAAUAAUGCCUCUAAAAAUGCGAAUCCAAACUCUUAAAAAAGGCUCGAUGUCCAUAACUGAUUAUUUUGCAAAAAUGAAAAGGAUAUCUGAUAGCUUAGCUUUAGCUGGAAAACCUGUUGAAGUGAAUGAUUUCGUUCAACAUGUUUUGACUGGAUUGGAUUCUUCUGAUUAUGAGUCACUAGUUACUACUGUGUUAGCUAGAGGAGAUAAUAUCAGUCUUGAUGAGUUUUAUUCAUUGUUAUUGAGUCAUGAAAAUCGUGUGGAACAAAAGAGAGGAAAAAUUGCAAGUGAUGUUACACAUAACUUGUCAGCUAAUGUUGCUCAAAAGCAGUUCAAUCCUGGUAAAAACACUAGUGGUAAUCAGAAGUUUAACACUGGAUCGUAUGGAGGAGGUUAUAAUUCUGGAGCUGGAUCUAGUGAUGGUAACUUCUCACAAAUUGUAUGCCAGAUCUGCUUCAUUCCUGGUCAUGGUGCCAAUAAAUGCAGGAAUAUGUUUAACUCAGCUUUUGUUCCUUCAAGAAAUCAAGGAAGAGGUAGUUUUAAUGGAAAUUUUAGGCCUGGUCAGAGGCAGUAUGGUAGAGGUUUUGGCUAUGCUAAUGGAAAUAGGUCUUCUAUGGCUUAUGGAAAUUUUGGUAAUUUUGGUAGAAAUCUUAAUCCUCAAUAUGGUGCUGGAAUUGGUAACUCUCAGUUUGGUAAUUUCAACAUACCAAGAGCACCUGGUUAUCAAGGUCAUUUGAUGUAUUCAGAUCCAACUGCUUUCAAUGUUUAUCAACCAUCUAACUCUCAUGGUGGUUACUCUCCUGCUCAUGUUUUUGUUCCUACUGGAGAUUACUCUGGAUCUCCUUCAGUCCCUGUUCCAACUCAUGCACCUGAGAUGAUUGAAGAUCCAGCUUGGUACAUUGACAGUGGUGCUACUAACCACAUCACAAAUGACUCAGGUAAAUUACUGGAUCUCAAGCCAUAUGUUGGCACUGACAAAUUGCUUGUUGGGAAUGGUUCUGCAUUGCAUAUUAAACAUAUUGGAUCAGUAUUGCUAGCUACUACUGCAAAUAAACCCUUGUGUUUAAACCAUGUUCUUCAUGUUCCAAAUAUUAAGAAAAAUUUACUCAGUGUUUCAAAGCUCUUAGUAGAUAACAAUGUGACACUUGAGUUUUUUGCAAAUGUCUGUGUUGUCAAGGCCAGGAACUCAGGGAUCACUUUGCUUAGAGGAAUUGCAACAGGGGGAUUGUAUCAAGUCCAAUCUGCAACUCAAGUCUCUGAAACUAGCUCAGCCUUGUCAUGUCAACUUUCUUCCAAUAAACCUCAGUCUUUGUUUGCUUUUCAUUCUCCUUUGUCUAGUGAUAUUUCUCCUGAAAUAAGUAAGAGUACUUUGUCUCAUCAUUUGCUGUGUAAAUCAGCCUUGGCUGUCAAUACUAGCUCAGUCGAUGUCAAUGUUUUCCAUAAAAGGCUAGGACAUCCUGCCUUACACACACUCAAAUCUGUAUUGAAAGCUUGUAAUAGUUUCAAUGUACUCAAUAAAACUCCAAACUUUUGCAAUGCCUGUCAACAUGGUAAAAGUCAUCUUUUACAUUUUGGAUCUGUUCCAACAAAAACAACUGCACCAUUACAACUUAUAUAUGCUGAUUUGUGGGGACCAUCACAUGUUGCAUCCACUCAAGGCUAUAUAUACUAUCUGUCCAUUUUAGAUGAUUUUAGCAGAUUCACAUGGAUUUUUCCUUUGACUGCUAAAUCAGAUGCUCUCCAAGUCUUCACAGAAUUCAAAUCCUUUAUUGAAAAACACUUACAACAACUCAUCAAAAUAGUUCAAACAGAUUGGGGAGGGGAGUUUAGAACCUUUGCAUCAUAUCUCACUCAAUUUGGAAUUCAGUUCAGGCACCCUUGUCCACAUAUCCAUCAUCAAAAUGGAAGAAUUGAGAGAAAACAUAGACACAUAGUUGACAUUGGCCUCACUCUGUUAGCUCAAGCUAAUUUACCACUUAAGUUCUGGUGGAAUGCCUUUCAUACUGCUGUAUUCCUUAUCAACAGACUACCCACACCAACUUUGAAUAACAUUUCACCUUAUCAAAAACUUUUUCAGCAAGUACCAGAUUAUGCCUCUCUUAGGGUCUUUGGUUGUGCUUGCUUUCCUUAUCUCAGACCUUAUAACAGACACAAGCUCAGUUUUAGAUCAAACAGAUGUGUUUUCAUUGGGUAUAGCUCUUCUCAUAAAGGGUAUCAGUGUCUUCAUUCAUCUGGUCGUGUGUAUGUGUCCAAUCAUGUCAUCUUUGAUGAACAAUCCUUUCCAUAUGUAUCUGGAUCAGACUUCUCUUCCAUUGCUCAGUCUUGCAGUCCCUUAGAUAUUUCUUCAGAGUCCAAAGUUACUCUUGUUCCAAUCCCACAAGUACAAUCCCCCCUGCAAGAAUCUCCAGCAAGUGAUUACCUACCUGCUGACACUCCACAGGUAUUCUCUCCAUCUUCAACCUCCUCUUCAUCAUCUACUUCAACAUCACAUACACAUCCUAUACAUCAUACACAAUCUCCUCCUCAUAUAUUACCUGCUGCACCACCUAUAGGUCAUCCCAUGAUAACCAGAUCCAAGGCUGGUAUCUUUAAGCCUAAAUCUUUUUUAGCUGCUUUACUAGCCAUACCUUCAGAACCUACUUCUGUUUCAGCUGCUUUAUCUGAUCCAAAAUGGUUUAAGGCAAUGCAAGAAGAAUUUCAAGCACUUCAGAACAAUCAUACAUGGGAUCUGGUCUUGCCAAGUGAACCAGUUAAGGUAGUUGGAAACAAAUGGAUAUUCAAGAUAAAAUAUCAUGCUGAUGGAACCAUUUCUAGAUACAAAGCCAGGUUAGUGGCUAAGGGGUUUCAUCAGACACAAGGAGUUGAUUACACAGAAACAUUCAGUCCAGUUGUUAAAGCAUCCACAGUCAGAGUUAUUUUAAGUUUAGCAGUUCUGAAUAAAUGGGAGCUCAGACAAGUGGAUGUGAAUAAUGCUUUUUUGAAUGGCAUAUUAGUUGAAGAUGUGUACAUGGGGCAGCCAGAGGGCUUCAUUGAUCCAUCUCGACCUCUUCAUGUCUGUAAGUUGAAAAAGGCUCUCUAUGGUUUAAAACAAGCCCCCAGGGCAUGGUUUGAGAGACUGAAAGAUGCUAUGGUUGUGAAAUGGGGUUUCCAAAAUUCAAGGUCAGACAACUCCCUUUUCUACAAGUGGAUAGGUGAUCAAGUAAUUUUUGUUCUUGUCUAUGUGGAUGAUAUAAUCAUAACAGGCUCAAGUGAUAAAAUGGUGCAGCAAGUGAUCACAAAUAUGCAAAAUGCUUUUGCUUUGAAGGAUCUGGGAAAAUUGAGUUAUUUUCUUGGGAUAGAAGUUACCAAAACAGCAUCUGGAAUUUAUCUAUCUCAAUCUAAAUACAUAGCUGAUAUUCUAACCAAACACAAUAUGGCUGACUGCAGUCCAGUUCCUACUCCCAUGGCCACUGGUCAUUAUCUUACAAAGGGGUCAGGAAGUGUUAUUUCAAAUAGUUCUCAAUAUAGAAGUGCAGUUGGAGCCUUACAGUAUGUGACUCUCACUAGGCCAGAAAUAGCUUUCUCUGUAAACAAACUUAGUCAGUUUUUAGCUUCACCAACAGCAGAGCACUGGGAGGCUUGUAAGAGGCUUCUUAGAUAUUUGAAAGGAACAAUUCAUUUUGGAUUACAUUUUUAUCAUUACGGCACUAUGCAGAUAAAUUGUUUUAGUGACUCAGAUUGGGCAUGUGAUAAGGAUGAUCGCAAAUCAGUGGCUGGUCAUGCUGUUUAUCUUGGUUCAAAUUUGGUUUCUUGGUCGUCUAAGAAACAGGCAGUAGUUUCCAGAUCAAGCACUGAAGCUGAAUAUAGAGCUUUGGCUCAAGCUACAGCUGAGGUUACUUGGAUUCAGUCCUUACUGAAAGAGCUACAUAUUCAUCUUGUCACAGCCCCCAUAAUGUGGUGUGAUAAUCAAAGUGCCAUAGCUUUAGCUCACAAUCCUGUUUAUCAUGCUAAAACUAAGCAUGUUGAGCUUGAUAUUCACUUCAUCAGAGACAAAGUAACAGCUAAGCAAAUUACAUUUCAGUUCAUUCCCAGUGAAGACCAAAAUGCCGAUGUUCUUACCAAGGCAUUAACUUUUAAUCAGUUUCACUAUCUAAGAAGCAAGCUGAAUGUCCAUCCAGGUCAGUUCAGCUUGAGGGAGGAUGUUACAGAGUAUGAUAAUAUGGUACAGCUGAGAGCAUCUGAUUAAAUGGAGCUGCUGAUGCUUACGUGUGUUGUUGAGUUAGUUAUCCAGCUCAGCAGCAAAGAUAACGAACUGGACUGCAUGCAUAUUAGAUUCAACAAACUGACAAGCUACGAGAUGCCUCUGAUCUUUUACUAUAAAUAACAAGUUGUAAUCAUCAGUCAAAUAAUAAGAAUAUGAUCAUUUUCAGAUCUGAUUCUUUAUGAUUUUCUUUCAUUUUCUUGUUAGUUUCUCUUAAACCAAACACUAUAUACAAACUCUUUCAUUAUGCAAUAAAAAAAUGCUCAUGGUACCCGUUUCACAUUGUGAAGCGCAUGAUCAGAUCAGAGCAGUCUGGAUUCUGGCAUCACAAGCGGAUGCUUUGACUUGCUUAGUUUGUUUUUUGUUUCUGAUAAUUUCUCGACAUUGGGUGGGAUAUUGUUUCUCUUUUGAGUUUCUCUUUUUAUUUUUUAUCUUAUGGAAUUUGGAGAUAGUGUAAAUGUAUGAAGAUGACGUAAUCAAGUUGUUUUGAUAAAUUCCCCUGGUCGGUUUACUUCACUAACCAUUAAUGCGCAAAACCUCCUAAUGACCCUCAAAAAUCCCGUACAUAAUUAAAGAAUUUCAAUUUUAUAUGUACAAAAAUAAAUAACUCUCAAAUAUAUUAUUUGAUAAUUCUCAAAACAACAAUUCGCUCUAAUAAAUCUCGUAGGAAAUACAUAGUCUAUAUUGUAAGUCUUUUCGAGACUAAUUCAAAGAGAAAAUACGAAGGAUAUAUAAUUGACCUUUAUCUGUCAUAAAGAACUCUAAAUAAAUUCAUAUACGCAUCGCAACUAAUUACAGUUUUGAUACUUCAUUUGGUUUUUGUUAAUUUUCUAUACGGUUGUGCUGUGCAUAAAAGUUUUGUUAAAUGAAAUCGGUGAGGGUUAAUUAAUCAAUUAAUUAAGAUCCAGUUAAUGUAAUUAAUUUUAUUUGAUUUUUUUAAUUCGAGUUCUAAAUUAAUCAAUUAAUUUAGAUUCAUGUGAAAUUGAAGUGAAUUAGUUUUGAUCUGUUUUUCGUCCUAUGUUUGUCUGUGUUUACUCUUACUUUUUUUUUGUUUAAAUUUUUGUUUUCUUAUUGUUUACUGAAUAAAUUUAUGAGCUUUAUUUGAGUAUGAUGAUUGAUUUGUGAUUCUAAUCUAAAUGUGUUGGGCUGCGAUUUAAUUGAGUGAUGUGUGAGCGCCAAAUAUUCAAUAACUGAUAAAUUAUAUUUAUAAAUAUUAAUAGCGAUGGCACAUAAACAAUUAAUUCAAGAACUUGCCCAUAGUGAUUAAUUUAAAGAGUAUAAGUAACAUUGCAGUACAGUUAGCCCUUACGUGUUUAAUUAGCAAUUGAAAACUACUGUUGCUGAUGAGGUAGAACAUUAUAACACUGUUGCUGAUGAGGCAGCUGGUAAUUCUUUUGGUGAAGAUAUUAAGACUAUUAAAGCUGAAAUGUAAUUAGAGAAAUAUAAUGAUUAAAGAGGUGAGCUUUGAUAACCAUCUCUUUAACUAUAUCACUUAAAUAACUAACUUUUUAAUAUUAAAGCUGAAAUUUAAUUUCCACUAUUUUUGAUAUUUGUUUGGCUAAUGCUUUGCUUAGAUUACUUUUUGUUUUUGAGAUUUUAUUGGCUUAGUCAUGGGAUAUUGUUUUCUCUUCUAAUUUCUAUCUUUAUUGUUAUGGGAUUUGAUUGUAGUGUUCAUAUACGAAAAUUAUGUAAUCAAGUGCUUUCAAUAAAUCAUGAUCGAAUUACUAUUAAUUAAUUAAAUUAAAUUUACUCAAAUUACUCAUGUACACGAUCAAAAUAAUUUUAAUUCUAUGAUAUAUAUACACGCGCGCACACACAAACAAAAUGUAAUUAAUUUUGAAAUACAAAAUAUUUAAAAUAAUCACCGUACUAACAAUUCACAAGUUAGAUUUUAUAUGAAUAGACAGAAAUAAUGUUAAUCUAGCAAAUCCAAUCAUAAUAAAUUGAUUUUUAUUUAUAUUAAUUAUGUCGAACCAUGCUAUUUUAAUAAAGAACACUCCGGUGUUUAUAUAUCCAACAGGUAAAAUUUCAAAACAAUAUUUGCCAAAGUCCGAUGAAAAGAAUAUACACGCACACACAUAUAUAAUCAUACAACAGAAGGAUAAAUAAAAAAAAAAAUGAAGUUUCAACAACUGAAUAAUGCAAACUCAUUUUUUUUAAACAAGCAUUUUAUUGUUUAAUUAAAAAAUUCGAAAACCCAUUAGCCUUAUAUACAUGAUAAAGACUCACCGACGCCGAACCAUAUUAAUUUAACUUAGUUUUCAACUGAAAUUUAAAUUUUGAAAUCACAUACACAAACACGCCCAAUUUGAAAAAAAAAAGUAGUAAUCAUAAAAUAUUUCAAUCGUCCAUUGUUCAGUCACCAAAAACCAAUUUACGAUCUAUUUCAACGCCUAAUUUGAAAAAAGAAAAUACUAAUAAUAAAAUAUUACAGUCGUCCAUCCUUUCACAAAUAAAAAAUAUCACCAUAAACAUCGGGUAUAUGGGCUAACAAGUCCCAAUAUUGUCCUCCAUCCUUUCUGCACUUCUCUUCUAUCAACGGACACUGAUUGAUACUUAAUUGCAAAAGUGAGGAAGGCAGGCCCUUCUCCGGAAAGUAUUUGAGCUUGGGACAAUUCUGGAGUCGCAAUGAAGUGAGGUUUUGAAGAUCAACAAUUGAAGAAGAUAGGCGUUCCAGAUUUGGAAAAUUGAAAAUCUCCAGAGAUGUUAGAGAGGGAGGAAGAGGAAGCGCGGUCCCUAAUCUUUUGUCCUCUAGUGGAAAUGACACCAUGUCGUCAUCGCAUCCUUCGAUACGUAGACGUCGCAGAGAGGAGAAUCUGUGAAAUCCCCGGCCCCGCUCAAUCAUUGACUUCCAAAUCUCCAUAUUACCCCGAAUAUCAAGUGAAUGAAGGUUGGUGGGAAGGCCAUCAUCUUCUUCAAGGCUUGGAAGCGCACCUCCUAUUCUUAAUUCUUGAAGAGAGGUCAGAUUGUGCAAUCCCUUGGGUAAGGCCUCUAGUCUCUUACAAUCAGUUAUCUCCAGCCUCGUGAGUUUCGCACAAGGCAAUCCCCCUUCGGGAAAGGACACCAGAUUUCCACACCUCAUUAUCCGUAUGUCUCGAAGCUGGCGGAGAUUAUGUAAACCACUCGGUAAACUUUUCAGAUUUUCACAAUCAGGAAUGUAGAUUGUUUCAAGAGAUGAGUUGUUGUCCAACAUUUCUGCUAUUGACUCCAGCUUUGAACAUCCCCGAACUAAAAGGGACUUAAGAGACGGAGGUAGAUUGCCAACUUCAAGGGACUCAAGCGUGGCAGGUAACUCGUUUUUUGAAAAUAUACAUGUCAGAGACGAACAACUCUCAAUGUGUAAGUGCUCAAGAAGAGAUGACGUGUACCUUCUGCUGCUUCUGCUGCUGCUACACUGGAUGCCCUCUUCCACUGUCAAAGUCCUUAUAUUAUGGCAACCGCAGAUCUUCAAAUUCUUAAGGCUCGAUGGUAGCCUGACAGCAGCAAUAUAUGUCAACGAACAACAAUAGUGAAUAUUCAAGAUCUCGAGAGACGAAUUGGUGUCGCACAUCCAUGCCUCUGGUAACGAUUUCAGUGCAUCACAUGCUCCAAUAUGAAUUUUCUUCAACUUGGAAGGCAGAGCAACCUCAGGAAAGGAAACAAGGGAACUGCACUUGUAGAUUGCUAUCUCUCUCAAGGAACUGAGGCUGAACGAUGAUUGUGGCAGCUUCACAAGGCUUUCGCAAUCACUCAAUUCUAGAUAUUCAAGUCUGCAUGACAAUUCGCAGAGCUGCUGUUGUUGGUCUUUCUUUUCCUCCGCCACCAAGGAUUGAAGUUUGGGACAGCUGUCAAUCGUCAGUCUUUUGAGAGAGCAAAUGUCUUGCAGUAAUUCGUUAUGACUCUUCCAUAUAUGUGUUUCAUUUUUAAUAUUUUUUAUCUCCAAUUCUUCCAGUUUUGGUAUUCGCAGCUUCAAUGGCCCUGCGAGAAACACUUGAUUUGAUGUAUCUCUACAAACCACUGAAUUCUGUGAGCCGAGAUGAUCAAUUGCACUUCUCCACACAACCUUUUUACAUCCAUCAAUCUCUAAUUUGCAAAGAGCUGGAAGACUCGUAACUGAAACUGACAAUUCUUCACAUCCUCGAAUAACAAGCAUCUCCAAUGCAGGAAGGCAUUCUGGCAAUGUUCCUUGCAGUUUAGAACAUCUUAAAAUGCUAAGCUCUCUCAAUUUAGGAAACCCUUCAACUCCCUGACCAGAUCUAAGAGGAAUCCAGUCUUCCCAUUCUCGCAGGUCUUCAAAAUGAAGAGUCUCCAAGCAUGGAAAAGGAAUCCGAGAAUCAUUCCCAUAGAACUCUGAACCCAAACUCUUUACUCUACUCAUUCCACCCACUUCAAGAUGCUUUAGAGAGGGUAGUUGCCCGACUGACGGCAGGGUAGUACACACGCCACAAUCUUCAAAUUUAAGUGUUACUAAAUUUGACAAUGAGGAAUCUCCUAACCAUGUUGGAAAUUUUGUACCUCCAUAGCCACAGACACAAAAUUGUUCCAGAUUUUCAUGGGGUUUGAGCAUGUCAAGCACGCCCAUUUCAGUUUCUGCCUCCCUUGAAGAUGAACCAUCGGUGCUGCAAGUCCAAUUAAGCGAUAAUUCUCUAAGAUUCUCCUUUACAUCCAACCGAGCCUCCUUUGCAUCACCAAUGUCUUUUACAUUCCCUAAAUUUGAAAUUUUAAGUGUCCCCUGAAGAUGUAUCAAUGACUUUAGCUCUCGUAACCCAGAACCAUUGUCUUUUCCCACAGCAAAAUUACUCAAAGUCUGAAGACAAGUCAGCUUACCAAUUCCUACUGGCAUUUCCUCCAACGAAUCUGUAUUUGAAUUAUUGAGAUGAUGCAAUUUGAUGAGGUUUCCCAUGGCUGCACACAACUUCUUCAGUCGCCGACAGUCUUCCAACAGAAGGGUGUGCAAAUUGUAAAGCUUGCUGACUGAUUCAGGCAGAGUUUUAAUCUCAGUUCCAGACAGGUUAAGGUGCCUUAAAUACCUCAAAUCACCAACUGAAUCCGGCAGCUCGGAGAUGUGAUAUCCACGCAAAGAGAAGACCCUCAACCGUUGGAGUUUGAACAACUUAGGAAGAAUGCUACGAGCCAAGUAUCCACGCGAACUCUUUGUCAACAUUACUGGUAAAAAAGUUCGCAAAUGUUGGAUAUCGUACAAGCCCUCAAACCUUUGAACGCCAUCACAAAAUCCGCGAAUGUAUGACAGGUGACGAAUAUUUUUGGAAAAACUUUGUUGCUUGUUAACCUCUGAGGUAUACUCCAUUGUGAAGUAUAUCUCCCCCGCAGCCCAUUGAGCAAGGUCGUUGACAAGGUCGUGCAUCACAAAUCGUGAUUUAUUGUUGCUUGAUUGCUGGAAAAAAGAUCUUGAACGUAGCUCUUGAAAGAACUUUCGACCUAGAUCUUCAAUAGGAUUCCCACUCUCUUUGUGAUCCAAGAAACCCGAAGCACACCAUAAUAAAAUUAUCUCCUCCUCUUCAAAUUCAUAAUCCUUUGGAAACAAUGAGCAGUAUUCAAAGCAUUGUUUCAAAGGUGCCGCAAGAUAAUAGUAGCUCACUCUAAGCGCCGGUAUAAUGUCACAUCUCUCUUCGGGUAAAUCCCAUAUCUUGCAACUGAGCACACCUUCCCAAUCACUCCGGUCAAGUUUACCACGUAAGAGACCACCAAGAGUUUUCGCAGCUAAGGGCAAGCCGUUGCAUUUGAUCACUAUCUUCUUGCCAAUUUCCUCCAAUGACUUGUUUGAACUGAAAUCUCUUGUCCCCAAAGAGUGUUGAGCGAACACAGACAGACAAUCAUCAUUUGACAGCUUUUUCAAUUGAUAAGCCGGAGCAGUCCCCAUGAUGGCUGCAACCCCUUGAUUACGAGCUGUGACAAUAAUCUUACUUCCCGGUGCGCCAGCUUCAAAUGGAGGUCUGAGUCGAUCCCAAUCAUUGUAAUUCUCAUUCCAAACGUCAUCUAAAACAAGCAAAAAUUUCUUUUGAGAUAACUUCUUCUUCAGCUCCUCUUGAAGCUUAUUCAAGUCGUGAUUAUCCACAUUCUGGUCACUAGCAAUUGAAAGUAGGAUUGAUUUUGUAAGCCUGAUAACAUCAAAAUCAUCAGAGACGCAAGUCCAUGCCUUGAGAUCAAAAUGAUCCUGCACUUGCUUAUCAUUGUAGACAAGCUGAGCGAGAGUGGUUUUGCCCAGCCCGCCCAUACCAAUGAUAGGAAUAACAGAGAAUUCACCAUCAUUUCUCAAAUCAUCCCUCAACAACAAUUCAACAAUUUCCUUCUUUUCUGUUUCCCUCCCAUAUACCUUGGCUUCAUUCACCAAAGAGGUUGUGGGUAGUCUUUGCCUAUCUUUUUUGGACCUCCCAACUGAACUUACGUUCAAACCCAGCGAGUCUUUCUGUGUUACAAUAUCUUGAAAUCUGUCGUUGAUCUCUUUGAUUUUGGACAUUAUGGCGUAAUCGAACUGAAUCGAUUGUGGAGUAAAAGUGGUGCAGCAGGUAGGAAUGAGCUUCCGAAACUUACUUGUUCUUGUACGACUGCUACUGGGUUGAUCAAGAGCAGCAGCUGGAUCUCGAUUUCCAAGCAGCAACUUCCUCCGGAAAGCCUCAGUUUGAAACUCAUCCAGCAAGUCUUCAACAUCAAAAGCCAAGUUCUGAAGCUCGCCAAGCCACAACUUCACAGACUGAUCAGUCUUCUUCUCCUCAGCAUCAGCAAGCACCGCCUUGAUCAUCACCAACAUAUUCUUCCACUUCUUUAGGUCGGCUUGGAUUUGCUCUUGGCGUGCAAACAGCCGAAUACCCUCUGAAGCUAACUUAUUGACCAGCAAAUCAACGGACGCCGUAAGGAUUGCCUCUCCGAUGAAUGACAUUUUUUUUCUUUUUCUUUUUUUUUUUGGUUUUGCAAAGAAAGAAAGGAGCAGAAUUAUGGGUUAUGGAAAGCAGAAUGAGAAAAUGGAACAGGUGAGAAAAUGGAUAAUUAAUCAGAACGAGUUUGUGAUUGUGAAGGGUCUGGCCCAGCAAGCUUAGUAGAAAUCACGCGUUUAUACUUUAUUGACCAAUGACUAAUAAUUUGGCAAUUCACUCAUCACCAUUCACCGCCACUUGGUAAGCAAAAUGAAAAUGCUUGGUAAUUAAGUGUGGUCAAGCAAAAUACGACGUAAAAUGUGUCAAGGGUCUCCCCACUUGUUGUUCCUUGCAGCUUAGAAAAGAAAAACAGAGCCCACCACCCAUUAAUAAUUUAGCAAUUCACCAAUCAUCACCACUUGUUACGAAACCAUCUCAUAAACCAAGUUCGUAGGUCGAGCGGUUAAUCCAGUGUCUAUUUCCUAGAACCUUCAUCUCAUAAACCAAGUUCAAUCAAAACGUUCCUCUCUCUAUUUUUUUUUUUUUAAAAAACUCCUAAAACGUUUCUUUUUAGAAAUAUUUUACUUUAUUCAACUAAUAUGAUAUCUAACAAAUAGACACAAUUGAAUCACUCUAAAGUGAAGAUGAAAGGGGAAAAAAAUAACCUUCCAACUACCAGUAAUUUAGCAAGCUUCACUUUAUUCCACCAAAGUGUAAAUAAAGCCAGCCCCCACCACCAUCAAUAAUUUUGCAAGCUUCACACGCUUGUUGUCUUCUCCUUGACGAACUGGACAUGAGUGGACCAAGAACCAAUGACAGAAUUUUAAAAAUAAUAAUAAGAGAAAAACCUACACAUUUUCGACUUAGAGUAGAACCAUAAUUAAUGCUAAAAUCUACUCAGCUAACAUUUUCAAAAUAUUGUUCUUUAUGAUUUUCAAAACCUUGAUUAAGGUUCAUCUCAAAUGUUUGAAGAGAGUCUAUCAAUUCUUCUAUGCUAAAAAUAUCAAAAUUCUUACUUUUUCUUCAAACAUUGAAUAAUAAAAAAAAAAGUUGAAUAUGGAGGAAAGUAGAAUGCAUCCAUCUUCGCUGUAGAAGUCUUCUACUUAUUAAAGCAAGUUAGAAUAAAAGAUUUUAAUCUCUCUUUUUAUUCCUGUAAGUGCACUACAUUUUUUUUUAAUCUCAAUGCGAAGUCGUAUCAUAAUGUUAUAUUCCUAUUGUAAAACAAAAUUUUAGAUAAAACAAAUUCGACUCAUUUUUUAAAGGUAUAUAUUUAGUAGGUUACUAACAAAACUAACAAAACGUGAUUAUUACACUAAAUGAAAUAAAAGACAGUACUAUCACCAAUAAUUUAGCAAGUUUCGCAUGCAUGUGUUUCUAAAAACAUUAUAUGGAAUCAAACAACAGUGAUACAAAGAGAAAAGUGGAAAUCCUCUGAUUGUAUUUUUCUUUUUCUUUUUCAAAAGAAAUGGUGGGGUUGGUUUGUUUGCAAAGUUAUUAGCGUGGGUCUAUUUGUUUUUGUUUUAACUUUAUUAAUCAAUAAGCAAACGUGUAAUGAUUUGUAUAUAUCACUAGCAUCACAUUAUUGGGAGGUAUUGCGCUUAGUAUUCACAAUUUUUAUAAGAUGAAUUUGUAAGACUAAUUAAUUUUGAUGAAAAUGUAUUGUUACUAAGAUAUUAUUUAAUUCAUUAAGUUAACUUGAGGUAUUAAUAUUCACUAAUUGUGGUGCUGAUUAAUUUACUUAACUUGUCACCAUUUGCAAUUAAGAAUGAAGUUCAAUCAAUUUAUUGAGAAAAAAAAAUAAAGAUACCUUUUUUUCUUUAGAUUUUAAUUCUUAGGAUUUGAUUUCACGCUCUUUUAUUUUUUUACGUUGCUAAAGAGGCAGUAAAAAACUUGCUGAAUGUCAUCAAAUACUUUUAUCUCAUCUCACAAAUUGGUAAUAUUUGUUUGGUAUUUCAUCUCAACAGACGCAGUAAGGAUUACCUCUCCAAUGACUGACAUUUUUUUUUUUUUUUGGGGCAAAGAAAGAAACAGAAUUUUGAGUUUCGAAAAGCAAACUAAGAAAAUUGAGCAGCAAGUGUGAAGGGCAAGCAAAAUGCAUGUAGCAAGUCUUCCACUUGUUGUUUAUUCCAGUAAAGUGAAAAUAAAAACAGAGCCCACCACCCAUUAAUAAUUGAGCAAUUCACCAAUCACCAGUCACCACCACCCGUUACCGUAGGAUAAAAUUUUAUUUAAUUUAUUUUUUCACUGUAUUUUAUCUUAAAAAAUUAUUUACAGUAUGAUAAAAUUUUAUUUAAUUUAUUUUUUCAUUGUAUUGUAUCUUAAUUAAUUAAGUUGUUAUAUUUAUUGCAAAAAAUUUAUUUUGGCUUAGAGGAUUACUUCUUAAAUUCAGAUUAUUUUAAUGAUAAUAAAAGAUAUUUAUUUUGUGGAAGCAAAAUAAAUUGAAGAGAGAAAGAAAAUAUAAAUGACUUAACUCUAUUUAUAUUUGUCCUUAAAUAUAAUUGUAGUAUAAUAGGGGUUUUAUAAGAUUAAUGAAGGGGUGCCAAUAGUCCUACUCUUAUAGAAAAUGGCAAUAAAAAUAGUGGAAAUUUAGUGUAAUAAAAAGGAUAAACCAUAAGAAAUUAAUGUUUACAUCAAGAUACGUUAUAAAUAUUGUUUUUCUUAAGAUGUUAUUUGCCUCCACCAAUCGAAUAAUACACAUGAAUUAAACAAAUAUGACUCCAUGAUACAAUAAAGCGCUUAUUUAUUUGUUUAAGUUAUAUGUCGACGAAGCAAAUUUGAAUACUUUUGAAUGUUGUAAGCAUGUCAAGAAUCAAUAUAUUAUUUCUACAAAAAGAAACAAUAUAUUAGAUAUUUAAAGCAUAAAAAAUAGAUGUUAAUUGAUUAAAUUUGAUUUAGGAAAGAAGGCUACGAAAAGAGUGGUGUAAGGUCAUUUUAUUCAUGUCUACAUAGCCCUAUUAUUUGGGUUGUCAUUUUUUUAUAAUACUCCUUCAUGGCCAUUAGAUCAAACACUCAAAUCCCUACUAUAGCUAAUUAGCUUAUUGACCAGUAACUUACAGGAUGCCAUAAGGAUUACAUCUAUGAUGAUUGACCUUUUUUUUUUUUGGGUGGGGGUAGGGGGGAAGAAACCGAAUUAUGAGUUUAUGGAAAUUAGAGCAAAUAAGAAAGUGAAUUACAACAGAAUGAGUUUGUGAUUGUGAUAGGUCGAACAAGUCUAGAAAUCAAUUAGGCAAAAACCACCACGAAAGUUAAAAAGGAAAAAUAGCGCCCACCACAAAUAUAAAAUUGGAGGAGCUUAGGAUCAUGCCUUUGCUUUACAAAUUAAAUUAAAUAAAAGCCAAACCAAGAACCUUGCUUUUGCUUAACAUGAUUAAUUAGGCACUAUUUCAGAAAGAACACAAAAAUAAUAAACCCUUUUAUUGAUCUUAAAUGUCAAGAAUAAAGUAACAUUUUCUCCUCUUACCGUUUCUUCAGGUUCAUUUCAAAAGUUUGAAGAGAGUUUAUCCAUUCUUCUAAACUAAGAAAAAGAAAAUCAACAUUAUUGCUUUCUUCUAUUCUUGCUUUCUUCAGAUGUUGAAUAAAAAAAAAUAUAUUGUUAAAUAUGUAGGAAAAAAACAAACAAAGUGAGUUAAACAAAUAAAACCUAGGUAAAUUAACUGACGCAACACUGGAAAUCACAACUGAAAAUAUAGGAGGGAAAAGAAAAAUCGAAACAGAAAAUGAAACCCGAGGCCUGCACAGGACAAUUUCCUUAAAACAAAUUUACCACCUACUGAAGUGCUUUAGGUCUGCUGGUAACUGUUUCUCAGGAUACAACGAGCACGAAUUUUCGGUCAAUCACAUACAGGUAAUGUCGGCGAACUACAACAGUGGCAAACUCAAUAAGAAAAAACAAAUGAAAGAAGGAGGAAAGGAAAAUUUUCAAGUGCUCUGUGUGCUGGUUUCAGUGUGUAUAAAAAACAGAAGAGGAUGUGCUUUUUUAUACUCAUGUGAGGAUAUAACAGCAGCAUUGUAUUGAAUUUCGGAAUUCAAUAUAUGCCAUUAAAUAGUUAUAACAGCCAAUUCAAUUCCAUCAACUGAUUUCAAAAUUGAAUUCAAAACCAGUUAAAAAAUAAUUGUUGUGAAGUUGUUACAACAAAAAAUUCAAAGGAAAUUAAAAAUGUGCUAUGCAAGCUUGGAUGAUUUUGGACUGACAUUCGCGUACGCAGGACGCACACGAGUUUAACCAAAUCGGUCUUGGAUUUGCACCCCCUACGCACGCGCGUGUAGAGAGAGUCUCUAUCCUUAUAAUUAUUACUCAUGCAUGGUUAAAUGUUUAUAUAUAAACACUAAUCCUUGGGCUUCUUUUUCUCAUGUGGGAAAAGUUUCAUUUGCUUUCAAAUUUCCAACUUCAAUAGUGAACUUUGAGAGACAAUUUCUCAUUCACCCAAGCACUAUUUUGAGAAAAUAAAAUUAUAUUUUUGAAGUAUUAACAUAAUAGAAUCCAAACCUCACAAGAUUUCUCACUUUCGCUAAGUGAGACCCACUCAAAAUGUGCCCUCAAAAUAUCAUAUAGACAUGCUAUUUUUUCAACAAAAUAAGGAGGAAAUUAGAAUGUAUCUACCUUUGCUAACCUAAAAUAAAAGAAAUUAAUCUCUCUUUUAUUACUAAAGUACACUAUUUUUUUAAUAAUUGUAUUGACAAUGACAACAUGUAUCAUCGAUUAUAUUCUUGUUGUGUUGAAAUAAGAUAUAAAAAAUCUUGGAUCAAGAGGAAUUCGACUCAUUUGUUAAAGGUACAUAUUUUAUAUACUAAAAACAAAAAUUAACAUAACACGAUUAUUACACUAAAGUGAAAUGAAAGCCAGUACCCACCAGUUCACCAACAGUAAUUUAGCAAACUUUGCAUUCUCGUGUUUGAGGAAAUGGACAUUGGUGAAUUAACCAAAGGACCAAUGAAAGAAUUGUAAAUAACAAAAUGGAGAUUACACUUUUUUUCCAUAUAAUUGUUCAGGCAAUGAAACUAAUUUUGAGACAUUUUCAAAUAAACUUAUUUUCAAAAGCAAUACAAAAUGAUUUCGUUUUAUUUUGAAACAUUUCAUGGAAUCAAGUAGUAGUAAAAUAAAUAGAAAAGUGGUAAUUCCCUCAUUUUAUUAUUUUCUUUUUUAAAAGGAGAUGAUGGGGUUGGGUUGUUCACAAAAUUAUUGGUGCGGGGUCUGUUUGUUUUUGUUUUAACUUUAUUAAUUAAUUAGCGAAGCAAACAUGUAAUGAUUUGUAAAAGGAUUACUAGCAUCAGAUUAUUGGGAGGCAUUAUGGAGAAGUCACGCUUAGUAUUUACAAUUCAUGUAAGAUAAAUUUGUAGAUUUAUUAAGUUACUUGAGAUAUAUUUAUUAAUUGUGGAGAUUAAUUUAUUUAACUUGUCAUGAUUUUCAAUUAAGAAUGAAGUUCAGUCAAUUUAUGGAAAGAAGGAUAAUUUUGUUUUCAGAUUUUUAAUUCUUAGGAUUUGAUUUCACUUUGUUUCGAUUGUCGAUGUUGCUGAAGAGGCAGUGAAAGUUUGCUGAAUGCCAUCAAAUGCUUGCAUCUUAUCUCACAAAAUGUCAAUAUCAGUCUGUUUCCCUAUAGGCGCAACCAUCACGAAUUUAAAGUAACAACAUGAUGAGCAUAUAACAUAUACAUAUUUUACCAUUAAUUAUAUAAUUGUUAGUUAUUUUUAUUUAUUAUUUUUAAUUAAUUAAAUUAUUUUAUUAAAUAAGAAAUUAAUUGGAGAUUAUGGAUAAAAAGGACAUGAAAAAGUUUAAUUUGGGAAGCAAUAAAAAUUAAAUUGAAAGACAAAAAUACAGACAAGGAUUAAUAGAAUCCGUGCCGAAAAAAUCAAAGCACAAUGUUUUUCUUAAUGUCAUUAUUUAGGCAAGUGUUUUGAUGCACUGGAAGUUUAAGAGAAUAAAAUCUGAAGAAUUUAUUAAGAGAAUCAAAUAGAAAGUUUUGAUGCAGCGAAAAAAAUCUGAAGUUUGAAUUUUGCUCAUAUAGAUAGUAAGAGAAUCAAAUUAUUGUUAAAUUAAAUUAAUGAAAAAAAUUAUCUGAUAUCUAAAACAGCAUAUCAACAAAAUUGAAUUAAAAGAAAAUUGAAGAGAAAAACCAUUGAGAAAUUUCGAUAACUUCACUUAUUAAAACUUGGUUAUUUCAUUUUCAUUGAUAAUCAUUUUGACACCGGUCAAAUUUAAAAGUUUAAAUAAUGGGGGCGAUAUUUCUUUCCAGCUAUGCCCAUCGACUAAUUAAAAUACUGCCGAAACAAUUCAGGGAUAGUAUAGUAAUUUCAUUUAACAGUUUUCGUGCUUCAAAUCAUCAAAUCAAACUCACGGUUUCCGACUUGUAAUGGGUGCAACUCAUGUUUUUCAAACAUUAAUGUGUUUCAAACAUUAAGAUCUUUAGCCAUUCUGUUACUAUCCCGUGGUUAUUUAAGUUACAAGAGACAGUAAAAAAUAUCAUCAUAUUUUAACGUCCCUCGAAUAUUUGAAGAAGUUAAAAUUUAGGCGGUUUUAUAUAAGAUGUAAUAUAAAUUGAUAUCAGUAAUUAUAUGAUUGUAAAUAUCAUGAUCAAUAGUCUCUUAUAAAAAAAAAAAAAGAACAAGUGUCAUGAGCCCAUUUAGAUUAACUUAUAUUUGAGGGGGAAAUCUUUGUACACCAUGGUAUAUAUUAUAUAUAUAGACAUUGAUGAAUUCGCACAGUACAACUAAGUAUUUUUUUUUUUUGAAUACUGGUUACACACCAGAUUACUGGCAAUUGCUAUUAUAGCAGACAUUACACUGAUAUUUACAAUCAAAUAUACAUAAUUGAGACUUAUAUUAUUACAUUAAAUUCUAUGAAGUACAUUUCCAAACAAAUAACCCUUAUAGAGCAGAGAUGUCCUUGCUCCACUCGCAUUUCGCAGGGAGAAGAACUUAUAAAAAUUUAGCCCCCACAAUACUUUUGUGGAGGGUUGAACCGCUGCUCUCACGCUUGUGAGGGCAGCAGUCCAACCCGCAGACCAAGGGCCCAAUGGCGUACAACUAAGUAAUUGCAUGCGCCAUUUGUGCCAAUGUGUAUAUAAAUAUAUAUAUAUAUAUAUACACCCUGCUUGCAUUGCAUUAACUACGUCCCUAGUCACCCACGUCCGCUACUUGUAUGAAUGUGCAUAUAAAUAUACAUAUCCGCAGUGUUAGGAAUUUAGAUCUAUUAGAAAUAGAUAUAGGUAAUUAAAAAACCAAAAAUUAAGAACUUCAUUUUUUUUGGAAGUACUAUUCACGGUUACUGUUCACGACUACUGUUCAUCAUCAUAAAAAAUAUUAAUUUUCAAAAACAUAAUAAAAUGCAGAAAAUAAAUGACACAGAGAUUUUUACGUGGUUCGAAUUAACCAAUCAUACAUCCAUGAGGCCACGCCCAGAUGAAAAGCAAUUCAUUAAGUUGAGAUGUUACAACCUAUGGAUUUACCAAACUUAAGACUCUCAUUUACAGUUUAUCACCAUACAGUUUACUCAACCUUAGAAUGAAUCUGCUUCUCUUGAAUAAUCACUACCCCUCUUGAUCCGCGAUCUUCAAGGCACUUCGCAAAGUGAUCAAUAGCAAUUCUUCAAUUCUUCAAUGUCUAGUGAUACAAGAUACACAUAGACUCUCCAUAGAGAUUAACAGAAGAUGAGAAAAAAAAUCAACACAACAUGAUGCGCCAGAUCCGGAUUCUUUGGGGAGGAGGCCGAAUCUUACUUCUCUGCUUUAUGCUCUGCGUUAUAUGAUCUUCAAUUGUGAAAUACCUCUCUUUAUAUAGGCACUAGAGUUUUACCAAAAUAGCAAGUCUUAAAAGACUUGGAUUCUUUCCAAAUAAGAGUUGCAUUCCUCUUAUAAUUCCCAUGAAUCUGAAUAGGAAUAAAUCUAACCUUCUUACCUUGCUUGUCUCCUAAGAAAUAUUUAGAGCAUUUAAUGAACUCUCUGUUUGAACCAACUUCUUGCUCUAAAUAGAUCUCAUGCGCUAAAUAUAAAAUCUCACCAUUAAUUAACUUGCUAAAUUAAACAUCUAAUUAAAUUAAGAAACAAAUAUUCCUAAUACUAAAUUAGUGAAUUAAUAAAUUAAUCCAUAUUACAAUAUAUGCAAUAAAUAAAUUUUCAAUUUAACUAGACUUGCCAUAAAAUAUCAACUUUAUAAAUAUUGGACUUAACACGCAGCAUAUUAUCAAACCAGAAUCAGAAGCAACUUAAGUUUUGAUUACGGUUCACCGGAAGUCACAGCUAGCAAGUGAUCCUUGCAUCAUUUUACUAAAUAUACAAUGAAAUUAACCCCCGCAAUUUCGGCCUUUGCCAUAGUCGUUUUGUUUAUUAGGUUUAUGUUUAUCAACAUGAUUGUCAACCAUAAUCACAAUCAAGUUGUUAAUUAUUUUUAAAUAAUGUGAAGGAACAAGAUUUUGGUCUUUGAAUGUGGAGUUAGAAAUAUCUCACCUCAAUAUACGGUAUUGUGCUCUCAUCAUCUUAACAUUAUUUGUUAAAAAUUAUGUCAAAGAGGAAAGCAGAUUCAAACAUUACUUCAAUUUUCUUUAAGAGCAUCAAAAAAUCGUUAAUAGGCUACUGUUAUUUGAUAGUACGAUUUCACAAAAGGAAGCUGGAGGAAGAUGAAGCUUUCAAGUCAUGUGUGCAUCAAAGUAAGAAACAGAGCUAACGAGAGAUGGACAAGUAUUAACCACUGUUAUCAGAAAUUAAAUAUAUCAGCAUUUUGUUAUAUCAGCAGAGACGCGUGUACGUAUUGCUUGUGACAAAUCUCACCCAUGGAGAACUUUGUGGACGGCAUUUGAAUGUGUGGCCUCAUUUAAUGAACGAAACGAUAACUUUAAAAGAAAGUAUGUACUGUGUUAAUUAUUAGGCUUUAGCUUAAUGAUUGCAAUUAGUUUGUCUUGUAAUUAAAUUAUUGCCGACAAACACUAUCACGACCGACGUCCACUACUUGCGUGAAUGUGUGUAUAAAUAUCCACAGCAUAUUAUCAAACCUGAAGCGUGAUCAUCUUUAAGUUUUGGUUACGGUUUAUCAGACGUUAGAAAAUAUCUUUUCUAAUUUGAAGAAGAUGGAAACUCCUUAUCCAGGUUCUUAGGUCAUGUUCAGUUGAAUGUUAUUUAUAAUUUUUAUUUUAACAUUAUGUAUUUAUAAAUAUAAUUAUUAUUAUGAUUUUUUCAGGUAAGAAUGGAUGGUCUGAAAGUAACCCAAUAAUUAUGUACAAUAUUAUUAAUGAUGCGAGCGUGAAUAAAAAUUUGGAUUUUAUUCUCGUCCCUCAAUACGGAAGAAAUCUUGACCAUAGAGGCUAAGUGUUAUGUAACUCUUUCGUAUGUAUUAUGUUUAAUUAAUAAUAAAAUGAUGGGUUAUUAUUAUGUCAAUUAUGUGAGUGUCUUUGUUUGGUUUAGUUCAACUUAUAAAAUCUCUUGAGAUAUUUUCUUUAUUUAAUUUUGUGUACCGUGUCUUCUUGUAAAAAGAAAUUAAUAAAAAAAAUAUCAUUGUGUAUAAUGUAUUAACUAAGUUAGUGUAUUCAUGUUAGGUUAAUUGUGCUCUCUCUUCUUCAUAUUUUUUUUUUUUAAAAAAAAACUCCACAUAUUGUUGGUUAGCUAAUUCUUGCAGCUAGCAAGUGAUCAUUUUCUUUCCCCUACUGCCGUAGCAUCAAAUCCUUGCAAUUACAUAUCAAGUGGUAUUCGAGCCGUCAAAUGAUCCAUGGAAACAAGCAACAAAUCAAAUGGUGAAUUUUGCGAAGAGAUUCACGAAAUCCUUGCUAUACAUGAGUCUAGUUUUGACCCAGUUCACAUCACCCAUCAGCUGCGGGUUUGAAUGGUACCUAGUGGAUAUUUUGUGAGUCCCCACGUAUAAAAUCACACUUGCAACAAAACCUAAAAACUUAAAUUACGUAAUUCAAAUUAUAAAUUUAUAAUCAUAGCCUAAAAAACCACACAAAAUACUUAAUUCUAGAUUUUAUCAAUGUAAAUGAAAAAUGAAAGUUUUAAUAUUAAAAUAAACUCACAAAAUAUAUCAAUUUAACACAAAUUUUCAAAGUUAAUUACUAAAUACAUAAGUCUAUCGCAACUCAAAGUGCUUUCAAUUGAAAACGAAAAAAGAGAAAGAGAAUAAAAAAUAAAGAACUACAAAUCAAAGUAGCAGCCAUGUCUCAUUUUGCAGUCUCAUUCAAUACCACUAGCACCCAUCCAACACGAUUUUUCUAAACAAAGUAUCAAGUACAAAAUUACAAUAAGCAUAUCAUACUCCAUGCUUUAAGUUAAAGAUCCUUAUAUAUUUUUAUGAAUAAUUUUUUAAUGAAAUUUUAUGAUUAAAAUUAAAAAUACAAACAUUCAAAUAAGAAUGUCGGACACUUGCACAACUAUUUACCAAAUUUUUUCUCUAUAAAAAUCGACCUGCAACUUUCAAUAGGUUUAAAUUUUAUAAUACCAAACCUGAUUGCAGCUCGCAAAAAUUAUCCGUUGCGGCCAAGACUUUGGAUUUGCGAUGAUUUUGCCACCCUAAGUGUAGUUAGUAUUGUAUAUCAUGUGGCUCUUAUAAAAAGCUUAGAAGUUGUUUGAAUAACGGGGGAGACACAUAUCUCCCAAAGAUUUUCUCUUUUUCAAAUUAUUAUUUUUUCUCUAUUAUUGUAACUUCGAAUCCUUAUAAAUUACAGAUUGGAAACAUGAACACAAUGUUUUGACAUAGUAGACUUUUGGCUUGUCCAGAGAAAUUUAGGAUAGAUUUUUACGCACUAAGGUGGCGUUUGUUUUUUUGUCUGAAAUCUGAAUAGACUUGAAUUAGUCUGAAUUCUGAACAGGUCUGAAUGUUUGAAUCUGAAUAAUAUGUUUGUUUUUUCAUCUGAAUCUUGAAAAAUAAGUAUUAAGUUGUUUGUUUUUUUCAACUUAAAAAGCUAAAAAUAUGUACUUUUACAUUUGUAUCCUUAUUAAAUUUAAAUGUCAAAUAAAUAAUAUAUUAAAUACCACAAUAUUUUAACAUUUAUAAGUAAAACUAUAUUCAAGUGAAUACAUAAUUAUUUUAAAAUUUUAAUAUAUAAAAUACCAUAAAUUUCAAAUUUUAUCGUAUAUAAUAUAAGAAAGAAAAAACAGGGAUAUUUUUAUGUGGGGUAAAUAUCUAUGGGUGAGUUUUGGGAUAGACAUGAAAAAUAAAUUAUAAAACAGGGAUAUUUUUGACAUUAGCAAGUAAUUGACUUAAUUCAGAUUUCUCCAUUAAGUAAAAAGCUAAAAAAAAUUAGCUUAUUUUAUUAAGUCAAAAUUAUCUAAAAAGUCUCAUUAAGUUAUAAAAACAAACACCUCUAAUUAACUUAAUUAAUUAAGUUAAGUCACUUUAAGUCAUUAAGUUAAAAAACAAACGCCACCUAAGACUCUAUUUACUUUUGAGGUUUUAGAACUUUUAAGCAACACUAGAAAUUUGUAUUGUUUUGAUAGAGUUGUAGUCUUUGAUAUGUGAUUGGUAUUAAUCAAGUGUUAUGUUUACAAUAGUUAAAACACAUAUUGAAUCAAAAUCCACUUCUAAGGGCUUGAUUGAGUGAUUGUAAAGUAGGUUUUUAGUUUGCUAGCCACUCAAGUUCAAAUAUUGGAACCACAUCGCUUUAUAGCCAAGUGAGAGAACUUGUGCCCUAAAAAUUGAGGGGUGCAUAUCGAGUUUUACCACCAAUAAAAGUUGGUGUUAAAACUUUAAUUUCUCUCCUAUUGUGGAUAGGGGUAAUUAGGAGUUUACAUCCCCUCCUAUUAAUAGAUAGGGGUUAUUAGGAAUAUUAAAAAAAAGUUCAAAUAUUGAAAAUAUAGGUAUGUGUUAUAAAAUUCAUAAUAUAAAGACACAAAAUCAAGAUAAAUAUUUAAAAAUUUAGAACCAUAAGAGCGUGACUUGUAAGUUUCAAAAAAGUAUGUGCAAAUAUAUGCAUUAUUGAUACCCCAAUUAAGGGUGGGCAUUAAGAAAAAAAAUCCCAAAAAAUUAAAACUAACCCUAACUAAAAUAUUCGACGGCGGCCUCCUCGUUUUCUUUUCUUCUUCUUCCUCCUCUUGCUCACCCUCAAUGCCCAUUCAUGGAAAUCCAACAGCUCCAAACGCGUUUCAGCCGCUCGCACGUGUGAGAAAUUUUCCUUCUCAUAGGAUUAUUCGUUUCCUUCGCUUGCAUGCCAGCAGAAUAUUCAGGCCGAGGAUUUUUCCGGGCCUAGCCCAACUAUAAGCUCUCCCAAAACCCAAUCAUAAAGUUCAUAACGUUUAGCGUUUGCUUUUACUAUAAUUUUUUUUAACCAAUUUUCACAUUCAUCAACAUAGGCAGACAGAUUUUGUAGAAAAUAAAAUUAAAUAAAAAUACAAGAUCACGAAAAUUCCUUUUCCGAUGUGGGAAUCUAUCUACACCUUUCACGUACCUUUUUUUUUUUUUUUUGUGGUGGGGGAUUCACUUGCUUUUGUUUGCAUUGCCUUAUUGGAUAAAAGUUUGUAGAACAUCGUCUGUUUGGUUAAAGCCGAGCAUGAGUGAAGAAAAAUUAAAAAUAAACAAUUUUCCAUUAAUUUGCAACAAGUAUUAAUAAAGUGCAUGAGAAAAGACACCAGGAUAUGUCUUUUUUCAAAUGAAAAUAAAUGUGUUAAUUAGUCAAUUUAAAUGGUAUGACAUUUUGAAAUGACAGAAGUGAUCUAAAGUUUAAAUCUUACUCACAAUUACUUUAGGGUUGGGGAUUAAUUGACCUAAUAUAUAAUAACGAAUUCGAAAGACAAUUAAAAAUUAAAAGAAAAUAAAAAAGUACUUUCUUUUUUAUGAUGGUAAUUUGUUUAGAUGAUGAAAACUCUUAGAGUGGUAUUAUCAUUACAUAGUUUCGAGCGUUGCCAACGUGAAUAAUAUUUAAUUUCGUUUAUAUAGUUAUAUCUCAACUAACAUUUAAACAGAAGUAAGCUGUAAAAAAAAAAUGAACCAUUGAGAUUUGAGAGAACGAAAAACUAAAAAAAAAAGUUAAAAAAUUAGAUCUCAAUAAAUUUACUUGAGAACUACUUUACUUAUUAGUGACGAGAAAACACAAAGAAUAAUGAUGUAUCUCAAUUAAUAAGACAGUUUUUGUAUUUUUCAUUUAUUCAAGAAUCACGAAACUUCAUUGAAAUUUGUUAUUUCAUUGAUAAUAUAUUAAUAUUGAACAAUUAAUGUAGGAGACAUUCCUUUUCAAUUAUACCCAUAUAUUAAUUAAAGACUACCAAAAAGUUCAGGGAUACUAUAGUAAUUUAAGUUAACAAUUUCUGUGCUUGAAAUCAGCCGAUCAAACUCACUUUAAAAUAAACUGAGAAAUCAAAAUCACAUUCUCCGAUUCUACGAUUUCAAUUCAUCUUAUUUCUUCAACUGAAAAAUUGGUUAUAUUUCGUUUUAUUUUAUUUUUAUUUUUAUAUAAAGAUAAAUAUAAAAUAUUUUUUUGAUUACAUGAGACUAUUGCUCAAAUUACAACUCAUAUUACAUGAGAAUAUAACUGAUAUGUACAAAUCAGACUAUAAUUAGGACCAACAUACAUCAAAUCUAAUGGAGCGUUGCCCAAAUUUUAACCCUCUCAAAUAUUCGAGGGAUGUCUACUUCUCGCACUGAGACAAAAAAAUAGACUGCCUUCACUCAAUUUUAUUUAAGAAAAGAAAUACUCCCACAUACAUUGUGGGGGCUCGAACUGUUGCUCUCCAACUUGGAGAGCAGCAGCUCUCACCACUCGGCCAAAGGCCGAGUGGCUGAUUUAUAUUUUGGCCGAGUGGCUGAUAAAUAUAAAAUAUAAAUGAAGAGGAAACUGUUAAAGUAAAAUCAAAAGAAGGACACGAGUUUUAUUGAAAAUGACUCUUUUCAUCAUUUUACCGGAUUGAAUGUAUCUACAUAUAAACUAAAGAAGCACAUUUGUUUCCGACUCUACGCUUUAAAUUUAGCUUCAUUUCUUCAACUGAAGAAUCGGUCGUCUCUCAUUUUUUAUUUAUUAUAUAAAGAUAAAUAUCUAAAUUUAAAUGGCGAGAAGAGCGGACGAGGAAUACGAUUACUUGUUCAAAGUGGUAUCAAUCGGCGAUUCGGGAGUCGGCAAAUCGAACUUACUCUCCCGAUUUACUCGUAACGAGUUCUGUUUGGAGUCGAAAUCCACUAUUGGCGUCGAAUUCGCCACCCGCACUCUUCAAGUAACUAACUUUUCCUCUUUCACUUCUCUUCAUUUUUAUUAGUUAAUUAAGAUCCAGCUAAUGUAAUUAAUUUUAUUUAAUCUUUUAAAUAAAGUUCUAGAUUAGGCUAACUUAGAUUCAUGUGAAGUUGAAGUGAUUUACUUUCGAUCUCUUUUUCGUCCUAUGUUUAUUUGUACUUACUAUUACUUUUUUUUGGGUUUAAAUUUUCGUUUUUGAAGUGUUUACUGAAUAAAUUUCUGAGCUUUAUUUGUGUAUGCUGAUUGAUUUGUGAUUUUAAUUUUGUGACUUUUUUUUUGGAAUUUAAAUUUGAAUGCUUUUUAAGUUGAAUCUGAUUGUGUUGGGCUGCGAUUUAAUUAAGUCAUCUGUGAGCGCCAAGUUGUGAUAGCUAUAUAUUGGGGUGAAAAUUUGGGAUUUAAAGUUAUGUAUUUAAGAUGCAGUUAAUUCGCAAGUGAAAAUUAUGGGCCGGCAGAUUUUGUCAUUGGAAGACUGUUCUCCACAUGUUGAAGUUAGUGAUGCAAGUUGAAACCAAUCUGUUUAAGCUUGGGGUUUCAUGUCUUGAAUCAAGGCUGUGACUUGGGGUGGGUUGAAAGUAUUAUAGCUUUAGCUAUUCCUGAAGUGAUCUGUUUAGACUCACCGUGAUGAGACCGAGUGCUGUACAGUAAAAUGAAAGGAAGUUGGAAAAUAUUUACUUAGCAUUUCGCGUUACUAAUGUUGAACUAAUAAAACCUAGCCCCUAUCCUAGUGAAUUUAUGUUAAAAAGCUAUGCACGCAUUAAGUUAGUGCGAGAGUCUGCUGAAGCAUAUGCCAGCUGUGUGUUUGGAGCUGAGUAUUCUUCAUUCCACAUUUUGGGUUUUGGUUGACCUCCAGCAUGACUCAACCCACUUGAGUUAAAAGCCCUAGAGUUACAUUCUACCCAUGAUAUUUGAGUUUAUCAAGUCACCUUAUUUUAAUACUUCUCUGGAAAACAAAUAUAUAUGUUAAAUCAGGUAGGAAAAAUAAAAAGUUAAUUAUUGAGUUGUAAUGGUGCAACUAAGGUUUUGAAACAUUAAGAUCUUUAGCCAUUAUGUUACUAUCCCGUAGUUAUUUAAGUUACAAGAGAUAGUAAAAAAUAACAUCAUAUUUUAAUUACUUACACUAAUCCUACAAGUGCUGAUGGUCUAAAGUUGCUGCUGCUUGCACUGAAUCAGUGGUCAUGGGCCAGCCAAGGUUAGGUGAGGCCAACUCAUUAGCUUGUGAAACUUAAAGAAGUCUUAGGUUUGGAAAAGAUGGGGCACAGGUUACAAAAUUUUUUUUGAGUUUUGGAUUGAAGGAACAAAAUUGUUGAUGUCUAGUUCACAAUAUUUGAAGUCACUCUGUGCUUCAUCAUGUAAAAUGGAUUGAAUUGCUGUAUGAUCAGGUCAAAUUAAAAUGUUUAAACUCAUUUUUAAGAAACGAAUUCUCAAUUGGACCAGCCUUUCACAGAAGCUGAUAUCACAGAAGCUUUGAGUCAGAUGCAUCCAACCAAAGCCCCUGGCCCAGAUGGUCUCCCAGCAGUAUUUUUCCAAAAGCUUUAGAAUUCAGUAAGCGAAGGAGUUAUAGCCACUUGUCUGCAUAUCCUCAAUGAUGGAGGUAAUAUUGCUCCUUUGAAUCAUACAUACAUUGCUUUAAUCCCCAAGAUAGCAAAACCUAGGACUCUGAUGGAGUAUAGACCAAUCAGCAUAUGUAAUGUAAUUUAUAGGAUCAUUGCAAAGACUAUAGCGAAUAGGCUGAGGCUAAUCUUAGAUCAUGUUAUUUCGCCAACUCAGAGUGCUUUUAUGCCAAAUAGGCUCAUAACUGAUAAUAUAAUUAUUGGGCAUGAGUGUCUUCAUAAGUGGACAAAGCUAAGUUCCAGAGGUGAGAUAGGAAAUUCUCCCGCACGACACAGCAGAAACAAACUUUCCCUUUCAUUUUCUUUUCUCUUUCUCGCUCUCCAAACAGAGCAAAAGGACUGUCGCAAGAUUCUUCACUUCCAUCCAAAAUCAUGAGCAACGAAUGGUGAGCCUCCCUGUUUCCUUCCUUUUUUUGAUAUUAACCUUGUUAACAUAUACUCAUUUUAAUUUGACAAUACUUCAACUUUUUUUAAUUUUUUGCCUUUUCAUUUUUUUUGUUGAAGCAAUUAUCUGUUCAAGCUGUUGCUUAUCGGAGACUCGUCCGUCGGAAAGUCCUGCCUGCUGCUCCGAUUUGCUGUCUGUUGACUUUUCCUUUCCCUUCUUAUUUUCUUUUUUUAUAUUAAUUACUUUCUAUUUUAGCUUUUUGUUCUCUUAAUUUGUGUUAUUAAAAUGAUAAUUUAGAUAAUAAAUAAUUGUUAUUCUUGUAAAUUUCUGUUUUCAUUACGUUAAUUGUUAGCUUUUAGGUUUAUUAAUGUAAUUUUUUUUUUUCAAUUUUUCAGGAUGAUUCUUAUGUCACAGCUACAUCAGUACCAUUGGAGUUGAUUUUGUGAGUCUCUCUUCUAUAUAUAUGUAUAUAUGUGUAUAAGUUAUAAUAUGAGUCUAUGUACGUGUAUGUAUGUAUGUGUAUGCAUAUGUGGAAAGAAAUGUUGGCAGACUUCAGCAUUUUACUCUUUUCUUUUUUUGGCAGAAAAUAAGAACUGUGGAGCUGGAUGGGAAGACGAUCAAACUGCAGAUUGUGAGUCAAAAUUUCCUUUUAUCUUGUAUUGAGAGAAAUUCGAUUUGUCUUAUUUUCUUUGUUUGAAGAGUGAUAUGUUGAAAUGAGUGUAUUUGUCUUAUAAACAUCAUUUAGGUAAUGUCUUCUGUUUGAUUGUUUUUCAUCUGUUUAGUGGGACACUGCUGGACAGGAGCGAUUCAGGACUAUAACUAGCAGUUAUUACCAAGGAGCCCAUGGAAUCAUAGUAAGGAGCCUUCCCGGUUCUUGGUUUAAAUCAGAAAGUUUGUGAUUUACAUGUGACAUCUUAACAGCAUUGUAUGUGUUUAUUAACUUAUUUUUCAUCUUUCAUUAAGCAGUACACUUUCUAUUAAAUCUGUAUACAAGAUGAUGUAGUCCAAGAAUGGGAGCCAUAAUAUGAUGCAAAUUGUCUAAUAAAUUCUUAUGACAUAUGAUGUUGUCGGAAGUAAAAGUCUUGCAAUGCUGUAUUCUCUUUUAAGAAAGAAUAAGUGGUAAUUUUGUUUUUCCAAUUUUUUAAUUGAGCAACUGUAUGAGAUUAAUUAAAUGUGUUGGGAUUUCAACAGAUUGUUUAUGAUGUAACUGGGAUGGAGAGCUUCAAUAAUGUCAAGCAGUGGUUGAAUGAGAUUGACAGAUACGCAAAUGACAGUGUAUGCAAGCUUCUAGUUGGGAACAAAUGCGAUUUAGUUGUGAACAAGGUUGUGGACACACAGACAGCCAUGGUAUAUUCAUGACUUUUGUCGCCUGAACUUUGAAUAUAAUUUUAAACUCUUCUCAAGUGCAUUUGCUUGGUAAGUUUCUGCAUACCCAGGACACUCAAACUUUGGACAGUCUGUAUCUCGAGUUGGAAUCUUUUCUGUCAAUACGACUUGUUAAAAUAAGGGUUGUUAUCGUUUGAAUCAUUCAAGAAUUGCCAUAAAUCUAAAGUCCAUAAAAAAUAUGAUUCCAUCAUUUUACUAUUAUAUCUAGACAAAACCCAUUAUUUUACUACAUUUCAUUGGCACCGAUAGUUGACCUGUUGGCUGACUGAUAAAAUAUCAAUUUUGCACUUUAUAUUAAUUCUUUUUUGGUUAAAAAAUAACACACAAAGUAUUACAAUAUUAUAAAUUCAAAAUAUAAAGUAGUUACAAAUAAUUCCUAUUAGCCUAUGAAUAUAAUAUUUGAUACCUCUAUUUGUGUAAUUUUUUUCCAAUGGUGAAAUUGUUAUUUUUUUUGUACUAACGGAAAUAUAGUAAAAUCAUAAGUUUUGUAAAGAUAUAGUAGUAAAAUGAUAGACUAAAAUACUUCUUGUAGUUGUUUGAUAUAUUGUAAUUCUUAAAGUAGUCAAUUGAUAAUAUCCCCUAAAAUAAAUGUUCGUAAUAUGUUCUCAUUUUAAUGCAACUGAUUGUUUAAUAAAAUUGUAUUUCUUUGUUAAUCUUUUAUCAUGUGCAUGCUCAGUGAGAAUUUGACUUGCUAGAACACAAGUUUGACUCUUCAUUUAAAUGUCUCUUGUAUCAUAUCCUUCAAUGUUGAGUGUGAUUCCAAUAAAAUUGAGUAGGGAGAUCCUUAAAUACCUUUUCCUUUUUUCCAAGGGCCUGCCAAAUUGCUCUAAGUGGUUCUACCCUUUAUCAAUGAAUAAUGAAAAUAAAAUUUUUAUUAAAGCAUUCUGUUCCUUAAAUGGUGACUAAUAGUACCCCCUUUUUUUUUGGAGAGGAAAGCCAAACGCCCAAAGAGGAUCAUUUACUUUCCUCUAAUGUAUUUUCUAAUUCGUUUUGAGCCUUGAAUGUCUGUUUUGGUGCGUAUUCUCAUUCCAUGUCGAAUCUUAUCCAUAUGGACAACCCCACUUACAAAAAAGUCUAAUGAAUCUAUUGAAGUUCAUAUGAGGUUUGUGCUUUAGAUUUAGACCUCUCUCUCUCUCUCUCUCCACUUACAUGUCUUUCACUUACCUGUUUGCAUGCAUGCCCAUGCACACACUUUCAAGAUAAUACACGGUCACUCGUACUUGUGUUUUGGUUGAAUUACUGGCUGCUAACCUCUGUAAUUCAGUUUGAAACUUGCCACCCUUAGUGCUUCACUCAAAUGGUUGGUUAGGGUGAGAUCUGUAUCGUUUUCCUGGUCUCUUUCCAAGGUUAUCUAAAGGGAUUUGGCAGUCUGAUUCUUUAGGGAAUAUCAUUGCAUAAGAUAUCUAUUGUUUGUUAAUGAAUAAUUUCUAUUUAACUAGUUAUCUAUAUAAAUUGGUAAAUUUUAACUGCAUAAUUUGCAUGCAAUAAGAUUUUAUAAGAAUCUUGUUUUCAACUCAUGACUUAGACUAAUGUGAUACGUUGAGCAUUAAGCUACAAGAUCUGCACAUCAAAGUGCUUCACCAUGUUAAGGAGAAAGCAUCGUUUUCUGCUUCUUCAUGUGAUUUAAAGUUUCCAAGGUACUUAUCCAAUAAAAUGUCUUUCAAGACUUUGGAAAUGCUUUUAUGUAUGACUGAGAGAAACUUGUUGGGUUGGUUUUUAGCAACAGACGGAGUUAUGGACUUUGUGUUGACUUGUUAUUGAUUAAGACAGUACAUCGGCUGAUCUAUUGGCAUCAAGCAGCAGAUGCAGAAAUUAUGGGUGGCAUACCAUUGUAUCCAAAUAACAUACUACAUUGAUUUUUCUGACUUUCUGUUGGUCUCCGAGUGAAAUGCAGGCAUUUGCAGAUGAACUGGGGAUUCCUUUCCUGGAGACGAGUGCCAAAGAUGCAAUCAAUGUGGAGCAGGCUUUCUUGACCAUGGCCGGCGAGAUUAAGAAAAAGUAAAAUCACUUAACUCUUUCCUUCUUUCCGACUGUUCUUAUUCAACAAUCACCAUUAUUGCUGGUUAUGUGCAUUGUGAUGAAAAUUCUGCAAUGAAUAACUUUUUACCUAAUGUUUUCUGUUGGAACAAAUUACUCUGGUAGAAAAGCCCUACAGGGUUUGAGAAAUCCCAUGAUGUGAUGAUUGUGAGCAUUUUAGACACCGUGUAUGGGUUUAUUUUGUGACUAUAAAAUGUUAAGAUAUUUCUAGUUUUGGUUUGUAGUGCAUAAAAGGAUUCAAAAUUUGACAUCUGUCUAAAUCAGAUUACUAACAUGACAAUGUACAUAUGCAAGAUGUGAGGAAUUGUUUUAUCUCACCCCUAAACUUUAAGAAAUUGAAACAUUAUUAUUCAAAAUAUUUAACAUUUCCAGAAUUGAUAGUUGUCUAUUUGAGCAGUGACUGGUGGUUAUCAUGAACUGAUGUGUGGUUGUGGUUUCAAAUCUUGGUGAAACCUGUUGUCAUAUGCUGAUUAACAUAGCUAGUCUCUGAAACAAUUUGUUGAUUCACUAAUUAUGAGUUCAAAUUUGAUGCAGAAUGGGCAACCAGCCUACUGCAAACAAAUCUUCUGGAACAGUUCAGAUGAAGGGAUAGCCAAUCCAGCAAAACAGCAACCGCUGUGGUUAGCCGAGCAUCUUAUUUUACUUCUACAUGUUAGCUGACUGAUUGUAGACAGUUUUAACUAUGUUGACUGCAUUAUCUUAUGAAUCUUUUAAUCUGUCAAAUAUUUAUUUCCUGCUUUAAGUUCUUUCCCGUUUAUAACAAAUUUGAUUUCUUGCUCUAUAGCAUUCCAAAUUCCUGUUAAUUUACGAGGGAAAAAGAAAAGAGACGAAAUGGGAGAAAAUGGUCAAAUUUGUUAGGGGGGGAGAGCUGUUGAAGUAGUUUUUGUUCUCGUUUAUCAUCGUGACCCUCUUGUCGCUUAUCUACGACCUGGAAGUCCGGUCAUAUCGGAUGGGUAAAGUUACCGAAACGGCAUCAUUUUGGGUGAAAUAUCAUGUUUAUGUAACACUUUUGAUAAUAUUUUUAUGCAACAAAAAAAUGUUUGCAGUACCCUUCUCACAUUGUGAAGCGCAUGAUCGGAUGAGAGCAGUCUGGAUUCUGGCAUCACAAGCUAAUGCUUUGAUUUGCUUAGUUUGUUUUUUGUUUCUGAUAUUUUCUCGGCAUAGUGUAAAUGUAUGAAGAUGAAAUUGCUGGGUUGGUUUUGUUAUGGAAUUUGGUUUAGUUCACUAACCAUUAAUGCGCAAAACCUCCUAAGACCCUAAAAAAUCCCGUACAUAAUUAAAGAAUUUCAAUUUUAUAUGUACAUAAAUAAAUAACUCUCAAAUAUAUUAUUUGAUAAUCCCAAAAACAACAACUCACUCUAAUAAAUCUCGUAGUCAAUACAUGGUCUAUAUUGCAAGUGUUUUCGAGACUAAUUCAAAAAGAAAAUACGAAGGAUAUAUAAUUGACUUUUACUUGUUAUAAAGAACUCUAAAUAAAUUUAUAUACGCAUCACAGCUAAUUACAGUCUUGGUACUUCAUUAGGUUUUUGUUAAUUUUCUAUACAGUUGUGUUGUGCAUUAAAGCUUUGUUAAAUGAAAUCGGUAGUGAGAAUUAAUUAAUUAAUUAAUUAAUUAAGAUCCAGUUAAUGUAAUUAAUUUUAUUUGAUUUUUUUAAUUCGAGUUCUAAAUUAAUCAAUUAAUUUAGAUUCAUGUGAAAUUGAAGUGAAUUAGUUUCGAACUGUUUUUCAUUCUAUGUUUGUCUGUGUUUACUCUUACUGUUUUUUUUGUUUAAACUUUUGUUUUCUUAUUGUUUACUGAAUAAAUUUCUGAGCUUUGUUUGAGUAUGAUGAUUGAUUUGUGAUUUUAAUCUAAUGUGUUGGGCUGCGAUUUAAUUGAGUGAUGUGUGAGCGCCAAAUUGUGAGCGCCAAGUAGUAAUUAUAAAAUAUUUCAGUCGUCCACUGUUCAGUCACCAAAAACCAAUUUCUAAUCUAUUUCAAAACAAUUUUUGCCAAAGUCCUCCUGGGCUAAUUAAUUCAUACAUUAAUACAGUCCUCCUCUGCUGAAUAAUGCAAACCCGUUACGUUAUUCUACCAUUUCUUAAAUUUAAAGCAUUCCACCAUUUAAUAAAAAAAUUCGAAAACCCAUUAUAUACAAUACAAAAAGCCCACCGACACCAAACCAUAUUAAUUUAAAAUAGUUUUCAAUUGAGAUUUGAAUUUUAAAAUUACAUACACAAACACACCCGAUUUUAAAAAAUAAUAAUAAUCCUAACAAUAAAAUAUUUCAGCCGUCCUCUGUUCAGUCACCGAAAACGGAUUUCCAAUCUAUUAGAACAACCGGUAUAUGGGUUUCCAACCAAUAUUGUCCUCCAUCCUUUCUGCACUUCUCUUCUAUCAACGGACAGCCCACGAUGUAUAAUCGCAAAAGUGAGGAAGGCAGGCCCUUCUCCGGAAAGUAUUUGAGCUUGGGACAAUCCGCGAGAUACAAUUCAGUGAGGUUUUGAAGAUCAACAAUUGAAGAAGAUAGGCGUUCCAGAUUUGGAAAAUUAGAAAUCCCCAGAGAUGUUAGAGAGGCAGGAAGAGGAAGCGUGGUCCCUAAUCUUUUGUCCUCUAGUGGAAAUGACACCAUGUCGUCAUCGCAUCUGCUGAUUGUAAGACGUCGCAGAGAGGAGAAUCUGUGAAAUCCCCGUCCCCGCUCAAUCAUUGACUUCCAAAUCUCCAUAUUACCCCAAAUAUUAAGUGACUGAAGGUUGGUGGGAAGGUCAUCUUCUUCUUCAAGGCUUGGAAGCGCACCUCCUAUUCCUAUUGUUAAUUGUUGAAGAGAGGUCAGAUUGUGCAAUCCCUUGGGUAAGGCCUCUAGUCUCUUACAAUUAGAUAUCGCCAGCGUCCUGAGUUUCGCACAAGGCAAUCCCCCUUCGGGAAAGGACACCAGAUUUUUACAACUAUCUAUACUGAUUGUUUCAAGAGAUGUGUUGUUGUCCAACCUUUCUGCUAUUGACUCCAGCUUUGAACAUCCACCAACACGAAUGGACUUAAGAGACGGAGGUAGAUUGCCAACUUCAAGGGACUCAAGCGUGGCAGGUAACUCGUUUUUUGAAAAUAUACACGUCAGAGAAUCACAACAGUAAAUAUGCAAUUCCUCAAGAAAAGAUGAGGUGUACCUUCUGCCGCUGCUACACUGGAUGCCCUCUUCCACUGUCAAAGUCCUUAUAUUAUCGCAACGGCAGAUCUGCAACUUCUUAAGGCUCGAUGGUAGCUGGACAGCAGCAAUAUAUGUCAACGAACGGCAACCCUCAAUAUUCAAGAUCUCGAGAGACGAAUUGGUGUCGCACAUCCAUGCCUCUGGUAACGAUUUCAGUGCAUCACAAUACCUAAUCUCAAUUUUCCUCAACUUGGAAGGCAGAGCAACCUCAGGAAAGGAAACAAGGGAAUGACAAUCGCAGAUUUCUAUCUCUCUCAAGGAACUGAGGCUGAGCGAUGAUUGUGGCAGCUUCACAAGGCCUUUGCAUUCGCUCAAUCUUAGAUAUUCGAGUCUGCAUGACAACUCGCAGAGCUGCUGUUGUUGGUCUUUCUCUUCCUCCGCCACCAAGGAUUGAAUUUUGGGACACCGUCUAAUCGUCAGUCUUUUGAGAGAGCAAAUGUCUUGCAGUAAUUCGUUAUGACUCUUCCAUAUAUGUGUUUCAUUUUUCAUAUUAUUUAUCCCCAAUUCUUCCAGUUUUGGUAUUCGCGGCUUCAAUGGCUCUGUGAAAAACACUUGAUUUGAUGUAUCUCUACAAACCACUGAAUUCUGUGAGCCGAGAUGAUCAGUUGCACUUCUCCACACAACCUUUUUACAUCCACCAAUUUCAAAUUUGCAAAGAGCUGGAAGACUUGCAACUGAAACUAGCAAUUCUUCACAUCCUUCAAUUGCAAGCAUCUCCAAUGCAGGAAGGUGUUCUGGAAAUGUUCCUUGCAGCUUAGAACACCUUAUAAUAUGAAGCUCUCUCAAUUUAGGAAACCAUUCAACUCCCUGACCAGUUCUAAGAGGAAUCCAGUCUUCCCAUUCUUGCAUGUUUUCAAAACGAAGAGUUUCCAAGCAUGGAAAAGGAAUCGGGGAAUCAUUCCCAUAGAACUCUGAACCCAAACUCUUUACUCUACUCAUUCCACGCACUGCAAGAUGCUUUAGAGAGGGUAGUUGCCCGACUGACGGCAAGGUAGUACACACGCUGCAAUCUUCAAAAUUUAAGGUCGCUAAAUUUGAGAAUGAGGAAUCUCCCAACCAAGUUGGAAAUUGUUUACCUUCAUAGCCACUGAUACAAAAUUGUUCCAGAUUUUCAUGAGGUUUUAGCAUGACGAGCACAUCCUUUUCAGUUUCUGCCUCCCUUGAAGACAAACCAUUGGUACUCUGUGUCCAUUGAAACUUUAACACUUUAAGAUUCUUCUUUCCAUCCAAUUGAGCCUCCUUCGCAUCACCAAUGUCUUUUACGUUCUCCAAUUUUGAAAUGUUAAGUGUCCCACGAAGAUGCGUCAACAAUUUUAGCUCUCGUAUCCCGGAACCACUGUCUUUUCCCACAACAAAAUUACACAGCGUCUGAAGGAAAGUCAACUUACCAAUUCCUAGUGGCAUCUCCUCCAAUGAAUCUGUCUUUGAAUUAUCGAGAUGAUGCAAUUUGAUGAGGUUUCCCAUGUCUGCACACAACUUCUUCAGUCGCCGACAGCCCUCCAGCAGAAGAGUGUGCAAAUUGUAAAGCUUGUUGACUGAUUCAGGCAGAGUUCUAAUCUCAGUUAGAGAUAGGUUAAGGUACCUUAAAUACCUCAAAUCACCAAUUGAAUCCGGUAGCUCAGAGAUGUGAUAUCCACGCAAAGAGAAGACCCUCAACCGUUGGAGUUUGAACAACUUAGGAAGAAUGCUAUGAGCCAAGUAGCCGGGCCGGCUACUUAACAACGUUACUGGUAAAAGAGUUCGCAAAUGUUGGAUAUCGUACAACUCCUCAAACCUUUUAACACCAUCGUAAUCUCCACGAAUGUACGACAGAUGACGAAGAUUUCUUGGAAAACUUUGUUGCUUGUCAACCUCUGAGAUAUACUCCAUUCUGAAGUACAUUUCCCCAGCAGCCCAUUGAGCAAGAUCAUUGAUGAGGUCGUGCAUCACAAAUCGUGAUAUACUGUUGCUUGAUUGCUGGAAAAAAGAUCUUGAACGUAGCUCUUGAAAGAACUUUCGACCUAGAUCUUCACUGGGAUUCCCACUCUCUCCGUGAUCCAAGAAACCCGAAGCACACCAUAAUAAAAUUAUCUCCUCCUCUUCAAAUUCAUAAUCCUUUGGAAACAAUGAGCAGUAUGCAAAGCAUUGUUUCAAAGGUGCCGAAAGAUAAUAGUAGCUCACUCUAAGCGCCGGUAUAAUGUCACAUCUCUCUUCUGGUAAAUCCCAUAUCUUGCAACUGAGCACACCUUCCCAAUGACUCCGGUCAAGUUUACCACGCAAGAGACCACCAAGAGUUUUCGCAGCUAAGGGCAAGCCGUUGCAUUUGAUCACUAUCUUCUUGCCAAUUUCCUCCAAUGACUUGUUUGAACUGAUAUCUCUUGCCCCUAAAGAGUGUUGAGCGAACACAGACAGACAAUCAUCAUUUGACAGCUUUUUCAAAUGAUAAGCCCGAGCAGUCCCCAUGAUGGCUGCAACCUCUUGAUUACGAGCUGUGACAAUAAUCUUACUCCCCGGUGCGCCAGCUUCAAAUGGACGGCUCAUGUCAACCCAGUCAUUGUAAUUCUCAUUCCAAACAUCGUCUAAAACAAGCAAAAAUUUCUUUUGAGAUAACUUCUUCUUCAGCUCCUCUUGAAGCAAAUUUAAAUCACUGUCAUCAGUAGUCUGCUUAGUAAUGGAUCUUAGAAUUGUUUUUGUUAGCCUGAUAACAUCAAAAUCAUCAGAGACACAAGUCCAUGCCUUGAGAUCAAAAUGACCCUGCACUCGAGCAUCAUUAUAGACAAGCUGAGCGAGAGUGGUUUUGCCCAGCCCGCCCAUACCUAUAAUAGGAAUAACAGAGAAUUCACCAUCAUUUCUCAAAUCAUCCCUCAACAGCAAUUCAACAAUUUCAUUCUUUUCUGUUUCCCUCCCAUAUACCUUGGCUUCAGUCACUAAAGAGGUUGUGGGUAGUCUUUGCCUGUCUUUUCUGGACCUCCCAGCUGAACUUACGUUCAAACCGAGCGAGUCUUUCUGUGUUACAAUAUCUUGAAAUCUGUAGUUGAUCUCUUUGAUUUUGGACAUUAUGGCGUAAUCGAACUGAAUCGAUUGUGGGGUAAAAGUGGUGCAGCAAGUAGGAAUGAGCUUCUGAAACUUACUUGUUCUUGUACGACUGCUACUGGGUUGAUCCUGAGCCGCAGCUGGAUCUCCAUUUCCAAGCAGCACCUUCCUCCGGAAAGCCCCAGUUUGAAACUCAUCCAACAAGUCUUCAACAUCAAAAGCCAAGUUCUGAAGCUCGCCAAGCCACAACUUCACAAUCUCAUCAGUCUUCUUUUCCUCAGCAUCAGCAAGCACCGCCUUGACCUUCAAAAGCAUCGUCUUCCACUUCAUUAGAUCGGCCCGGAUUUGAUCUUGGCGUGGAAACAACCGAAUCCCCACUGAAGCUAACUUAUAGACCAACAACUCAACGGACGCCGUCAGGAUUGCCUCUCCGAUGAUUGACAUUUUUUUCUUUUUUUUGUUUUGCAAAGAAAGAAACAGAAUUUUGAGUUUUGAGAAGCAAAAUGAGAAAAUUGAACAGUAAGUGUGGAGGGUCAAGCAAAAUGCGCGUAUCAAGUCUUCCACUUGUUGUUUAUUCCAGUAAAGUGAAAAAAAAAUAGAGACCACGACCCUUUAAUAAUUUAGCAAUUCACCGGUCACGAGUCACCACCACUCGUUACCAUGAAUAUAAUAAAUUGCACCUAGAUAUUUGCAGGGUCCAGCAACAUUGACCCAGUGUCCGGGUAAAUGCUGAAUAACGAGGAAAAUGGAAUGUAUCAACUACGAACCUUCGCUUUACAAGUCUUCAAACUCAUAAACCAAGUUAAAUCAAAACGUUUAUCUCUCUCACCCUUUUUGCCAUAUAAUUACUUUAUUUAUUGAAUUAAUUUCCAUGCUAAAACGAAGACUUAAAAGUGCACUACAAUUUUUUAUAAUCACAAUGGUAAUUCCUACUAUCAUGUUAUCUUAAUGUCGUGUCAAAAUAAAUUAUAAUAAAAUUUUUUUUAUAUGAACAUUUUUUUUAUUUAUGAAUUUCUUAAUUUUUAAUAUUUUUCUUACUCUUUAGUCUUAAUAUUUGUAUUUCUCUCUUCAAACUUUCUUUAUUAUUUAAUUUUUAAAGAAAAAUAUAAAAAAAGUAAGAAAAAUAUUAUACUUAAAAAAUAGUGAAUAUUUUAUGGGUCUAAUACAAGCCUGUAUUAUUUUUGACAAUGAAAGAGCACGCGAAAAAUCUCACUCAUAGAAAACUUUGUGAAAGGCAUUUGAAUGUGUGGCCACAUUUACCGAACGAAACGAUAAGGCUUUAGCCCUAUAAUUGCAAUUAGUUUGUCUUGUAACUAAAUUAUUGCCGACAAGCAGCCAUGCAUGUAAUUAGUCACAAGUUGCUUUGAAAUAAAUAGGUACUUGACAUUUGGCUCACUGAUUAUGUGUGCAAUAUUCCCGUAUUUCCCAUUACUUCCCGUACUUUAUGCAUUAUUGUUUUGUAUGUCUUUCGGUGUUUACGGUGUAGUUAGGGAUGGUAGCGGGUAGGGUCUGGUACGGGUUUGACAUCACCAAACCCGCAUCUACAAAAAAUUUUAAUUACGUAAUUCAAAUUAUAAAUUUAUAAAUAUUGCCUAAAAAAAAAUCACAUAAAAUACUUAAUUCUAGAUUUUAUCAAUGUAAAUGAAAAAUGAAAAUAUCAACAUUAAAAUAAAUACACAAAAUAUAUCAAUUUAACACGAAUUCUCAAAUUCAAUUAGCAAAUAAAUAAGUCUAUCACAACUCGAAGUGUUUUCAACUGAAAAAGAAAAAAAAGAGAAAGAGAAAAAAACAAAGAACUACAAAUCAAAGUAGCACCCAUAACCUAUUUCAUAGGCUCAUUCAACACCAAGAUUCAUUCAUUACCACUAGCACCCAUUCAACGUGGUUUUUCUAAACAAAAUAUAAAGUACAAAAUUACAAUAAGCAUAUCAUACUCCAUGCUUUAAGUUAAAGAUCCUUAUAUAAUUUUAUGAAUAAAUUUUUAGUGAAAUUUUAUGAUUAAAAUUAAAAAUACAAAUAUUAAAAUAAGAAUGUUGGACAUCUGCGCAACUAUUUGCUAUUUUUUUUUCUCUAUAAAAAUUCACCUGCAACUUACAGCAGAUUUAAAUUUAUAAUAUCAAACUUGAUUGUAGCUUGCAAAAUUUUUGGAUGUACGAUAAUUUUGCCACCCUAAGUGUAGUUAGUGUGUUUCCAAUUGGCUCCUAUAAAAAGCCUAGAAGUUGUUUGAAUAAUGAGGGAGGCAAAUAUUUCCCAAAGAUAUUCUCUUUUUCAAAUUCUUUUCUUUUCUCUAUUAUUGUAACUUCAAAUCCUUGAAAUUACAUAUUUCAAAUCCUUGACAUGAACACAAUGUUUUGACAUAGUGGCUUUUGGCUUGUCCAGAGAAAUUUAGGAUAGAUUUUGAUGUAUUAAGGCUCGUUUUACUAUUGAGAUUUUGGAACUUUUGAGCUACACUUGAAAUUUGUAUUAUUCUAAUAGAGUUGUACCCUUCGAUAUGUGAAUGGUAUUAAUCAGGUGUUAUGUUUACAGCAGUUAAAGGCAUAUUGAAUCAAAGUCCACUUUUGAUUGAGAUUUUAAAGUAGGUUUUUAAUUUGAUAGCUACUCAAGUUCAAAUAUUGGAACCACAGUGCUUUAUAACCAAGUGGGAGAACUUCUGUCCUGAAAGUUGAAGGCUGCAUACCGAGUUUUACUACCAACAAAAAUUGGUGUUAAGACUUUAGUUGCCCUCCUACUUAUAGAUAAGGGUAAUUAGGACUUUACAUCCCCUCCUGCUAAUAGAUAGGGGUUACUAGGAAUAUUAAAAAAAUGUUCAAAUAUUGAAAAAAUAGGUAUGGGUUAUAAAAUUCAUAAUACAAGAACAGUAAAUCAAGAUAAAAUUUAAAAAUUUAGAACCAUGAAAGCGUAACUUGUAAGUUUCAAAGAAGCAUGUGAAAACAUAUGCGUAUCGAUACCCAUUAAGGGUGGGCAUUAAGAUCGGGUUAACUCGAACCGAACCUUAAAUUUAUUUUGGGUUCAAUUUGAUUUUGGUUGAACCUUUCAACUGAGUUGAAAACUUAUAAACGAUUGGGGUNNNNNNNNNNNNNNNNNNNNNNNNNNNNNNNNNNNNNNNNNNNNNNNNNNNNNNNNNNNNNNNNNNNNNNNNNNNNNNNNNNNNNNNNNNNNNNNNNNNNNNNNNNNNNNNNNNNNNNNNNNNNNNNNNNNNNNNNNNNNNNNNNNNNNNNNNNNNNNNNNNNNNNNNNNNNNNNNNNNNNNNNNNNNNNNNNNNNNNNNNNNNNNNNNNNNNNNNNNNNNNNNNNNNNNNNNNNNNNNNNNNNNNNNNNNNNNNNNNNNNNNNNNNNNNNNNNNNNNNNNNNNNNNNNNNNNNNNNNNNNNNNNNNNNNNNNNNNNNNNNNNNNNNNNNNNNNNNNNNNNNNNNNNNNNNNNNNNNNNNNNNNNNNNNNNNNNNNNNNNNNNNNNNNNNNNNNNNNNNNNNNNNNNNNNNNNNNNNNNNNNNNNNNNNNNNNNNNNNNNNNNNNNNNNNNNNNNNNNNNNNNNNNNNNNNNNNNNNNNNNNNNNNNNNNNNNNNNNNNNNNNNNNNNNNNNNNNNNNNNNNNNNNNNNNNNNNNNNNNNNNNNNNNNNNNNNNNNNNNNNNNNNNNNNNNNNNNNNNNNNAGAUAUCAAAAUCACAUUCUUCAAUUCUACAAUUUCAAUUCAUCUUCAUAACUUCAACUGAAGAAUUGAUUGUAUCUCGUUUUAAUUUUUUUUUAUGUAAAGAUAAAUAUAAAAUAUAAAUGGUGAGGAGACUGAAAAAGUAAAAUCAAAAGAAGAGCACGAGUUUUAUUGAAAAUUACUUUUUUUUCAUCAUUUUGCCAGAGUGAAUGUAUCUACAUUUAAACGAAAGAAGCACAUUUGUUUGUAUUAGCUUUUUUAUUGUAUUUUUAAUAAUAAGUAAUUUUCAAUUAACUUAUAUCAUUUUUUACGAAAAUAAUAGGUGUUAGUUAGUUGAUUCAAAUGGCAAGACCUCUUGGGAUAGAGUUUGUAAUUUAGUGGCUUAUCAAUUGUUUAAAUAGGGCAUUAUUAGAGCCAAAUUAUUGUAUUUGGUUAAAAAACUCCUACUUUGCUUACAACUUUAUUAUCCUAUUAUGUUUAUUAAUAAAUAACAAUUUUAUUGAAAAAAAAACAAGAUAUGUUGAAAUGAUACAAAAAAUUUGGGUUGUAAAUCUUACUCGAAUUUAGCUUGAGAUUGGCAUUGUUAGCAUAAUAUUUGAAGAUAUAUUUUUUAAAUUAAAAAAAAAAAGAAAUUGGGUUCACACUAGUUAGUUUUAACUCAUAGUGAGAUUUAAACAAAAUCGGAAUAAUAAAUCUUGAUAUCCUAACUCAUGGAUAACAUCUACAUAAAAUAAUAAAAUCUAUUGUGUCGAAAAUAAGGGGUCUAAAGUUUGAAUUUCACUCACAUAGGUAGCAAGAGAAUCAAAUUAUUGUUAGAUUAAAUUAAUUAAAAAAAUUAUCUGAUAUACAAAACACAGCAUAUCAAAAAAAUUGAAAUAAAAGAAAAUUGAAAAGCAAAACGAUUGAGAGAACGAAAAACUAACACAAGAAAAUGCCGAUAAUUAAUUGCCUCAGCGGGCACCAACUUAAUUAUGCUUAUUAAAGCCUGGUUUAUUGUUAGAGUGCAAUUUAUGCACUAGUUUUGCAUUAUUUACUUCCCUUAAUAUCAAUGUUUUGCACUUAAUAAUAGUGAUUUACUUGUGUUUUACUUUUGUAGGUGCAAUUCUAUUAAUUGGUGAUAAAAUUAAGCUAAAAGAUGAUGUUUAAGGAGGAUUGUUCUCUUGGAGAAAUUAUGAGCGUCGAAGAACUUUGUUGAUAAGGCAUGGGCACGUGCUGUCAACUGCGGACCUGCAGUUUUUAGUUUAAACGUGUUUUGUAUUUUUGGCUAUUUUUGUAAUUACGAAUUUAAUAUUUCAGAUAUUAGUAUUUUAUUUUAAAUAGAACUCUAAAAGAGAAGAGAGAGAGAGAGUAUUUAAGAGAGGAAUCUAUUGUGAAAAAUGUAUUUACGCUUUAAUUUUUAUGUGAGCUUUGAUUAUCUUACAUUAGGGACAAUGUAAGUUCUUGGUGUGGGGGAGGGAUUUUUGCAUUAUUGAUGUCUGGAAGUAUUAUUUUCACUCUACUCAUCUAUUUUCAUUCUACUCAUCCUUAAAUGAUUUUGGAGUUAGUAUGCUUCAUAUAUUAUUAAUUUUCUUUUCUUUUCUUUCUCACUACUCUUUUCCCAUCUAUUUUUUUUACUACAUACAUCUUUCUCGCUUAUUAUCCUUUUUACCUUUCCUUUUAUUUCUCACUCAUACCUUCUUCUCAUUCUAUACCACUAUUGAUGGUUGAUUCAUUUGAAGAGUGUACAUGAUUUGAUAACAAAUUUACCAACUUUGUGAGGAUUUGAGCCUAUGAGCAACCACUUUGCUCUAAUAUUUUUGUUAUGUGAAUAUCAAUCUUAGUUUUUUUAUUCUAGAACUUGCUUUGUUAUGCAUGUUGAAGCCGCAUUACGGGAUUUUAUGCAUUAAAAUGAUAAGGGCAAACCCUUUUCCAUUUUUCUAUUCUCGCAUUUUUUUUCUCUACCCGAAGACCUUUAUUUGCUAUCUUUGUUUGAGCCUUAACCAUUACCCAUCUAAUCCUCUCCGUCUACUUAACCAUUUUUCUUCUUUUUGAGCCUCAAUUUAAGGAGAUUUUUGGACUCAUUGUGUGGAUAUAUUUUGUGUUUUUUUUACCUUGUAUUAAAGUUUCUCAAUUAGAUCAACAAGCAUUAUGCUUGAAUUAAAUUGUGCAAGGUUCGUUUCUUUUGUUUGAUUAAAAAAAACAAAAAAUAAAAAACAAAAAAAAGGAAAAAGAAAAAAAAGAAAAAGAAAAAAAAUCGAAAAAAAAUCGAAAAAAAAAAUUAAAAGUUUACAUUCUUGGUGACUUGAGUAGAAAUAAGCAUUUUGAUAUCAUAAGUUCAUUCAAUGAGUUCAUUCUUCUCAUUUUGAUAUCUUUUUCUCUUUCAUGGACCUUUCUUUUUCAUUUAACCUAUUUAACCCCAUUGCAACCCUUUUAAGACCCUUAGAUUUUUGCAUUUUAUUCAUGUUGUGGAUUGAGAUGUGAUAUAUGAGCAAGCUUAUGGUAAUAGCAUUCUUUGAUUUGAUUUGAGUGAAUAAAUGACACCCUAAACACUUUGAGUGCAUGGAGUGAAGUCAUUGAGAGGGCUAUUAAAUCUUGUUGCACUUGAAUUUUGAAUGUAUCUUCUUGGUGGUUGAAUGUUCUUAUUCUAUCUUAUGAGAUUCUAUGCUUUAAAAUCCUUGUCUCUCGAAUGUUGAUCGACUUAAUUUCUUGAGGUAUGGUUGCUUAGAAUUAUUUAUGGAUGAGUUGAGAUGAGAAUUGAGUGGAGAUUUGGGAUUAGUCUUGAGUUAUAUGCUUGAGGACAAGCAUCAUCUUGGUGUGGGGGAAUUUGUUAGAGUGCAAUUUAUGCACUAGUUUUUAAUUAUUUACUUCCCUUAAUAUCGAUGUUUUGCACUUAAUAAUAGUGAUUUACUUGUGUUUUACUUUUGUAGGUGCAAUUCUAUUGAUUGGUGAUAAAAUUGAGCUAAAAGAUGAUGUUUAAGGAGGAUUGUUCUCUUGGAGAAAUUAUGAGCAUCAGAAGAACUUUGUUGAUAAGGCGUGGGCGCGUGCUGUCAACUGCGGACCUGCAGUUUUUAGUUUAAACGUGUUUUGUAUUUUUGGCUAUUUUUGUAAUUACGAAUUUAAUAUUUCAGAUAUUAGUAUUUUAUUUUAAAUAGAACUCUAAAAGAGAAGAGAGAGAGAGAGUAUUUAAGAGAGGAAUCUAUUGUGAAAAAAAUGGGGAUUUUAGAUUGAAGAAAAGAAAGAAACCCUAGAUCUAAUUUUUCUCUUCUCUCUAUGAAGAACUAAACUUAUUUUUCUGGUUGAAGGUUAAUGAAGCUUUGAUUCAUCACUACUGUGAGAUCUUUCUUAUGCUUUAAUUGUUUUAUUACUCUUUGGGUAUUUGUUUAUUCUCUGAAUUAGUUUCAUGAUUAUGUUUGUUAAUUAGGUAAUUGGCCACUAUUUAAUUAUCAACUUAAUCUAUUGUCAAUUAAAGGAUUCAUCGUAUGAAGAAUUUAAUGUUUGUGACAAAUAACAUAGCAGAGAGUUGUGUUGUGAGAAUAAACAAUCUAAUUUAAAUGAAUCAUCAUAUGUGUUGAUUAGGAUUUGGGUCUCUUUGGUUUUUCAGGCUGUCAAUUGAUUAAAUCCUAUGAUCGUAUCUAGGAUUGUCUAUUGAUUAGGGAAAUAACCAACGGUCGUACCUUGGUUAUCGACUAGUUAAGGAGAGAUUGGCUAUUAGAGGGUCUCAGUAGUUAUAACCGGUCUAUUCAUAAGUAAUAAUAAUCUAUAUUUGAAUCAAUGAUCAGUAGUCGAAUCAAGCUGAGUUAAUUCCUUCAACCAGAGCUUUCUCCAAUUUGAAUCACAACUUUAAUUUACAUUCUCGUUAUUUUAAUUUAAUUUUUAUUAUUGUCAACAAAACCCCCAUUUUAUGUUUUACGUUUUAAAAGGAUUUAAAUAAUUACCGAUCUCUGUGGACACGACCCUGCUCAAUCACUAUACACAAUUUAUUUAGAGUAAAAAUUUAUUUUUGUUGGCUUCGACACCCACCAGUUAUUUCAUUUUCAUUGAUAAUCAUUUUGACACCGGUCAAAUUUAAAAGUUUAAAUAAUGGGGGCCAUUUUUCUUUCCAGCUAUGCCCAUUAGCUAAUAAAAGAACCGCCGAAAGGGUUCGGGGAUAAUAUAGUAAUAUGAUUGAUAAUCAUUUUGGAGCUGAGUAUUCUUCGUUCCACAUUUUGGGUUUUGGUUGACCAUAUUUUAAUACUUUUUCUGGAAAACAAAUAUAUAUUUAGUGACUUGUAAUGGGUGCAACUCAUGUUUUUGAAACAUUAACAUCUUUACUUACUUACACUAAUGCGGCAACUGCUGCUUGCUUUUUUUUUUUUCCUUUUGCUUUUGGUUAAUAAUAAUAAUAAUAAUAAUAAUAAUAAUAAUAAUAAUAAUAAUAAUAAUAAUAAUAAUAAUAAUAAUAACAACUUUUUAAUUUAAUAUAUUAUUAAAUAAUAUUUUUAUUUUUAUUUUUACAUUAUAAUUUAUUAUAACUAAUAAUAAAUAUUUAAUUUUGAAUAAUAUUAAUUUAAAAUUAAUAAUAUUAUAAAUAAUAAUAUAAACUAUUAAUACAAUUUAAAUAUAUCAAUAUAAUAUAAUAUUUAAUUUAAAUUAAUCACAAAAAAUUAAUACAAUAUAUUAUAAUACCAAAUAUUAUACAAUAUUACUAUAAUACAAUUAUGAUACAAUUUGAGGGAGAUUGUCAGCUUUUUCGGAUUAAAAAUAAUAUAUACCACUUACUCUAUUGUUUUUAUAAUGUUCAACAAUCCCCUUGAGAAAAAAAAAAAACGAAAAGAAGGAAUAAAUAGAUGAUUUGCUUGAUAUUGUAUCUUAGAAAUAUAAAAUAUAUAUUUAUUAUUAAAAGUAUUUAAAAAUAAUAAAGAGUACAUAAAAAAUAUCUUAUCCUCAACAACAAGAUCAGACGACGUCAAUUCAGCAAAAUGACUUGUACAAUUUGAAAGUCCAGCAACGGUCACCUCUUAAUGUUAUUUUUACUAUAUUAUAUUGAUAUUUUGUUUUGUUAAUCAUAUAAGUCAAUCAAUAAUUAUUUAAUCAUUAGAAUUAAAACUAAUGUAUUAAUUAAAAUUCAAAAUCUAUUAUAAAAAUAGUAAAUAUUAAUACAAAGAGAUGGACAUAUUACAAAAUACAUUCACCAAAAGUUCUAUUAUACUUAAAAUUCUCAUUCACAAAAAAAUAAUAAUAGUUGAAUACAUGUACAAAAAAAGGGGAUAAAUAAAAAAUAAUAAUAAUAAAUAAUAAAAGGAUAGUUUAUAUAAUAAAAAAUAAAUUUAUUGAAUAGGGAUGUUAAUAAUAAAGAAUAAUAGCCGAUCAAACUCACUUUACAAUAAACUGAGAAAUCAAAAUCACAUUCUCCGAUUCUACGAUUGACUCUUUUUCAUCAUUUUACUGGAGUGAAUGUAUCUAUAUGUAUUGGGGACCAUAAUGGAAACUGAUAGAACCUACAAGGGCUAAAAUUAGAACAACGAACGAUAUCUCAAAGUCGCCGAAACGUAAGUAAUUAAUCUUAUCUUUCAAUUGAUUUUUUGUGGAGACAGAGACAAACCCGAACAGCAAAUAGCCAUAAAUGAUAGGACAAUUAAAUUGGAACUCUCCGCGGACCCACGAUUUAAUAUCUUUAGAUUGUAACGGUUUAACCAAAAAAAAAACAAUUUUAGUAAAAUAUUUCUUAAAAAAUGAAAAAAAAUGUUGAAAAGAAGAACAAAAUUGUGGUCCACGUGUCAUUUCAAAAUAGGUUGCUGGCAUAAACAACCGUCCCCAUCUCGGACAGAUGUUAUUUGAGUGGUUGGUGCGCGUUUCCACUUUUUUGUUUUAGAUGCAACGACUCAUGCACUAUAUAUAUAUAUAUAUACGUAAUUUCUAUCUUAUAUAUGUAUAAGAUACAUUCUUUAUCUUUUAUCUCCCUUAUAGAAUAAUAUAUGUGUGGAAUUUAUAUAUAUUGUUCAUAUGAAAAAAAUAUAUCUUAUAUGCAUGAUAGAAUAAUCCAUGAAUCUAAUGUUAUUAGUUUAAAUAAUGGGUGCAACUCAUGUUUUUGAAACAUUAAGAUCUUUAGUCAUUCUGUUACUAUCCCGUGGUUAUUUAAGUUACAAGAGACAGUAAAAAAACAACGUCAUAUUUUAAUUACUUACACUAAAUAAAUUACUCACACUGAUGCCGCGUCUGCCGCUUACUUUUUUUCUUUUUUUUUAUCCUUUUGCUUUUGUUUUUAACUUUUACUUUUACUUUUUGACUUUUGCUUUUGGUUUAUUAUAAUAAUAAUAAUAAUAAUAAUAAUAACUAUUUUUUAAUUUAAUAUAAUAUUAAAUAAUAUUUUAUUUUUAAUUUUACAUUAUAAUUAUUAAUAUAUAAUUUAUUAUUCAAUAUUAUUAUAUUAUGUUUUUUAUUUUUAAUUAUAAUUUAUUAAUAAAUUUAUAAUUUAUUAUAACUAAUAAUAAAUAUUUAAAUUUAAAUAAUAUUAAUUUAAAAUUAAUAAUAAUAUAAAAUAUUAAUACAAUUUAAAUAUAAAUUAAUAUUUAAUUUAAAUUAAUCACAAAAAAUUAAUACAAUAUAGUAUAGCACCAAAUAUUAUAUAUUAUUAUUAUAAUACAGUACUAAUACAACAUAAUAUAAUAUAAUACAUUAAUAUUAAAAUAAUAUAAUACAGUAUGCGAAAUGAACCGAAAUGGUAUUACUUUGUUUGUCUUGUUAUUUACAAUUAUUUAAUCUGUAGACCCACUCAUGCUCCUUCUAUGCAACAUAGAUACAAUUUGAGGAAGAUUAUCAAUUUUUUCUGAGAAAAAAUAAUAUAUACCACUUACUCUUUAUUGUUUUUAUAAUGUUCAACAAUCCGUUUGAGAUGAAAAUAAAUAAAUAAAAAGAAGGAGUAAAUAGACGAUUUGCUUGAUGUUGUAUCUUAGAAAUAUAAAAUAUAUAUUUAUUAUUAAAAAUAUUUAAAAAUAAUAGAGAGUUCAUAAAAAAUAUCUUAUCCUCAACAACAAGAUCAGACGACGUCAAUUCAGCAAAAUGACUUGAACAAUUUGAAAGUCCAGCGACGGUCACCUCUUGGCACACAUACGGCAACGUGUGUAGCAUUGGCAAGAGGUCUCCCAGAAGGACGAUUAAGGAAAGAUUGCAAGACAAAAUCAUGAAAAUAGUAGUACAGAUAUGCAAUAUGCUAAAUUGUCCUCGAUUGAGUCAAUCGCAAUCAAGUCUUAGAAAUCGCACCCCUGUAUUAAUUUCCAGAAAUAUGUUUGUUCCAUAUUUAUCGUGCACGUAUACAUUGUAUGUAUUGGGAAUAGAAAGAGUGUAUGAAAAAAAAUUCUUCAUUCAUCGAUUAAAACUUAAAUUAUGUACGAGGGUUAAGCGCAGCGUUUUUAAAUUUAAAAAGCACAAGUGUCAAUCCACUAAGGUUUGGUCCAAUGGCUAGAGUCACUCCCUCGCGAAAUGAUUAGAGCUCCCACAAAUGUAUUGUACAAGUUUAAUUUAAAUUUUCUUCCUCAAAACUUAAGUGAAGACAUUAUUUUUCAUAGAAGUAGAGUUUUUCUAGGAGUUUGACAUCCCUCAAAUAUUAAAAGAAUUAAAAUCUGAACGAUACUAUAUAAAAUAUAAUUUAAACUGAUCUUAAUAAUUAUAUAAUUAUAAAUAUAAUGAGCAACAGUCUCGUUAAAAAAACAGAUCAAGUGUCAUGAGCCCAUUUAAAUUAACUAAUAUUUGAGGGGGAAAUCUCUGUAUACCAUAGUAUAUAUUCUAUAUCCAGUCAUGGGACCCAUACACGGAUGGUUCCACGUAAUUCGCAGAGUUGAACUGGAGACACUGAUUAGUUCGUUGUCUACUUACCAACUUAUGUACAACUAAGUAAUUGCAUGCACCAUUUGCGACUUAUCUAUCCACCCUGCUUGCAUUGCAUUAACUACGUCACCAAUCACCCACGUCCGCUACUUGUGUGAACGUGUAUAUAAAUACAUAUAUCCGCAGCAUAUUAUCAAACCAGAAUCAGAAGCAACUUAAGUUUUGUUCAUUAGGUUUAUGUUUAUCAACAUGAUAUAUUGUCAAUCAUAAUCGCAAUCAAGUUGUUAAUUAUUUUUUAAAUAAUGUGAAGGAACAAGAUUUUGGCCUUUGAGUGUCUGGUUAAAAAUAUCUCACCUCAAUGUACGGUGUUGUGCUCUCAUCAUCGUACUAUUAUUUGUUAAAAGUAUGUCAAAGAGGAAAGCAGAUUCAAACAUUACUUCAAUUUUAUUUAAGAGAAUAAAAAAAUCGUUAAUAGGCUACUGUUAUUUGUUAGUACGAUUUCACAAAAAAAUCGGUUUCUUAAACAACUCCAACUACAAUUUUUUUUUUACAAAUUUUUGAAUUAUUAAAUCAUAUGUGUGUGUAUAAAUUGAAUAGAAUUAAAAGUGGACUCAAAUGGCUAUUAUGUAAUUUUUUUAUAAUUAAAGAAAAGUUUAGAAUGUAAAAGUGUGUGUGAGAAAACAAAAAAUAUAAAUCACCUUUGAUGUAGUUGUACGGUUGUAAAGAGUUAGAUGGAGAAAUAUAGUAUAUAAUUAAAUUUAUUUUGUUCCUUAAAACGGGUAGGUUUUAUAAGAAUUUUCCAGAGGAGUGCUAAUAUUUCAACUUUUUUUCAAAUGAAGUGAUGUCCUGGAAUAAAAUCACUACUCUAUCAUUGCUAUUAGUUUGUCUUGUAUUUCAAUAAUUGUCGACAAGUAUUAAUUGUGAAUAUUAUUGUUUUAAAAAUUUUAUUAUUAUUAUCGUCGUUAUUCUUAACAGUAAUGACUAGAAUUAUAAUAAAAACAAUAACGUUAAUACAAUAAUAUAACAACAUAAUAAUAUUUUAAUUGAGAGGAUAAGAAUGAAAUUAUGAAAUUUAGGUUGGGUAAAAAUGAUGAGUAUGAGGAAAUUAAAUUACCAUUUUUUAAGCUAAACAAUUCAUAAAUUCCACAUAUUUCAUUCGUAUUUCUCUUAUAUUUUAACAAGUAAACAUUAUCAAUAAUUUUAAUAUUUUAAUUAAUAAACACGGCGUUAACUACGGAACUAAAAGAUCAAAAAAAAAAAAAAAAACAGAGACGCGUGUAUGUAUUGCUUGUGACAAAUCUCACCCGUGGAAAACUUUGUGAAAGGCAUUUGAAUGUGAGGCCACAUUUAAUGAACGAAACGAUAACUUUAAAAGAGAGUAUGUACUGUGUUAAUUAUUAGGCUUUAGCUUAAUGAUUGCAAUUAGUUUGUCUUGUAAUUAAAUUAUUGCCGACAAACACUAUCACGACCCACGUCCGCUACUUGUGUGAGUGCGUGUAUAAAUAUCCGCAGCAUAUUAUCAAACCUGAAGCGUACUAAUAAAGUAUUGGUUCCACUACAAUAGAGUCUCCUUAAGUGGUUUUGAUUGGGUUUGCUCCUCAGUUCGAGUCGCAGAAAAGUCACCUUUGUUGGGAGAACCUGUGCCUCUCAGUUCGAGCGGGGAUUUCUAGUCUGGAUUGUGAUACAGGCUUAAAGGUGCCUCCCACAGUUGGGGCCCUCCCCAGAAUACCUCGUUGUCAAAACCAAAAAAAAAAAAAAAAUCAAACCUGAAGCGUGAUCAUCUUUAAGUUUUGGUUAGGGUUGAUCAGACGUUGGAAGAUAUCUUUCCUAAUUUAAAGAAGAUGGAAACUCCUUAUCCAGGUUCUUAGGCCAUGUUCAGUUGAAUGUCAUUUAUAAUUUUUAUUUUAACAUUAUGUAUUUAUGAAUACAAUUAUUGUUUAUUUUAACAUUAUGUAUUUAUGAAUACAAUUAUUGUUAUGAUUUUUUCAGGUAAGAAUGGGUGGUCUGAGGGUAACCCAAUAACUAUGUACAAUAUUAUUAAUGAUGAGAGUGUGAAUGACAAUUUGGAUUUUAUUCUCGUCCCUCAAUACAGAAGAAAUCUUGACCAUAGCGGUUAAUUGCUAUGUAACUCUUUCGUAUUAUGUUUAAUUAAUAAUAAAAUGAUGGGUUAUUAUUACCUGUCAAUUAUGUGAGUGUCUCUGC
rnacentral:lncRNA from 1 species